rnacentral:lncRNA from 1 species
AUAUUUAAAUAGUGAUUAUUCUAACACAUGGAUAAUUAAUUAAGGCACCAGGUUGCGCUUGUGACCAGGAAAGACAAACUUAUGAACUUGCAAGCAUGGUAAUCAGAUCGACAUCCACACAAUGUCAAUAUGAACAUUGUCUUGAUACAACUUUAUUUGUAUUUUAUUUCAGAAUUUAAACAACUAGUUUGGGCGGGUCACACACGACGUUGUGUGACACUUUAUUUGUCACCGCUGCAUCGACAUAUCCAUCGACUAAACAACGGUGAUCCAACUAUAUAUUACUAGAGACCUUUCCUUAUCAGUAGGCACCAACUCCGGUGCCAACGCUGAAUGGCACACUAGUGGUGGUUCUAUACAAGGGCACAUUGACACGGCACAUCGUUGGCAGGGUACGGAGCGCAAUGGAAGUCAUCACCUCAAGCUGAGCUAUCUGGUGUGGAUGCAAAAAGGUACCCUGUGCCAAUUGUUGUUGUUGAGGUUGUUGCCCGAGUUGCUGCUGCGACUGCUGUUGGGGUUGGGAAACGCAUUGGCCCAACUAUUGCGGUUGCUGCUGCUGAGUUUGGAUGGAACCCUGAACCUGUUGUUGUUCUUGCAGGACGAUGGAGUAGAUGAUAGCACGGAUUGCCUCAUAGCGGGAUUGCUGGGGGAUUUGCGGCAACUGCUGGCAACAUUGUUGUUGCAUCACAUGGCAACUGCUCUGCUGCAACAUUUGCGACCUAGCAAGACUUUGUGGCAUUGCCACAGGGCUGCAUUGCUGCUGGAGGAAUACCUUGCAUGGGUUUAGUUGCUGCAAGAUAGAUGGAUGAACAAAUGGUAUUUGUUGUUGCGGUAGAACUGAUUGUUGUUGUUGCGAAAAUGGUGGUUGUUGCGGUAGUACUGGUUGUUGUUGUUGCGAAAAUGGUGGUUGUUGCUGUGAAAAUGGUGGUAGUUGUUGCUGCGAAAAUGAUGGUUGUUGCGGUAGAACUGGUUGUUGUUGCUGCAAAAAUGGUGGUUGUUGCUAUGAAAAUGGUGGUUGUUGCGAUAGAACUGGUUGUUGUUGCUGUGAAAAUGGUGGUUGUUGCUGUGAAAAUGGUGGUUGUUGUUGCUGUGAAUAUGGUGGUUGUUGUUGCUGCGAAAAUGGUGGUUGUUGUUGCUGCGAUAAUGGUGGUUGUUGUUGUUGCUGUGAACAUGGUUGCUGUUGUGGAAAUGGUUGUGGUUGUUGUUGGAUAGGUUGUUCUUGUUGUUGGUGCCAUAAUGUUUGUUGUGGUGGUAAUGGUUGUUGCUGCGAUGGUCUCUCCAAACCAGGGAUGUGGCUAUUCUCCAUUUGUGCAAUGGCACUUGUCGCCGCAACGGCGAGGAGGGCAAAGAUGAGGAAGGUCUUCAUGGUGGAUUGGUGUUAACUAGUGUUGCUUGGUUUUGAUGCUUGUGCUUGUGACGAUCUUUAUACUUCAUGCCUAUUUAUAGUAGCCCGGGCACCACCUUUUUCUUCUUUGCAUUAGCUUUAAUAAUUUUGUUUGGAUGCAAAAAUGAUUUUUGGUACAAUGUGUUAGGUUGCACUAGCUACACGCGUACUUUUGGAUUGAUCAUCAAAGUUGCUUUUUAGUUGUGCAUAUGAUCACACAUAAAGUACAGAAACCUUGAUGUUUGGUAUAUAUGACUCACCUUAUUCACUUUACAUGUCACACACUUAUCUGGAUAGUAUCACUUUUGCAACCGAGUUUGGAACCUUGUAUAGGCUGUCAUCCAUAAACAAGAAAGGCAAAACUUGUGUAGGACUAAGUGUAGAACUAACUUUGUAUUUUUCCUCUAAAAUGAUUAGAUGAACCGACGCCUAUAGAGCAUGACAUGACUCAUCGAAUUCCCUUUACAUGUAAAGGAUGGUAAUUGCUUACAAGCUACUCCUACUAGCAUAUAUCCGGUCCUAACUCUUGACACGUCAUCAUCAGUUUCGCCUAUUUUUUUAGAUAAAUCAUCAGUUUCAUCUAUUUGUGAAGGGUUUUUUUGGGGGAAAUGAUAGUUUUUUUAUGCUAGGGGGAUUUUUUUGGGGGGGGGGGAUGACGCUAGGGGGAAAUGAUAGAUGGGGCUGGAACAGAGGCCCCCAGCCUGGAGCGAGAGAUUAGGCCCAACAUAAGUGCCGUGUGUUAGGGCACCAAUUCGAUUUGGGCUAUAGUUCUCGUAGGCCCCAACGACACAAGCCCAGCCCACACUCCGCGGAUCUGCGUCCCUCCCUUCCUCGUCCUCCUCGCCGGCCGGACCGCUCGCCGUCGCAGCCUCUCCCGGACGCCCACCGCUCGCGGCCCCUCCACGUACCUCCGCGGCAGCGGAGACGUCAGCCUCCCUCCCACCCUCAACAUCCGGCCCCCCACCACCACCACCACCGCUCGACAAAAAAGGUCACUUUUGAAGCUCCUCCGUCGAUUGUGGGCCGUACGUCGACGGCAGCCACUCCGACCUCCCCAUCAACACAAGGUAUCGAUUUGUUUCGUCUGUCUCUUCCAACGAUUCAAUGCACAUAAAUCCGAGAGGCAGACCCAUCUCCAUGCUAGCUGCACGGAUUAGGAGGGUCAGGCAUCAGAAUUCAGCUGGGAAGCCUGACAGUAAUGUACAUUUGUGGCUUUAGUAGCUGAAUAUAACUAUGUGCUUUCUGAGAAUUUCACUUCAAAAGUUCCAAUAAUCAUCAAAUUUCCCCCUAUGCGCGCUAAGCAGGUGGACCAUAUAUUUCUCAUGUCGACGAACGAAAAAACAAAACUCCACAACUAGAAGUCUAUGAUAUUGACACGGAACCGUGCUGUAGGGUCGCAAGUAAAAAUAUGAAAAGCAUGCCUAAUAAGCGAGAUGACGCAGUUCCUGACCGCCCCGCUACGACUAUUGGUUCCAGCGUGGCGUUUGAAUUAUGCCGCGCUAGAUGUCUUUUGUCCGGCGAGGAACAAGUGGGGUCAAGCGUGCUUCGGCAAUUCCCGCCGUCAGAAGACUUCCUUGUAGUCCGGUGUAGAGGUGAGGUUGUGGGGAGAUACAUCGACUAGCACUACUAGGGAAAAGGCUAGCAGCAGCGCGGGUUUUAGAUGUAUCAGUAGUGCGGGUACCCGCGCUACUAAUACGGCGCUACAGCUAACUCAUAGCAGUAACGCGUGAGCACCCGCGCUACUGCUACACAAGUGUAGCAGCAGCGCGGUUAUGAGAAGCUCGCUACCGCUAGUAGCGCUAGCGCUCUUUGGCCGGACGCUCUACUGCUAUUGAGGCGCUGCUGCUAACUUUUGUACACUCGCUACUGGUAAUUUAAGUAGUUUUUUGGCAUAUUUGUUUUGUAUUUGAACCGGCUUUGUAGAAGAAUCUUUAGCACAUAGAAAUGUCAUCAUGAUACACAUACAAAUGCCUGCGAGACCACAAAUGUAAUCAUAGCAUGUACAUACAAAUAGUCUCUUCAUAAUCAUCAUCCAACACAAAGUGAUAUCUUGUCAUCAUCUCGAAAAUAGCAAUACAUGCAAGUCUCGAAUACUUGCAACUACAACAACGUCAUCCAUCUAAACAAAGGUAUACGCAAGAAGUGCUAUCACUAUGAGUGAGAGCGGAACCAUGCAGUACAUGAGGUGGCGGUUAUGAGUCCUCUCUUGCGCUAGCGUGAACCUCAAGUAACUAGCUUCUCCUUCUUGUCUGCUUUUGAAGCCUUUAUGGCUGGCGCCCGUGAACCCAUUCACUUGCGCCUGACACUCAUGCCACUCGUUGUACACCCCCGGAACCUUCCCUUUGUACACGACAUAGCAUUUCCAUCUCGCCAUCAAGAAACUAGGUACCUGUUAGAGAUGCAUGUUCAUGAAGAGGAUGUACAAUCAUAUAUAUGCAACAAAAUAUACUAGAGCAACACUAAGAAAGAAAGGUUAGCAACUAGAUGCAACAUAUACAUUACGCAAAUUAAUUAACUAGAGGUACGCAGGUCAUCGUACGCAAACUAACAAAGUAGCGUUACGCAAGUUUGGCAGGGACCAUGGACAUCACAAAGUUUCAUCGCUACAAAAAGUAUACAAGUUCAACCGACACAUAUCAUCAUCAUCGGCAUCAUAAAUCACUAGAAGUUCCAUCCUUCCAUAUCAUCGAGGACGAACCCUAGCUGCUUGAACGGCGUGAGGUCUAGACGUUGCAUGCCUAUGCGAGUUCGGACGUCAGCUCGCGAUAUAGGGCCGUGGUGGAACAUCCCCUUCUCAUCGACGACUUCUUUCAUGAUGAUCAUCGCAAUGUCGCUUUGGAUGCGAAAGAAGUCAUCUCUAAGUUUAUAAUUCGCUUCUCCAUGAGAUUCUAGCCACUUGUGGAUAUGAUCAUCAUUUCUGCUGUUAAUGCGAAGCUUUUGGUGAUCCGUGUUGAACUGAAUCAUGAGAUGGACGAUGUAGAAUCCAUCCUUCUUGCUUGGUUUUGGGACGUGGAUGCAGGAGAAGUUAGUUUUAUGCGCGAAACCCAUCUUCUUGUUCCUUUGUUUCCUGAUAUGCACGUGGCCACCUCUAAAGUUGAAGCCUUGGAGAGCAUCAUCUAGAAUAUUCAUUAUGUGGGUGUAGUCCUUUUUCUCGUAGUCUCUAGAAGGGUCAAAAUACACGGCGUGGGAGACUUGCGGGUAAAGAAUGAUAAGGACGGCGCGCCCGUUGCUGCGGGGAAAAGACACCUCAAAUUAUUCCCCAUAUGAGAGAGAAGGAAUGAUUGAAAUGUACGAAAGGGUUGUCCGGAACUGACUUACUUUGGAUGAUAAGGCACGAGGACAAUUUCCCGGUCCUUAUUCUGUACCAUGAAGUUUUGGAGGUACUCCCUAGCAGUUUCACGCUCAAAGUCGCCGAGACUCAAGAAAGACUCGUGCAUGUAGUACGGAUCCGCCACACAGAUUUGCGAGACUUCUUCACUCUUCACGACGGAGCUCAUAUGUAGCGCAAAAAGGCGGACGAUAGUAAAAUCAAGCCGCCUUGUUAGAAACAUCUCAAAGAUAUGGUCAAACCGCAGGAAGAACACCUCCGUGGGCCGUGUGUCGACGUAGCACUUCCCCUCAGGCACACGAGCUGCGUAUGUCGGAUAUCCUGGAUCCUUUGAGGCUAGUAGGCUUUUCUCAGUCGACAGCACGUGGUCGUGCAGUCUCCUGAGAUUCCCUGAUAGUGCCUCCAGCGGUUUCGGCGGUAGCAUCGGCUCGCCCGUGAGAUGGAACAUGACCGCACCUUUCACGGGUACACGCUCUUCAGAAUGCAUCGUCUGGCUGCUGUGUGCUCUGGCUUGUUUGGAGGCAGUUACCUUCCCCAAUCUCUUCCUCUCCUUUUUCUUGGGCACACCUUCCAGACCCUUCCUUAACCCCUGCCCAAGUGUUCCCGGGCUAAGUAUUGUACGACCCUCACGCCCGGCUAGUUGAGCCUGUGUUGAGGCGGCAUCUUCAGGCGUGUCCUGUGAGGAUUUCAUGAAGAGAGACUUUUUGCAUUCCAUGGUACGGCCCUGCCCGGGCAUAUCAUCCAUAUCCUCAUUAGCAAGCUGAUAGCCCGAUUCGUCAUAUGGUUGACUCAUCAUAUCUAUGUCACAGUCAUACGCGUUUGUAUUGAGGUAAUCCAUCGGGUCGACCUCCGUCUCAUCAUCCAUUCUCUGUUCUACAGGAGAAAUUACAUCAGCCAGUACUAUUGCACCCCCUUCAUCAUGUCGUCCGCCGCUCUCACACGGCACUACUACAGGAGCUGGUAAUUGCGUAGGUGGGGUGGUGGUCUCCGCACAUGCUUGCUGAUGUGUGGUAGUUAUUGGUGUGCUCUCGGCCGGCUCCAGACGAAUAAGAUUCUUCGGCCAUAGCAGCACCCAACCCUUGCAGCGUCCAAUCCGCGGCGGGGUCUCGUCGUCCGCUCCCACCUGCUGUACUGGAGGAGGCAAAUCCUCGUGCCCCGAUUUCACACUGGUCAAGCUAACCCUGAAGUGCCCAGCGGGGAUCGGCUGGUUGUGGAAUGUGCGUUGAGAGGGGUCCAUUAUCAUCCCCUUUCCCACGUCCACCUUCUGGCCUUUGAUCAAGUAGAGUAUGGUGCAUGGGGUUUCUUUCGCCUGCAAACACAUAUGUCUGUGGUGUAAAACAACCGAAAGGCAACAAAAAUGGAAUAUUAUAUAUAUAUAUAUGUUGGUGCGACAUGUAAUUACCGUGACGGCGUCGAGCUCAGCCAAAGACGAAGGCCCACCUAGCGCGCCUGAGACUGAGGACGGGCUGCUAUGAGCUGGAGCGGCUGCGAGAGGAGGCCCGGUUGCUUGAGCAAGUGAUGGUGCGAUGGUGUUGUUCAUGGAGUUGCUCGCGACGAAACUGGGCAUUGGGAAAUCAUGUACCGUCUUGUCUGGAUUUUCCUUCGCCCAGUUGAUGAUAACUGGAACCAAGUUAGUAGCGAAAUCAUUUCUGCAGGCAUUUACAGCUGCAUUGACUGCCUGCUGUAGCAACUCAUAUUUGUCCUUGGCUGCUUUUUUCGCGUCCUCGGCUGCUUUUUUCUCGACCGCAAGCUUCACCUUUGCGUCGAUGUCCGCCUAACUAAACUUCUUUUUCUGCUUCUUGGCCUCCGGGCCGUCGUUGUAAAACACCUUCCACGUGGCGCCGUCUCCAGCGCCGUGCACACGACCAUAUUGCGGCCGCUGGUCCAACGGGAGUCCCUUAAGUUCGUUCAAGGCCCAGUUGAGAGGUGUGUCCCACUUGGGCCUCAUCGGAGAAGUAGGGCUUUCGGCUGCAAGCCGGUGUUGCUUCUCCAGUAGUCUAAUCAAUUUCCUCGUGAUCUUGUCCGUGUAAAAAACCUUUUUCUCCUUGUCCCACUUGUAGCGGGCCCUGAUGAAGUCAUGCUCCAAGGGGUUGGUGAACUUCGCGAAGGGGUCUGGGAGACCCGCGGCUUCACGUUCCGCGUCCUCCUUAUCCCAUAUGGGCCUUUUACCGAGGUAGCCACGGCUUCCGAGGCGAUGCUUCCCCAUGUUCCGGAGCUGAAGGCUUUUGAAUUUCGCAGCCUUAGCCUUGGCUGCCUUGGUAGCGCAAGUGUCCUUGAACUUUUCGAACUCCUCUUCCGUAAGUGUCGGAUUUUCCUCCAGAAUCUUGGACAGGGGUUCAUCAGCCUCAAUAGCUCGUUUCACCCUCCCUUUCCAGGAGGCCAAAUCAUUGCUGAACAUGCCCAUGGCGUGAUUGUUAAUCUUUUUCAUCUUCGGAUCAUCCCACGGUUGUUCUAUGUUAUCAUCCCGGUCGGGGAACUUGAAUCUCUUCUGCAACUUCGUUAGGAGCAACUGCGUCAAAUGUUCUUUACUCCUUAAGUCAUCAUCGUUGAUGCUCGCGCAUUCCCGUAGGAUGCAUCCUACUUGGUUCCCAUAGCACUUGCGAGGUUCUUCCGGCUCUAACGGCUCAAACUUUCCAGGUGCCAUCUUUGUGAUCACAAGUCGUCCAAUCCCUAGUUUGUUAGGUUUUCGUAUCCUCUGCUUCUUAUGCUUCCUCUUUUCGGUAUCGGCAUCGGGGCCGGUACCUUCCCCGCCGGUCUCGGCGCCGCCAUCGGUGCCGGCGCCGUCGGUGCCGGCACCGUAGGUGUCGAUGUCGGCGUCAGUACCAUCAUCGAGGCCGACCUGCAAACCUUGCUUAGCAGUCAAAUAGUCGAGGUACUCUUGUUCACCCUCAUAAUCCAUCUCGUCUGCAUCUUGGUCAGAAGGCCCAGUUUCUUCGUUGUUCGACAUGUUUCCUAUGAUUAAGUGGCCUCAUUUAUUUCUAAAAGUAUGAAUAAAUGAGAAAUGACAUAAAAAGAAAUCUAUGUGCCAACACUCGAUAUGCCAACUAUGUAGCACAAAUCAUGCCUUUAUUCACGGGAAAUUUCGGCAUGACCUUUGCUAAAAAAUGGACAUAUCGAGCGCCUGAAAUUCACCGAAACGGAAAUGAAUCAACAUUCCUGCGCAACAUAGGCCACUCGGAUCAUUUUCCAAACAUGACAUGUCCAAAACAUGACAUAUGCACAUAUCACAUGUCCAGUUCAAAUUUCCAUAUAAAUUCAGCUAAUUCAUAACUAAAUAGAUAACCUAAUUAAUUAACAUGAAGANNNNNNNNNNNNNNNNNNNNNNNNNNNNNNNNNNNNNNNNNNNNNNNNNNNNNNNNNNNNNNNNNNNNNNNNNNNNNNNNNNNNNNNNNNNNNNNNNNNNNNNNNNNNNNNNNNNNNNNNNNNNNNNNNNNNNNNNNNNNNNNNNNNNNNNNNNNNNNNNNNNNNNNNNNNNNNNNNNNNNNNNNNNNNNNNNNNNNNNNNNNNNNNNNNNNNNNNNNNNNNNNNNNNNNNNNNGGGGGCGAGCGACAUGGUCGGGGGCGAGCACGCCGGAGUCGGGGUCGAGAGCGGGACAGGGGCGAGCGCCGGGGCUGGCACCGGCGCCGGCAGGGUCGGGGGCGAGCGCCGGGGCCGGGUCGGGCACGGCGGAGCGACGGGGGCCGGAGAGAGAGUGGGGAUUUGGGGGGAAAUGGCGGGAUGAAGCUGGGCGAGUGCGAAUUUUGGGUUAAGUGGACGUAGCAGUAGCGGGUUAUGUCAAAACGCGCUGCUACUAUAUUCUGUAGCGGCAGCGGUUUAUGAGAAACACGCUACUACUAUGGUGCGUAGCUGCAGCGCUUUAUGGGAAACUCGCUACUACUAUGGUGCGUAGCGGCAGCGGUUUAUGAGAAACACGCUACUACUAAGAUCUAGCAGCAGCGGUUUUGUGGAAACGCGCUGCUACUGCCGUCGCUACUGCCAGGUUUCCUUUUUCUUUUCCUUUAUUUUAUCCCACUUUUAUUUCCCGAGGGCAAUGAACGAAGGGAGGGCGAUAUAUAUUGCAUCAUUUGACGGUUAAAUAUGUAUGCAAAAUAGGAACAUAUAUAUUACACAUCAUUGGACCCAUGCAUAAUAAUGACUAAGUGUGUAUACAAAUUAAAUAGGAACAUAUAUAUAUUACACAUCAUUGGACCCAUAACAUACGUUUCCUCAGUGCUGACGUUUUCGUUUUUGAGUCAGCUUCUUUCCCUUCUUGUUCGUCGAAGAAUAAUUGAGCCCCUCAUUGUGACUUUGCCUUUUCCAUGGAGUACGAUUUUUCUUAGGUAAUGUAGUAUUGAUUCUUCUUUUGACGUAUACUUCAUCAUCAUCAUCAUCUUCCCUCAUUGGGUUGCUGUACUGAUCAUAGUCUUCCUCGUUGGCGACUCCAUCCAUUCCAAUGAUGUUCCUUUUGCCUCUCCUCACGACAACACGGCUGGGAUUGCGCGGGUCAGUUAUGAAGAAACAUUGUGUCACGUGCUUAGCGUGUACCCAUGGCUCGUUUUUUGCGAUAGCGUUCAUGGUAGCGCUCUUGGCGUCGGGUAUAGUCAUGGUAGUGAACAUCCGGCUUUCUCUUUCGACAUUCUUAGCCCAUCUGACACGGAACAUCAUCGUGCUGUGCAGUCCAGAGUAGUCAAGCUCCCAGAUCUCCUCGACCCUUCCAUAAAAUCGUUCAGUUGUGCCGUUGUCGCUGCCGGUCAUGCAUUCCAUCGUCACCCCUGAGUUCUGAUCAUCACUGUCCAUAUCUUUUGCCUCUGUGUAGAAUGUGUAUCCGUUGAUAUCAUAUGCCUGAUAGGUUACGAGGUUGGGCGAGGGGCCAUGUGCUAAGGCGUAUAUGAGCAAUCCGUCCUUAGAGCCCUCCUCCGGUGGAUUAGCAAUAAUAUGCUCUUUGAACCAAUGCAGGAAAGUGGAGUUGUGCUCUCUAGUAACUUCGGCGUCCGUCCUGCAUACCCCCCGGUCACGAUACUUCUUUGUGAUAAUUUCUUUGUGCAGUGCCACGAAAGGAUCUACCUCGUCUAGGUGUUGUAGCACUACCAAGUUUGCUCUGUCAAAGUCGCUGCGUCGAUCUGAGUAUGCCACGUGCAGUUCCCUGCGACCGUUGCAGUGACCAUCUCCUUUGAGCCUCCCAUCGUGCUUGUUAACGGGCAAACCAACACUAACACCAGGCGGCUGGUCUGCGCCAUAUAAAAAAUUCUCACAGAAAGAGAUGCACUCUUGUGCCAAAUAGCCCUGGACGAUGCUUCCAUCCGGACGGGACAUGUUACGAACGAAUCCUUUGAUGAUCCCAUUCAUCCACUCAAACGGGAUCAUGUUGUGCAGGAAUGACGGCCCCAGGUCUAUUAUGUCAUCCACAAUAUGGACACACAGAUGCACCAUCACGUCGAAGAACGCGGGCGGGAAGUACAUCUCAAGCUCAUUCAGUAUCACAACGAUCUCUUCCUGUAGCCUUUGGAGCUGCUUCACACUGAUCGACUUUCGAGAGAUGACAUCGAAAAAGUUGCAGAGACCAAUAAGCGUGUCACGGACGUGCUUGUCCAUUAUCCCUCUAAGGGCAACAGGUAGUAUCUGCGUCAUCAUCACAUGACAGUCAUGAGACUUCAUCCCGCUGAACCUUUUCUUGUCCGUGUCUAGAUAUCUGCUUAUCUUGCCACAGUAACCGGAACUAACUUUCACUCCGGUAAGGCACUUAAAGAAUUGAUUGAUCUCAGCCUGACUUAAGGUGAAGCAAGAGGGGGGGCAAUAAUCUUCUUUCUUUAAUUUCUUGCCCUUCUUCUCCCGUGCCUCUGUCUUCGUCUCUGUCUCGUCUGACAUUUUACGGGGCGGCAUCUGCAGAUCUUCCCUGAUUUUCAAAUCUUGCAAGUCUUUUCUUGCCUUCGGCCCAUCCUUGGUCUUAUCCGGCAUGUUCAUCAGUGUUGCGAGCAAGCUCUCAAGGACAUUCUUACAGAUAUGCAUUUGAUCAAGGCAAUGAGGUGUAUCGAGUUUGUGCCAGUACUCCAAGUCCCAGAACACGACCUCGUCUUCCAUACCUUCAGCAGCGGCUCCGGCGCCUUUCUCAUCGUCUUUCCCGGCGCGGGGCACUCAUUCCAGUUUUUCAAUAGCUCAUCGAUUUCGGCACCGCUCCGCUUACGUGGAGGUCCUCGAUGCUCAGCGUGACCAUUGAAUAGAUCUCCACGGUUUCUCCACGGGUCGUCCUGUUCAAGCCAUCUUCGAUGCCCCAUGUACAUGAUUUUCGCAGACCCGCCAUCUUUCCUUGACGUUAGCUGCUGAGACGUUGUAUCAUCCAUGCACCGCGUGCAUCCGCAAUAUCCAUGGCACACCUGGCCUGCCACAUAUCCGUAACCGAGAUAGUCCUGCACUGUCGUGAUCAGCGCGGCUCUCAUGUUGAAAUACUCACCUUUGCUGGCGUCCCAUGUCUUGGCCGGUGUUUUCCAUAACGUGUCUAACUCCUCUUGAAGUAGCCCCAGAUACAAAUUAAUAUUAUUUCCUGGUUGUUUCGGCCCUUGAAUAAGCAUGCUCAUGUGAAUGUACUUCGAUUUCAUACACAACCAGGGGGGGAGGUUGUACAUCCAUACAAACACGGGCCAUGUACUAUGGUUGGUGUUCUAGUUGCCAAAUGGAUUCAUGCCAUCGGUACACGCGCCGAGCACGAUGUUCCUUGCAUCACAUUCAAAAUACCGUUAGAAGCUGUUCAACGCUCUCCACUGGCUUCCAUCCUUCACGUGUCUCAGCUUCGGAUCAUCUCCAUCGUCGGGCUUCUUCCUCUCCGCGUGCCAGCGCAUUAGCUUUGCUUCCUUGGGAUCUACAAAAUACCUCUGAAGACGGGGAGUGAUCGGUAAGUACCAUACAACUUUCUGGGGACAUUUCUUCCCGGCCUUCUUGUAUCGAGAAGCAUUGCACACCGGACAGCUUGUUUUUUCCGCGUGCUCCUUCCGAUAAAUUAUGCAAUCGUUGAUGCAUGCAUGGUAUCUAACGUGUGGCAGAUCAAGAGGGCACACGAUCUUCUUGGCCUCAUCAACACUAGUAGGACAUAGAUUACCCGCGGGAAGAAUAUCCUUUAGGUACUUGAGAUGGUCAUCGAGGCUAGUGUCGGUCCAUUUGUUUUUAGCCUUCGUCUUCAGGAGUUGGAGCGUGAAACUCAACCGGGUCACCUCAGGAUUGCAACCAUCAUACAAUGGAGUGUUCGAGUCUACCACCAGUUGCUCCAGCUUAGCCUCCUCUCUAGAAGCAGCUCUCUCAGUACUCGUCUCCUUGCGAAGCAAUGCUUGAACAUGAGGGUCCCGCACAAUUGAACUUAGUACCGACGAACUCUGCUGCGUGGAGUCCAUGUCGUUCUCUCCGCCGCCAUGUCCGGCCCCUUCUCCUCCGCCAUGUCCGGCCACUUCUCCGCUGCCAUGUCCGGCCUCUUCCCCGCCGCCAUUAUCGAUCAUCUCUUCGUCUUGCCCCGUGUCAUCAUUGCCUGCCCCGUCGGCAUCCUCAACAUCUUCAUCCUCAUCUUCAAUUAUCCACCGAGUAUAGCCAUCCAUGAAACCAGUCAUGAGCAGGUGCGCUUCGACACGACCAUCGUCAUGGGGGUCGAGCCAAACUAUUCCUUUGCAUUUUCAACACGGACAUAAAACCUCUGUCCGGUUAUUUUCUUUCAUGUCUUGCACCGCCGACCGCAACCACCUGUCCACCAUUGUUCCACUGACCAUCGUCAACUCUGCACGGUAAUAAUAAAAAAAUUGAUUGUAAAAAUGCAUGCAUGCAUCAAAGUCAUAAAAAAAUUUGGCAUGACCUUCCCUAAAAAUAGGACAUAUAUGGAUCUAGAGUUUGCCCGAAAUUCGCCGAAACGAAAAUAAAUCGACAUUUCGGCAAAACAUAGGCAACUCAAAAGCACAAUUUGGCGGCGUCAACUCAUGCCACAGACACAAUUUCCACAAACAUAUCACACAUACACAUAAACACAUUUCCAUUUUGCAAAAGCAUGAAAUUUUCAUCACCUCUAUCUCGAUGGCCGGAGAUGAUGUUGUAGGGAGAUCAAAAGUGCACAAAGCUAUUCUUGACAAAGAUAGAUCUAGUUAGGGGGCAAAUAGGUCACUUAACUAAAUCCUACAUCUACCUAGCUACCUAAUUUGGAAGGAGACAACUUCAACUAGUGGAGGGGGAGGAAAAAGAGAAAGAAGAUGCAUUAAUUAAUGGAGGUGGUGUAGUUAUGUAGGAGUAAUGAAGAGAGAGAAGGUGGAUAGAGAANNNNNNNNNNNNNNNNNNNNNNNNNNNNNNNNNNNNNNNNNNNNNNNNNNNNNNNNNNNNNNNNNNNNNNNNNNNNNNNNNNNNNNNNNNNNNNNNNNNNNNNNNNNNNNNNNNNNNNNNNNNNNNNNNNNNNNNNNNNNNNNNNNNNNNNNNNNNNNNNNNNNNNNNNNNNNNNNNNNNNNNNNNNNNNNNNNNNNNNNNNNNNNNNNNNNNNNNNNNNNNNNNNNNNNNNNNNNNNNNNNNNNNNNNNNNNNNNNNNNNNNNNNNNNNNNNNNUGUGGUGGAGGGAAGAGAGGAGAGGGGGAGGUAGGGGGGAAGGGAAAAAAGGAAGGGGGAGGGGAGGGACGGGUUGGGGGUUGGUGGGGUUAGCAGUAGCGCGGGAGAUAAAACGCGCUGCUGCUAAGAACUUAGCAGCUGCGCGCUUUGCGGUAAGGCGCUACUGCUAACUGGGACAAAAAAUUGUGGCAAUUUGAAACUUACCAGCAGCGAUCUCGAGGAAACCGCGCUACUACUACGUACUUAGCAGUAGCGCUGUUAUUGCGACCGCGCUACUGCUACUUAGAGUUGGGGGAACACCGCCGGUCGAUAUUUGUAGCAGCGCGUUUCUUGUCGAGCGCGCUACUGCUAAAUCUUUAUCAGUAGCGAGUUUACGUAACCCGCGCUACAACUACUUAGCAGCAGCGCUCUAUUUUGAACCGCGCUGCUGCUAAGAUUCUGUGUAUAGGCUUUUCCCUAGUAGUGUAGGAAGGAAUGACCACAUGAAUGAGCAUACGUAUGAUGUGAUUAAGUCUCUCGAUUGGGUAUCUGGUGCCUUAUGUACGGUGUCUUCUUUUUGUCAAGCUAUGACAUCUUUCAGUUUGAGUGUCUGAUAUUAGGGUUGCAUACGUUUUGUUAUUCAGUUGCCUGUUGUGAACUCUACGGUUAUAUCAUCUCGAUGUGUGAGUCAAUGUGUUUGAACCAAUGUAGAGUUUCAUGUGAAUGUUACAAGUGUGAUUGAUAUGUUCAUGUUAUCCGCGGUUGCCUUGGUAAGAAACUGAAAGAGCAAACCGUUAUCGUGCUAGGACAAAAGUCAUCACUCAAUAUAAGUGCUUCUCUAGAACAGCCACACCUUGUGAAAGAAGAUGGCAAACACCCAAUCAUGUCUGGUUCGAUAUGGGCGUGGCUAUGGGUAGCUUAUAGCGACAUGGAAGCCAGCAUCGCUGGAAGAAACGCCCGGGUGGGCCGGCCUAGAGACAUUUCUUGAUAUCUACCCUUAGUUUUGUUUUUCUGCCCUUCUUUCUUUAUAUUUAUAUUUUUCCCGACAUGUUCACUACUUGAUGCUCAACUGGGAUCUCAUCCUUCACAAAUACGGAGAGCCAUUAUUGUUAGAGUUAAUCUUGACAUGUGUGUAUGUGCAUGUGUGCAUUGCAUGUUAGUGGUCUAGAGAUGGCCGGGUCGAUGCGUCUGUUCUGUGCUGGAGUGAGUCCAGCAGUUUGUUUUGGUCAGGUCGUGGUGGCUAGAGCCAUUCUAGGAGAGGAUCAAGUCAAGUUGUUAGCUGAACUCGGCUGGGUAGUGUUUGGCCGUUGAGGAUAGGCUGUACUAGUGGUGGGCAUGGCCGUGCAUAUAGCUAGCGAUUAGUUACACUAGUAGAAAACCACCCAUUAGUCCCGGUUCGUAAGGGCCUUUAGUCUCGGUUCAGGAACCGGGACUAAUGGGUCGUUACUAAUACCUCCACCCAUUAGCCCCGGUUCAAACACGAACCGGGACCAAUGUGCCUCCACGUGGCCCUGUGCGGCGAGCCCAGUCAGGGGGCCUUUGGUCCCGGCUGGUGGCUCCAACCGGGACCAAAAGGCAUCCACGCGUCUGCAUUCUAGUGGUUUCUGGUUUUUGUUUUUUUUUUGAAAGGAGGGGGGUUGGGGGUUUUGGGGAGUUAAUUUAGGUGUUUCGUAUAUUGUGUUAACUAGCUAAUUAAUAGAGAGAAGUGUCCUCUCUUAUGUCCGUGCUUGGUCGACGCUACGUAGUAUAUAUACAUAAGUAAUCGAGAGAACCAUUCAGUACAGAAGUUCGUCAUGCAUACCGAGAGAAGUGAUCGAUCGACCUCUCCUUCUCCGAGAGAUUGGUCGAACAACAAGUUUUUUACUGGCUACAUACAUGUACAAUAUGUAUAAGAUCUCUUAAUUACAAACCCAUAGCAUUUGAAAUCAACUUCCACAUGGUAUUCUCCGGCUUUACUGAUGACGUGUUCAAGAAAGAAUCCCGCUAAUUCCUCUUGAAUUGCUUUCAUGCGAUCUGGUUCUAGGAGUUCACCCCGCAUCUGCCACGUCUAAUUAAUUUGAAGAAGGGGGUUAAUUAAUACAUAUAUAUGAAUGAAACUCAACAGAAAAUGAUGGUGUAAUAAAAUGAAAUUGUGAAUAUUAUUGCUUACGCACUUCAUAUUGUCUUCUAGAGUAGCCCCGCUUGUUUCUCAAAGUUGCGUUGUGGAUGAACUCGCACACGUAGUAUCCACAAAAAUCAUUCCCUUCCUCCUGUCACAAGCACUUUACGAGAAACAGAGGUCAAUCAAACUGAUAAUGAAGCAUUAUAAAUGGCAUUGAUGAAAGUAUAGCUAUAGAAUCAACGGGAGAUGCACGCAACUAGCUAGCCAGUAGUACUUACUUUCGGGUAUACAUAUCGCAGCUCCUUCGGCAGUCCCGGAGCUUGUGCGGUGAACUGUUUCCGAACCCUGCAAGACAAAGAAAAUAAUUAUUAUUACUUGAGAUAUCAGGAAAUGAACAAAAAGUUGCCGAUAUGGUGCGAUAAUGAUCGAUUGAACUUACUUGCUGAGCAUUUCAGUCAUGUCCACAUAGGUGCUGGGAUCUUUCCGUCUCGAGUCUAAGACGGUUACUAGUCCACGCUCAAGCUUAAUCUCCAGAAGAAUAUAGUGGUACCUGCGCACGCGUGCAUAACUCAUCAAUUACAUUAACCUCGCUCGAGUAAUAAGGGAAACCGAAUAUGCACACGACAGUAACACUCACGGGCCGUUGUAAGGAAAGAGUAUGGUAUCUUUGUUUUGAUUUUUGAUCAACGAUUGUAGCAAGUUGUCCUCGGCCUCUUCGACGUUCUUUUCAACCAGAAAUACAUCUAUGAUAUUUGUGUUAAUGAACCCAAUAUCAUAAAUUUUUUGUUUUUUGCACUCGACGAUCUUCAAUCUGCAUAAUAUAUUGAGGAUAAUUAAUUAUAAAUACAUGCAAUGAAAGAUCCGAGCUAUAUAUAGAGACUUAAUGUCAGAAAUAGUACUUACAUGCAGUAGCAAAAGACCAUUAAUUUAUCGAGGGCCUUUUGAUUGAAGAACUCAAAGAACUCCUCAAAUGGAACACACAACAGAUCAUUUGAAAUGAGGUCGUGCUCCUCUUUAAUAUUCAAAUACAAACUGUUCGUCCCCUCAGACUCUCUGCAGGUUUUCAUGUACCAAUUAUGGAAUCUUCGCAUCAUUAUUGUCAGAGAUUUUUCAUCUUUGACGAGAGGCUUCCCGUACUCGUAUCUGAAUACGUCCACCUCCAUGAAAUCAGGAAGUGCAUCGUCAGGCAGGUAAUCUUCAAGAUUGCCAUAACCGGCCACCGUCCCCGGAGGAUUAGACACAUUGAGCGGGGGGCACGAUUGCUGUGCUUGUUCGCCGAGCUGGGCAAUUUUUUUCCCCUUUGCUCGUUGUUCUUUUGACCUUUUAUCAUUGACAGUAGUUCCCGACCGCUUGGCUUGGAGAUAUGUCUGUUCAGUAAUGCGCUCAUAGUUGGUUCUCGGCGGAGACUUUGGUGGUUUCCUCAGGGCAUCGAGAGUGCGCUUUGCUUUCACCGGAUCUACCUUCUCCUCCGGAGGUGGAUGUCUCUUUGCUUUCACCCCUUCAAAGAACUCCUUCACGUGGGCCUGCACGAUCGUAUUGUUUUCCUCCUUGGUCCUCUCGUACGGUAACUUCUCUAGAGGCUUUAGAGGUGGACCGUAUCUGUAUUGCCUCUCUCUUCUUGUGCUGCUAGACGCCGGAGCAGACGGAGCGGCUGUGGCGUCUGUCUUCUUCCGUGCUUGCUUAUGAGGCGGAGGAGAAGGACUACGACGCGCCGGAGCAGCCGGGGCGGCGGCGGGUCUCUUCCGCCCUUGCUGGCGAGGCGGAGAGGAGGAGGCGGAGUGCCGCCACAUGCCGGAGAAGGAGGCGGAGUGCCGCCAUGCGUGCCCUGAUCGUCACUCGCCGGAGGAGGAGGCGGUGGAGGAGGCGGAGUGCCGCCACGCGUGCCCUGAUCGUCACUCGCCGGAGGAGGACGCGGUGGAGGAGGCGGAGUGCCCUGACUCGCUGAAAGAGGAGGAGGAGGCGGAGGCGUCCAGUUCAGAAGGUUGAUGAGCUCCUUCUGCCAUAGGCAUGGAGUCUUCAGAGCAGAACCCAGCCUAGUCUCCCCUUCACCGGUAGUGUGCUCAAGCACGAGGUCCUCAAAUCCCUCCGUUAUUUCAUCCACCAUCACCUUAGCAAAUCCUUCUGGAAUUGGCUGGCAGUGAUAAGUUGUGCCGGGUCCACUAGGAUAAACUUGGCCAACAGCCGCCUUGACCUUCAAAUUCAUCCAUCACACAAUAAUGUGGCAAUUUUGAGACUCCGUGAUACCAUCCACGGGAUAGCUGGCAGGAGCCGUCAAGACAUGCUCCGGCUGAAGCAGCUCAGUGGAAGCCACGCUGCUUCUCUGCUGAGAUGGCGGGGUAGCUUCGGGGGAAGCUUCGGCAGGUCGUUUGUUGUGAUCUGCUGCUUCUUGUUCCUCUAGCCCCAUUACCCUUUCGUGCAGCGCCUGCAUUUGGUCCUGCUCCAGUUUCUUCCUCCUCUCGUAGGCUUUGUAAACGCCUGCGUCCAGAAAACCAACCUUCCACGGAAUGGAGCCUGGCGUGCCUCGUGUCCGUCCAGGGUGCUCGGGAUUCCCAAGGGCCAUUGUGAGCUCGUCCUUCUCCCUGUUUGGAAGGAACGUCCCUCGUUGUGCUGCAUCGAUAUAGUGUCGAAGGUUCUUGACUGGUGUUUGCAGUUGCUCGUCCGUCCACUGACGCUUCCCUGUUACAGGGUCCAAGGUUCCGCCAGCCCCGAAGACCCAAGUCCGGCAACGGUCUGGCCAGCGCAUUGUCUCUGGUUCGAUUCCUUUUUCAAGCAGAUCAUGCUCAGCCUUGGACCACUUAGGCCGGGCUUUGAGGUAGCCACCUGACUCCGUGCGAUGGUGAAGCUUCUUCUUCGCAGCAUUUUUCUUGUUUGUCUCCGACAUCGUCUUACUCUUUUCCGAUGUCUUGUGGGCCACAAAUGCGGGCCAGUGAUCUUUGAUCUUCUCAUAUUUGCUGAUGAAUUCUGGUGUCUUUUUUUUCUCGAGAAACUGGUUCAGCUCUUUCCUCCACCUCCUCAUUAGGCUUGCCAUCUUCUUAAGAGCACAAGACUUGAUUAAUUGCUCUUUAACUGGCUUCUCCGGAUCCUCCUCUGGCGGUAGGGUGAAAUUUGCCUUCAGCUCAGUCCAAAGAUCUUCUUUCUGCAUAUCAUUGACAUAAGACACCUCAGGGUCUUCAUCCUUAGCAGGCUUAUACCAUUGCUGGAUGCUGAUCGGGAUCUUGUCCCUAACAAGAACCCCGCACUGAGCAGAAAAUGCCUUCCUUGUCCGGAUGGGUUCAAUCGGUUCGCCGUCGGGCGCGAUUUCUAUGAUCUCAAACUUUUCAUCCGAGAUCAACUUUUUCUUCGGGCCUCGUCUCCUUACCGAAGUUGUGCUCGAUCCGGAGGGCUAGAAAUUAUAAGGAAGAAAGACGACAGUAAUUAAUAUGUGUACAUAUACCAAAACAAUGGAUGCAUCAAUUAACUAGUCAGCACGGGCUUAACUAAUAUAUAUAUACCUGGCCGGACUCGGUUCGGUGACCGGAGCAGUCAGCACGGUCUCCUUGUACCUCCAUUGUGUCACCGGAGCCAUCAUGAACAUAGUCCUCCUCUUGUACCGGCAUUAAUGGGUCGAAGCCAUCAUAAACAUAGCCCUCUUCUUCAUCCAGUCCUUCCAGCUGACCAUCGGUGUCGAUGAGAAAUGACGCAACAUCAUCACUUCCAUUUGCGAUUAUGUCCCCCAACAUCGCUUCUGUUUCUUCGUCUCGGGAGUGCUCCAUAGUUUCUGCAAAUAUUUACAACAUGUCAAUUAUUAUUCAAACAUGGUACAAAUGGAUAUAUAUAUAUAUAUAUAUAUAUAUAUAUAUAUAUAUAUAUGAAAAUGGAUUGGUACUCCUAGGAGUACAUACUCUCACCUACACCCGUCAUCGUUGGAAACAUUCAUCCCGCUAACUACUAAAAAAAGAGCUAACUAACUACGGAUAAAGCCUUUGGAUUUAAAAAUUAGUUGAACCGCUUCCUUUUUUUUCAGCUCUCGUAGGCGUGCCUUCCAGGGAUUCCAUUUGAAACGGCGUUCUCAUCUCUUGCCAGCACCCAUGAACAUAAAAAAACAGAGCAUCGGCUCGCCUCCGCCCCGCCGACUGACCGGAAGACUUGGUCGACAUGGCCGACGAUGAUCCCCGUGCUUCUUCCCUCGCAAACUAGGCUUCAACCACCACGUCCAUCAAUCAGAGGAAGAUUGAUUCAUCAUCUGUAGUUUGCGAGGGUACGUGCAAUUGAUGUUUCCCGAUUUUUCUGUUCGGCUACCACAACCGUGUUCAUGUUCCCGCUGACCCCUUGAUCCAUUCCUGUCCAGUAUGUCAUCGUCCGAGAAGAAAAUAGGACGGAGAUGAUUGAUCGGCCAGAUUGAUCGGCCAAGUCUACUAGUACCACUGGUGGAAAAAAGGCCUUUGGUCGCGGUUCGCAACUGCCAUUAGUCGCGGUUGCGCAACCGCGACCAAAUAAGCGCGACUAAAGCCCCCCACCUUUAGUCGCGGCUGCUUAAGAACCGCGACUAAAGGCCCGUCCAUGUGGGCGCCAGGCGGCCGUCGGGACGGAGGACCUUUAGUCGCGGUUCUUCUGGCCAACCGCGACUAAAGGCCGCCACAGGUUUAGGGUUUUAGCCCCCCCCCUAAACCUGUUUUCUGUUUAAUUUGUAUUGUUUUAUUUCUUUUGUGCUUUAUUUUAAUUUUGAAGGAGUUUCAUAUAUUCUACGGUACUACAUACAUGCAUAUGAAUGUACAAUUUCAAAUAAAUUUGAAAUUAGAACCAAAAAGAAUUCAAGAGGAAUAUACAAUAUAUAUUCAAUAUCAUCGGAUGACCAUAUACAAUUUUGAACAAGUUUCCAUACAUGAUUUAAUGCAUAUAAAGUUCUACGUCCUCGUAAUAGUGUUCUCCUUUAGGAUGGAGGACUUCCCUGCUGAACCAUCCAGCUAGUUCCUCUUGAAGUGGUCGGAAGCGAGCUUCUGGACUAAGCAUCCACCGGAGGUUAUUCCUCUGAGCAUUGGUAUCACUCGGAACCCGCUCAGAGGUGUAUCUCCGGAUCAUCUCACAGACAUAGUAUCCACAUAGAUUGGUCUCCGGUGGCUGAAUAUCCCCAGCAUUCUUAGCCACUGACCUUUUGAAUUCUAGCUCUUUUUUGAAUUCACCGACCUUUGUAUCUACGAACCGUCUCCAAACCCUACGAGGCAAAGAAAAUUAAAUGAACAAGAGAGUUAUUAGUUACUUGAUAUUAGGAAAUGAACGAAAUAGGCCGAUUGAUAUAGAGCGCAAAUGAAUGAAAAUAAUUACUUCUGCAGCAUUCUUCUCAUGCCGCCCCAAAGCUUUGGAUCCAUAUUCACAGAGUCGUGGACGAGACAUUCUGAGGUGUUAACUUUAAUUACUAGCAGAAUCCAGUGGAACCUGCGGACACGAUACAUGCACAGUACGUCAUGCAUAACUCAUCGAUUAGCCGGCCACAUACCAUGCAUGGAGUAAACAAAAGAGAAUGUGCUCAAGACACAAACACUCACCCAAAAUGGUAAGGAAAUAGAAUAUCACUUUUGAGUUCCUGCUUUGUAAGAAACUGCCACAGGUCUACCUCCACGUCGGCGGGGUGACGCUCCAACACAUGUCCAUUAACGAUGUGUGGGUCAAUGAACCCAACAUCAUGGAUGUUCCUUACUCUGCAUUCCUUAAUCUUCAUUCUGCAUGUAUAAUAGCGGACACAACAAUAUAGUUAGGACAUAUAUAUAGUGCAGGCAAUAUGAACGAGAUGGGGUAGAAAUUAAUAAAUCACUUACAGAACGUAGCAACUGAUGAUAGAUUUAUCGAGCUCGCGCAGAUUGAAAAGCUGGAACAAUUCACUCAGUUCAAUUUGUACAUAGUAAUGUUUGAAGUGAUGCUCAUGUCUAACUUCCGCAUAAAUAUAUUCUUUGGCGUUUUUAUUUUUUAUGUAACCCUUGUACCAUUUCAGCAGACCUUUCAUUUGUGGAGGUAGAUCCUUUUCCUGCGCAGGCUCGACGAGAGGCCCAUUCUUGACAUAUGUAAUUACUACCUCCUUCACUGGCGCCUCAUCAAGGCCUAACAGUUCACGAAGAGUAAUACCUAAGUUGGCCGCUUGUUCUAUGGCACUCGUUACAGUCAAUCCCUGUGCUGCCGCAGCUUGUAUGAUCUCGGGGGCAUCCGGACAGAAGGCUUCCACUAUAAGCGGGGCAAUCGAUUGUUUACUUUGUUCCCCGAGCUGGGCAACUUGUUUCCCGCUUUUUUUACUUUCGGCCUUCUCCCGCUCUUUGUUCUCCUUGAACAUGAGUGCCUGCCUGCGAAGUUCACGUGCAUAGUCGUUAGGCAGAUUCUUCGCGGCUUGGGACGGUGUGCUCAAAAAUGACUUAGCCCACUUGUUUUGCUCAUCAGAAAAUACUGGCUUGGGCUCGAGCUCUCUUUUCUUCUUGCAGUCCGCCUUCCAUUUCUCCAAAUCAGCAGCCGCGGCCGCGUCGACUUCCUCGGCACUACGUUCCCAAGGCCUUGUGGGGAGAGGCUUCAGUGAUGGCUCCGGUACCUUUGUGGUCUUAGGUACAUAAGGGUCCGGGUUAAUAAUCCAGGACUGCUUCUGCUUCUUUGCCGGAGGUGGAUUGGGGGGCGGCGUCUGAUCACCCGCCGGACGAGGACUGGGGGGCGGCGGCUGAUCACCCGCCGGACGUUGUGGACUGGGGGGCGGCGUCGGCUGACGUGACGGAGGUGUAGGUGAACCGCCACCACCACCACCACCACCACCACCGCCACCGCCACCACCACCACCGUAGGGGGGUGGACUUGUUGUCCUUGGCGCCUCGCCUGGAAACUUGAUAAACUUCUUUUGCCAUAGAAUGAAAUGGCGCUUGACAUCUCCAAGUCUUUUCUCCCCUUCAGGUGUAGCAAUGUCAAUCUCCAGGUCCUCAAACCCUUGGACUAUGUCCUCCACCGUGACACGAGCAUAGCCAUCUUGAAUGGGGUUGUUGUGGUGGAGUGCUCCAGGUAAACAUGGUAAAGCACUGCCGAUGGCUACCUUCAUGGACAUGUUCCCGAUAGGAUAAUACAGAUGACAUUCUUCUCCGCUGCUGGCUUCCGAGAUCUGCUGGAUGAUCUUCAUGCUGCACCCGAGCUGCAUCUCUUUCGGCUACUAGUACACUCAUGGUUUUCUUCAUCACAUCCAUUUCCGAUGCCAACCGCGCCACAACAUCUGCUUCCCGAUCCACCUUUCUCUUACGGCUUCUGUAACCGUACGGGUCAUCGUUCUGGGGGAACCCUAUUUUCCACGGAAUGUGCCCCAUGCCUCGUACACGUCCUCCGUGUUCAGGAUUCCCGAGGGAUUUUGUCAGCGCGUCGUUCUCUCUGUUGAACUUGAUCUUCCCCUGUUGAGCAUCCCUCAUUGCGUUAAUAAGGGCUUGGGUGGGUUUAAUUAAUUUGCCCCGGUAAACACACUCCCCUGUCUCCGGGUUCAGCGUUCCCCCAUGCCCGUACCACCAACUUUUGGCCCUUGGGUCCCAUCCCUCCGUACCUGCACGGAUUCCUCGCGCCCUCAGCUCGUUCUCCAUCUUCUCCAACCUAGGCACCCAAAUGCGAUACCCUCCUGGCCCCAUAACAUGAUUGUACUCCUUCUUAGCCGCAUUUUCCUUAUUUUUUCGAUAUUUGAAUGAACUGCUCCGAUUUCUUUUGCUUCACAAAUUCUGGCCAAUCAUGUUUCAGUUUCUCAUAUUGUCCUUUGAAAUCCGGAGUCUUGUUCUGCUUGACAAAGUCAUGGGCUAGAUUUUGCUUGAAUUUCCGGAAUGCGUCGGCCAUCUUAUGAAGAGCGAACUGUUUGACUAGCCUCCUCCUCUCCUUGUUUUCUUCAAUCUUGUUACCCUCCUCAUCGAAUUUGUUGUAUUCCGGAGGUAGAACGAAAUGUUCCAUAAGCUUCUUGAAGCAAUCUUUUUUUGUUCUCUUAUCGACAAAAGUGAAACCAUCAAUUCGUGCCUUCUUUGGCUCAUUCCACUCCUGGACGGUGAUCGAGACGUUGUCUCUAACAAUGGCUCCGCAUUGGCUGACAAACUUGGUGGCGUUCUUGCGGGGCUCCAGCGGCCUGCCGGUUGCACUGUCGACAACCUCGAUGGUGCAUGUUUCUCCUUGUUUCAUCGUCUUGGUUGCGCCACGCUUUGACGACGUACUCGAUUGUUUCGACGAUCCGGCCGAGGGCUAAAAUAAGAAAGAGUCGCGCGCGUUAGUACACACAUAUUUAUUCAAAUCAGUUAGUUUGUAUCACCAGAGGCUCAAUGUAUAUAUAUACCUCGGCGCCGGAGGUGGUUGCUACAUCCAUUUGAAGAUCGUCGUUUAUCGACGUUUGUUCGGCAUCAUCUUGCUGACGGCGCCCUUCAUCUUCACCGUCAAGGUUCAGAUAAGAAGAGAUAUCAUCUUCUUCUUCUCCGGUCGGCACAUAUAGAAUAUCGCCGUUUAUGAUGCCGAACAUAUGUGCUUCACCGUCCGGAUCAUAGUUGUCCAUAAUCGGGUCAGCUCUAUCGUCCGCCAUUAUGUCAGUCCUGAAAACAUGUAGUAAAAACAAAUUAAUUAAGUGAAGAAGGGGGGCGGUGGCGGUGGCGGUGGCGAAAGGGUGGUGGCAAAAGGAGGGGGCGAGGAAGGGGUGGGAGAGGGUGUCGCGGUAGAGCGCGAGACGGGGCGGCACGAACGUCAUUUUGUGAAGAAACUUUGCAAGCAAUUAAACAUUUGUCAAUGUUUGGUAAAAAAAAUACAGGUAGCGUCUGUUGCUCCUAAUGAUUGGAAACGGUUUCCAAUUGCCAACGAGGAUUUAGAUCGACUACUACUACUAGUUGCAUUGCUCCCCAUCGGGACGAUGUUGCUCCUAAUCCCCUCCUUUGGAAUCUAUAGUACUAGUGCAUACUAGCUGGCCGUUGACCGUUGUUGCUCAUCGCGUUUUCUCAAAGUCCACUGAUUUUGCUCAGGGCCAGUUCGGAGAUUUUGCUGGUCCACUGAUUUUGGAUCAACGCCGGGAUGGCAUGGGCGCUCGGCGAUGAUGCGAAGUAGACUUGCACAGGCAACGUGAUGUACAUGGAUGUGUCAGUACGGUACGCUCGGCGAUGCCACGGUAUGGAUGACUUCUCGAGUGGAGAUUGGAGAACCAAGUUCGCCGGUGAAACGUCGGCUCCUGAUCAGAUCUGGGGGUCGCGAACUAGCGAUUGGAUCUCGGAAGGGAGUUAGGAAAGCGAACAGACGUGCGUUCAAGGCUACAACUUUUUUUUUCAGGAUCUUGAAAACAGCUACGCGUUCAAGGCCCGGUCCUGAUUUUGCUCAUCUACCCGGGGCGGCGUUCGCACUGCGCGAGGGCCGACUCCGCGGGGUGCUGCCGCGUCGCCUCGUCGACGCUGAGCGAGUUGGCGAGGACCGUGUACAUGGUCGGCACGUCGCCGGCGGAGAGGGUCAUGCUGUCCCCGACCAGCGGCGGCCACGGACGGGGAGGGCGGCGGCGGUGACUGGGAAGGAAUGAUAGGAGAGGAAGGAAGGUCGCGUGGGGUUGAGGGCGGNNNNNNNNNNGGCGAGGAGGGACUCCUUGGCGGAGAGGCGCUCCGUCUCGCGGGCGUAGCUGGCAGCGGGCUCCCACGCCUGCGCGUACACGUCGUCCCGCCGUGCGUUCAAGGCUACAACUUUUUUUUUUAGGAUCUUGAAAACAACUACGCGUUCAAGGCCGGCCCGGUCCUGAUUUUGCUCAUCUACCCGGGGCGGCGUUCGCACUGCGCGAGGGCCGACUCCGCGGGGUGCUGCCGCGUCGCCUCGUCGACGCUGAGCGAGUUGGCGAGCACCGUGUACAUGGUCGGCACGUCGCCGGCGGAGAGGGUCAUGCUGUCCCCGACCAGCGGCGGCCACGGACGGGGAGGGCGGCGGCGGUGACUGGGAAGGAAUGAUCGGAGAGGAAGGAAGGUCGCGUGGGGUUGAGGGCGGGCGAGCGAGGCGGCAGUACCGAGGCUGGCCGGCGGCGCGCGCGCGGUGGGCGAGGGCGACGGCGGGCGGCGUCGAGGGCGAGGGCGACGGCGGGCGGCGUCGAGGGCGCGGCAGAGACGAACAGGCGAGAAACGGCGGGCGGCGUCGAGGGAGCCUUGUAUUUAUAGCCCCCCCNNNNNNNNNNNNNNNNNNNNNNNNNNNNNNNNNNNNNNNNNNNNNNNNNNNNNNNNNNNNNNNNNNNNNNNNNNNNNNNNNNNNNNNNNNNNNNNNNNNNNNNNNNNNNNNNNNNNNNNNNNNNNNNNNNNNNNNNNNNNNNNNNNNNNNNNNNNNNNNNNNNNNNNNNNNNNNNNNNNNNNNNNNNNNNNNNNNNNNNNNNNNNNNNNNNNNNNNNNNNNNNNNNNNNNNNNNNNNNNNNNNNNNNNNNNNNNNNNNNNNNNNNNNNNNNNNNNNNNNNNNNNNNNNNNNNNNNNNNNNNNNNNNNNNNNNNNNNNNNNNNNNNNNNNNNNNNNNNNNNNNNNNNNNNNNNNNNNNNNNNNNNNNNNNNNNNNNNNNNNNNNNNNNNNNNNNNNNNNNNNNNNNNNNNNNNNNNNNNNNNNNNNNNNNNNNNNNNNNNNNNNNNNNNNNNNNNNNNNNNNNNNNNNNNNNNNNNNNNNNNNNNNNNNNNNNNNNNNNNNNNNNNNNNNNNNNNNNNNNNNNNNNNNNNNNNNNNNNNNNNNNNNNNNNNNNNNNNNNNNNNNNNNNNNNNNNNNNNNNNNNNNNNNNNNNNNNNNNNNNNNNNNNNNNNNNNNNNNNNNNNNNNNNNNNNNNNNNNNNNNNNNNNNNNNNNNNNNNNNNNNNNNNNNNNNNNNNNNNNNNNNNNNNNNNNNNNNNNNNNNNNNNNNNNNNNNNNNNNNNNNNNNNNNNNNNNNNNNNNNNNNNNNNNNNNNNNNNNNNNNNNNNNNNNNNNNNNNNNNNNNNNNNNNNNNNNNNNNNNNNNNNNNNNNNNNNNNNNNNNNNNNNNNNNNNNNNNNNNNNNNNNNNNNNNNNNNNNNNNNNNNNNNNNNNNNNNNNNNNNNNNNNNNNNNNNNNNNNNNNNNNNNNNNNNNNNNNNNNNNNNNNNNNNNNNNNNNNNNNNNNNNNNNNNNNNNNNNNNNNNNNNNNNNNNNNNNNNNNNNNNNNNNNNNNNNNNNNNNNNNNNNNNNNNNNNNNNNNNNNNNNNNNNNNNNNNNNNNNNNNNNNNNNNNCGAGGAAGACCAAUCGGCUUAAGGUCAGGAACAAAGUCAACACAAAACUCAAUUACCUCCUCAUUUCCAUAGCCCUUGGCGAUGCUUCCUUCUGGCCUAGCACGGUUACGAACAUAUUUCUUUAAUACUCCCAUGAACCUCUCGAAGGGGAACAUAUUGUGUAGAAAUACAGGACCGAGAACGAAAAUCUCUUCGACUAGGUGAACCAGGAGGUGCGUCAUAAUAUUGAAGAAGGAUGGCGGGAACACCAACUCGAAACUGACAAGACAUUGGAUCACAUCGUUCUGUAACCAUGGUAGAACUUCUGGAUUGAUUACCUUCUGAGAGAUUGCAUUGAGGAAUGCACAUAGCUUCACAAUGGCUACUCGAACAUUUUCCGGCAGGAGCCCCCUCAAAGCAAUCGGAAGCAAUUGCGUCAUAAUCACGUGGCAGUCGUGAGACUUCAGGUUUUGGAACUUUUUCUCCGCCAUGUUUAUUAUUCCUUUUAUAUUGGACGAGAAUCCAGACGGGACCUUCAUACUGCUCAGGCAUUCAAAAAAGAUGACCUUCUCUUCUUUGGUCAGAGCGUAGCUGGCACGACCUUGAAACCAUUCCGGAUGCCGGUCAUCAGGGUCUUUCAAACGUUGCUGGUCCUGCCGUGCUUCCUUUGUAUCAUUUGUCUUCCCAUACACGCCCAAGAAGCUUAGGAGGUUCACGCAAAUAUUCUUCGUAACGUGCAUCACGUCGAUUGCAGAGCGGACAUCUAGGACUUUCCAAUAUUCUAGCUCCCAGAAUAUAGAUUUCUUCUUCCACAUGGCUGCGUUCCCGUCUGCUCCCUUCGGAACUGAUUGUCCGCCAGGACCCUUUCCAAAGAUGACUUUCAAAUCCUUGACCAUAUCAAAUACCUCAGCACCAGUGCAUUCCGCAGGCUUCGGCCGGUGAUCUGCCUUGCCGUUGUAAUGCUUGCCUUUCUUUCUUACUGGAUGAAUUUUCGGAAGAAAUCGAUGAUGCCCAAGGUACACGUUCUUCUUACAAUUUGGCAAAUGUACACUUUCAGUCUCAUGUAAGCAGUGCGUGCAUGCAUUGUAUCCCUUAUUUGACAGUCCCGAAAGGUUACUAAGAGCAGGCCAAUCGUUGAUGGUUACGAAAAGCAACGCUCGUAGGUCAAAUUCCUCUUGUUUGUGCUCAUCCCACACACGGACACCACCCCACAGCUGUAAAAGUUCAUCAACUAAUGGCCUUAGGUACACAUCGAUGUCGUUGCCGGGUUGCUUCGGACCUUGGAUGAGCACUGGCAUCAUAAUGAACUUCCGCUUCAUGCACAACCAAGAAGGAAGGUUGUAGAUGCAUAGAGUCACGGGCCAGGUGCUAUGGCUGGAGCUCUGCUCGCCAAAAGGAUUCAUGCCAUCCGUACUUAGAGCAAAUCUUAUGUUCCUUGCGUCAGCUGCAAAAUCUUUGAACCAUCUGUCGAUCUUUCUCCAUUGCGUUCCAUCUGCGGUGUGUCUCAACUCCCCGUCCGACUUACGGUCCUCUUUGUGCCAUCGCAACAACUUGGCAUGCUCUUUGUUCCUGAACAGACGUUUCAACCGUGGUAUUAUAGGAGCAUACCACAUCACCUUGGCGGGAACCCUCUUCCUGGGUUUCUGGCCCUCAACAUCGUCACCAGGGUCAUCGCCUCUGAUCUUAUAACGCAAUGCAGUGCAUAUCGGGCAUUCAUUCAAAUUCUCGUAUUCACCGCGGUAGAGGAUGCAGUCGUUGAUGCAUGCAUGUAUCUUCAGAACCUCUAAACCUAGAGGGCAGACAACCUUCUUUGCUUCGUACGUACUGGCGGGCAACUCGUUAUCCUUUGGAAACAUACUCUUCAACAUUUUCAGCAAGUUUUCAAAUGCCGAGUCAGCUACACCUGCCUCUGCCUUCCAUUUCAGCAAAUCCAGUGUGCAGCCCAGCUUUUUCAGACCAUCAUCGCAUCCGGGGUACAGCGCCUUUCUGUGAUCCUCUAACAUGCGAUCCAAAUUCUCCCUCUCCUUUUCAGUUUCGCAGCGUCUCCGUGCAUCAGCAAUGGUCCGACCAAGAUCAUCAACGGGAUCAUCACGUGCCUCUUCUUCACCUUCCCCUUCACCUUCAGCAUCCUCCAUGAAAGUAUCACCGAGAUGAGCAAGAUAGCUUUCAUCGAUGAAAUCAUCCCCUUCUUCAUCUUCUUCCAUUAUAACCCCUCUUUCUCCAUGCUUGGUCCAACAAUUAUAGCUUGGCAUGAAACCGUGCCGAAGCAGAUGCAUGUGAACAUCUCUUGAGGAAGAGUAACCCUUCUGAUUCUUACAGAUAACACAUGGACAGAUAACAAAAAACCCCUGCUUGUUCGCAUUAGCCACUACGAGGAAAUCUUUCAAACCCGUAGUGAACUCGCCGGAGAGUCGGUUACCGUACAUCCAUUGCCGAUUCAUCUGCAUUAUUAUAAUAUAAAAUAUAUAAUUAACCAUCAUGCAUUUGUUAAACUAACUAGCUACAAACAAUAUAAAUUAAACAAUGAACUGCACACAUGCAUAUUUUAUCAAUGACACAUCAAAGGUUCAUCAAGUUGCUAACCGCGAUCGAGGAGUGUGGCUCCAACACUUCAUGUCAUGUUUGUUUCAUGCUCUUGGGGCAUUUCAUCAAACACCUUAUGUGCAUAAGAGGAACCAAAAGCAAACCUACACCCACUUGUGAAGAGAAUGGCUCCAAAUGGCUAAGUGUUGGCUGCUGGAUGGGUAUAUAUAGGGGAGGGGCUUUAGUUGCGGUUGGCUUGGCAAACCGUGACUAAAGGUGCCCGAAGGCCUUUAGUCGCGGUUGUCCUGGCCAACCGCGACUAAAGACCCUCACGUGCGCCAGCUGGCCACCGAGCGCCCUGAGCCCAGGCCUUUGGUCGCGGUUCACCUCCAGAACCGCGACUAAAGGUCCCAUUAGUCGCGGUUCCUACAGCUUCGCGACUUAUGGGGCUGGACGGAAGCUUGUUUUUCCACCAGUGUACUAGGUAAGGUGUCGUUCCAGUCAAAUUGAUGAAUUCAUCUUUUGUUACCUUUGUUAUAGGAAUAUAGGCUGCAUUUAUUAGUCAUAUCGAGCUCUCAAGGAGUCAAGAUCUUGUUAACUUACUAAUAAUUUCUAUAUACCUGCAGCGUUAUGGCCUAUGGUGCAGGGCAAAGACAACAAGGACGACAUGCGGCGGCGACGUGGCCAUGGUGAAGCUACUUCGUCCGGCUACCCCAUGGUUGGCGUGUCUGCCGUCCUCUCAAUCUAUCACACGUACGUCCGGUGCAUGCAUGGUGUCGGGCCGAAGAGCACACAAAUCUACAUCCAGGCCCUGGGCACUAGCAACCGCUGAUGCACUUAGCCACUUACCAAUGUAUUCCUAUUGUACGUAUAUAAUAAAGUGGUUAGUACGUCGACGUAGAAAUAGUUAGUAGCUUGCUUUGCACUCACACAAUCGAGUCAUGAUUGUUACUGAUGAUCAAAAUUUUAUGUAUUUUUUAUGCCGGAUGGGUUUACUACUUCUUCUUCGGUUGUAUAUAAAGCUUCCAAAAAAUUAGUAUAUAAUCCUCCAGAAUAAAUCAGUAUAUAGUCCUCCAAAAAAAUGAGUAUAUACACUUUGUAACGCAGCAUAUACCCCAUAAAAAAUGUAGUAUAACGCUGCAGAAAUAAGACAUACUCCUUUUCUAGUUGCAUAUACCCAAUCACAAAACUACACUGAAAUAAUUAGUAGUACAUACUCCUUUUCUAUUUUGGAAAGGAACGUCCAUUUCCCUCUUCAACAAGUGCUUUAUUUUUCUAGGGGUAGCCUUGUGUUUUUACUGCCAUGCGACGACAUUACAAAAUGUAUUACACCCAUUAUUCAUCUAAUUUUUUAUAUACCCUUUUAUGCAUACUUUGAAUUUAUCACUCAUUUGGGCGACCAGCCCGCUCUCUCAUUGCAGCGACUCGACUCUCACAUAAAGCCAGUAUAUACUCACGUAAAAAAAAGCAGUAUAGACUCCCUUACUGAAAAAGAACUAUAUACUCCCCUACCAAAAAAAGUAGUAUAUGCUCCAUUACCAAAAAGGCAGUAUAUACUCAUAUACAAAAGGUGGUAUAUACUGUCUUCCCAAAGUAGUAUAUAUCUUUUUCCUUGCGUUAGAGAAGUAGUAUAACCAGAACAGAUAGUUCAUACUUGUGUGCUGAAAAAAGUAGUAUAUAAAUAUAUAUGUAAGAGUGAGUAUGGUAGAUAUGUAUCGGUCCUUACAAAAAAAAUCAACCACUGUUAUUGUUUAUUUGCACCGAACUAACCUUAUCUGUAUGCUAGGAUCCUUGAAUCUCUCAAUCUGUUGAUGCACAUGCAUGCGUCGGCCGGUGGAGCAAUUAGCAACUAGAUCUAAUAACUGCCAACCUGUUCAGUCCAUGGGAGUACAUACUCCUGGGAGUAUAAAAGAGGAGUCUAUAUAUAUAUAUAUAUAUAUAUAUAUAUACGGUGGCGCUAUUGUGUGCGUGAGCGCAGAUUUACUUAUCGUGCGCGCCGGUCAUUGCGUGCGCCACUCGUAUUCCUAAUGAUGGUAAAAUUCCUGGCAGAAAUAGUAAUAUAAUUUAAUUGGUUACUGCCUGCCACCACCACGGUAGCGAUUUAAUUGGUUAGGUCUACUAGUAAAAAUGCAUAGCAGAAAAAGUAAAAGAGCUAAAAGUAUUACUGUUGGAUGCAUCGGUCCCCGCUUCGACUGCCUACUAGUAAAACACCUCAUAAAAGUAGUAAUAGGAUUACCCUACACGCAUCAGCCCCUUGCCAUACUUGUGAACAGGUAAACUUCAUGUGAAGAAUAGUACUGGAUGGUAACUGUGUUACCAUAGAACGGACACUUGCUAUUAGCUAGCUACAUGGUAAUUUUAUUACCGCUAACUUUCAUCGGUUUAAUACCUAAUCAUGUUACCACUUAUUUUCUUAGUAGUAUUGGAUGGUAACUAUGUUACCACAUGACGAAAAAAUUGCUAUUAGCUAAUAGCUACACGGUAAUUGCAUUACCACUCAUGUGUAGAAGCAUGAUACACGGUCUUUUUUCCAAUUACGUUUGGUCGAAGACGCAAGGGUUUGCUAAUCGCUAAAGUGGGGUCGAAGCAGUAAUAAGUUUCCAACCGUUACCAUGUUUCUUAAGGUAUGUUACGUAUGGGCGCAAGACAUGUUCUUUAAUAGGAGCGGGACAACGGUUGCUUAGACGGAGAAUGGCGCGCAGUCUGGCCGGAGCGUAGAAUUAGACUUCUGCGCUCAGGCUUAGUUUAGCACGUCUAUAUAUAUAUAUAUAUAUAUAUAUAUAUAUAUACAUACAUGUUAGUGGCCUCGACGCUGCUUCUCUAGGGUUUGGGGUCGCCUCGACACAACGCUUCAAGGGUUUGGGGUGGCCUCGACGACAACGUUUUUUUAACUUGAUAAAUUUGGGUGGCCUCGAGAGAGUUAAUUUGUCGGGUAGGGGCGCGGCGGGAGGGGGUAGGAGACCAACAUCGUUUUCUCUCUAGGGUUUGGGUGUCCUCGAGAGUUAUCGGGGAGGGGGUAUCGGUACCACCCCCUAGCUCGUGUUGAAGUUUCUUCUUUCUCCUCUAUUCCUUUCUUUCUUCUUCUCCUCUUCUUUUUCUUCUUCUCCCUCGAGAAAGGAAAAUANNNNNNNNNNNNNNNNNNNNNNNNNNNNNNNNNNNNNNNNNNNNNNNNNNNNNNNNNNNNNNNNNNNNNNNNNNNNNNNNNNNNNNNNNNNNNNNNNNNNNNNNNNNNNNNNNNNNNNNNNNNNNNNNNNNNNNNNNNNNNNNNNNNNNNNNNNNNNNNNNNNNNNNNNNNNNNNNNNNNNNNNNNNNNNNNNNNNNNNNNNNNNNNNNNNNNNNNNNNNNNNNNNNNNNNNNNNNNNNNNNNNNNNNNNNNNNNNNNNNNNNNNNNNNNNNNNNNNNNNNNNNNNNNNNNNNNNNNNNNNNNNNNNNNNNNNNNNNNNNNNNNNNNNNNNNNNNNNNNNNNNNNNNNNNNNNNNNNNNNNNNNNNNNNNNNNNNNNNNNNNNNNNNNNNNNNNNNNNNNNNNNNNNNNNNNNNNNNNNNNNNNNNNNNNNNNNNNNNNNNNNNNNNNNNNNNNNNNNNNNNNNNNNNNNNNNNNNNNNNNNNNNNNNNNNNNNNNNNNNNNNNNNNNNNNNNNNNNNNNNNNNNNNNNNNNNNNNNNNNNNNNNNNNNNNNNNNNNNNNNNNNNNNNNNNNNNNNNNNNNNNNNNNNNNNNNNNNNNNNNNNNNNNNNNNNNNNNNNNNNNNNNNNNNNNNNNNNNNNNNNNNNNNNNNNNNNNNNNNNNNNNNNNNNNNNNNNNNNNNNNNNNNNNNNNNNNNNNNNNNNNNNNNNNNNNNNNNNNNNNNNNNNNNNNNNNNNNNNNNNNNNNNNNNNNNNNNNNNNNNNNNNNNNNNNNNNNNNNNNNNNNNNNNNNNNNNNNNNNNNNNNNNNNNNNNNNNNNNNNNNNNNNNNNNNNNNNNNNNNNNNNNNNNNNNNNNNNNNNNNNNNNNNNNNNNNNNNNNNNNNNNNNNNNNNNNNNNNNNNNNNNNNNNNNNNNNNNNNNNNNNNNNNNNNNNNNNNNNNNNNNNNNNNNNNNNNNNNNNNNNNNNNNNNNNNNNNNNNNNNNNNNNNNNNNNNNNNNNNNNNNNNNNNNNNNNNNNNNNNNNNNNNNNNNNNNNNNNNNNNNNNNNNNNNNNNNNNNNNNNNNNNNNNNNNNNNNUGAAAACACUUUUUUUUGUUUUCUUUCUUGCUUUAUUUAUUUUAUUUUGUUUCUACUUGCAAUAAAAUACUUAUUGUUGUUUUUUUGUUUUGUUUUCUGCAUUAUUUAUUUUCUUUUGUUUUUUGCUUUAUUUUUUAAUUCUUUUUGCUUUUAGUUUUAGGAAAAUUAUAAACUUUCUAUUAGUGCCAUUACUUUUCAAAUUUGAAAACACUUUUUUGUUUUUUAGUUUUCUUUCUUGCUUUAUUUAUUUUAUUUUGUUUCUACUUACAACAAAAUACUUAUUGUUGCUAUUUUUAAUUAUUACGAAGGCCAAACCAUAAGACAUUAAAGCAUUUCAAAUGAACUCUGAAAAAGUUGAAAGUUGGCAUGGUAUCAUAAAUUGACCCACACAUAGCAUGUGCAUGUACAAAACGGACAAUGUUAUCAUACUCGUCAGUUACAAAGUUGGCAUGGUAUCAUCAUAAUAGUUGCGGGAGAAAGUCUUCACUUUUUCUUCGCUUGUGUCAUUUGCUUAUUGCGCCGUAACCAUGGAUAAUCUUCAUCGUUUAUCAGGAUGCUGGGGUCAGCCUUGACUUUAAAGGGAGGAAUUUCAUGAAACUUUUCAUAAUCUUCAGACAUGUCUGUCUUGUCCUCCUCUCCCACGAUGUCCCUUUUUCCUGAAAGAACUAUGUGGCGCUUUGGCUCAUCGUAUGAUGUAUUCGCUUCCUUAUCUUUUCUCUUUCUUGGUCUGGUAGACAUGUCCAUCACAUAGAUAACCUGUGCCACAUCAUUGGCUAGGACGAACGGUUCGUCAGUGUACCCAAGAUUUUUCGGAUCCACUGUUGUCGUUCCGUACUGUGGGUCUACAUGUACCCCGCCUCCUGACAGAUUGACCCAUUUGCACUUAAACAAAGGGACCUUAAAAUCAUGUCCUUAGUCAAGUUCCCAUAUGUCCACUAUGUAACCAUAAUAUGUGUCCUUUCCCCUCUCGGUUGUUGCAUCAAAGCGGACACCGCUGUUUUGGUUGGUGCUCUUUUGAUCUUGGUUAAUCGUGUAAAAUGUCUUCCCAUUUAUCUCAUAUCCUUUCCAAAUCGUAACAGUCGAAGAUGGUCCCCUGGAUAACAAGUACAUCUCAUCACAAACAGCGUUGUCACCUCUGAUACGUGCUUCCAACCAACUGCUGAAAGUCCUGAUGUGUUCACAUGUAAUUCAGUCGUCGCACUGCUCCGGGUGUUUGGAGCGCAGACUGUUCUUGUGUUCAUCCACAUACGGGGUCACCAAGGUAGAGUUCUGUAGAACUGUGUAGUGUGCUUGAGACCAAGAAUAUCUGUCCCUGCAUAUUAUUGAGUCCCUUCCAAGCAUGCCUUUUCCAGUCAGUCUCCCCUCAUACCGCGAUUUAGGGAGACCUAUCUUCUUAUGGCCAGGAAUGAAGUCAACACAAAACCCGAUGACAUCCUCUGUUUGAUGGCCCAUGGAGAUGCUUCCUUCUGGCCUAGCGCGAUGAGGGACAUAUUUCUUUAGGACUCCCAUGAACCUCUCAAAGGGGUACAUAUUGUGUAGAAAUACGGGGCCCAAAAUGACAAUCUCGUCAACUAGAUGAACUAGGACGUGCGUCAUGAUAUUGAAGAAGGAUGGUGGGAACACCAGCUCGAAACUGACAAGACAUUGCACCACAUCACUCCUUAGCCUUGGUAUGAUUUCUGGAUCGAUCACCUUCUGAGAGAUUGCAUUGAGGAAUGCACAUAGCUUCACAAUGGCUAAUCGGACGUUUUCCGGUAGAAGCCCCCUCAAUGCAACCGGAAGCAGUUGUGUCAUAAUCACGUGGCAGUCAUGAGACUUUAGGUUCUGAAACUUUUUCUUUGCCAUAUUUAUUAUUCCUUUUAUAUUCGACGAGAAGCCAGUCGGGACCUUCAUACUAAGCAGGCAUUCAAAGAAGAUUUCCUUCUCUUCUUUGGUAAGAGCAUAGCUGGCAGGACCUUCAUACUGCUUUGGAGGCAUGCCGUCUUUUUCGUGCAAAUGUUGCAGGUCCUCCCGUGCCUCAGCUGUAUCUUUUGUCUUCCCAUACACGCCCAAGAAGCCUAGCAGGUUCACGCAAAGGUUCUUCGUCACGUGCAUCACGUCGAUCGAAGAGCGGACCUCUAGGUCUUUCUAGUAGGGUAGGUCCCAAAAUAUAGAUUUCUUCUUCCACAUGGGUGCGUGUCCCCCAACGUCACUCGGAACAGCUAGUCUGCCGGGACCCUUUCCAAAGAUUACGUGUAAAUCAUUGACCAUAGCAAGUACGUGACCACCGGUACGCAUGGCGGGCUUCUUCCGGUGAUCUGCCUCGCCUUUGAAAUGCUUGCCUUUCUUUCGACAUUGAUGGUUGGUCGGAAGAAAUCGACGAUGGCCCAGGUACACAUUCUUCCUACAGCUUGCCAGGUAUAUACUAACGGUGUCAAGUAAACAGUGCGUGCAUGCGUGGUAUCCCUUGUUUGUCUGUCCUAAAAGGUUACUGAGAGCAGGCCAAUCGUUGAUGGUCACGAACAGCAACGCCUUUAGGUUAAAUUUCUCCUGUUUGUGCUCAUCCCACGUACGUACACCGUUUCCAUUCCACAGCUGUAAAAGUUCUUCAACUAAUGGCCUUAGGUACACAUCAAUGUCAUUGCCGGGUUGCUUAGGGCCUUGGAUGAGAACUGGCAUCAUAAUGAACUUCCGCUUCAUGCACAUCCAAGGAGGAAGGUUAUACAUACAUAGAGUCACGGGCCAGGUGCUGUGAUUGCUGCUCUGCUCCCCGAAAGGAUUAAUGCCAUCCGCACUUAAAGCAAACCAUACGUUCCUUGGCUCACUUGCAAACUCAUCCCAGUACUUUCUCUCAUUUUUCUCCAUUGCGACCCGUCAGCGGGUGCUCUCAACUUCCCGUCUUUCUUACGGUCCUCACUAUGCCAUCGCAUCAACUUGGCAUGCUCUCCGUUUCUGAACAGACGUUUCAACCGUGGUAUUAUAGGAGCAUACCACAUCACCACUACUAGGGAAAAGCCUAUACAUAGAAUCUUACCAGCAGCGCUCUUCAAAAUACAACGCUACUGCUACUUAGCAGCAGCGCGUGUCUGCCAAACACGCUGCUGACUUGGAAGUAGCAGUAGCGGGUGCAUCGCAUACAGCGCUACUGCUAUAGUUGCCAUGACCUUGCCCCCCCCCCCCCNNNNNNNNNNNNNNNNNNNNNNNNNNNNNNNNNNNNNNNNNNNNNNNNNNNNNNNNNNNNNNNNNNNNNNNNNNNNNNNNNNNNNNNNNNNNNNNNNNNNNNNNNNNNNNNNNNNNNNNNNNNNNNNNNNNNNNNNNNNNNNNNNNNNNNNNNNNNNNNNNNNNNNNNNNNNNNNNNNNNNNNNNNNNNNNNNNNNNNNNNNNNNNNNNNNNNNNNNNNNNNNNNNNNNNNNNNNNGCAAACGCGCUACAACUAUCCCUACCUUAUCCCCAUGCGCACGACCGGCCCUCUCACUCACACUCUCACUCUCGCCCACGUCAACCGUCGUCGUCCGUCGCCGCCGCCGCCGCCUUCGUCCGUCCGCCGCCGAGGUACUCCCCUCCUUCCGUCCCUCCUCCAUCCUCCUUGCACAUCCUCCCUCCGCCUGUGGCCGCCCCUCCUUCCUCCGCCGCUGCCCUCCUCCCUCCGCCUGCGGCCGCCCCUCCUCCCUCCUCCGACGGCAGCCCUCCUCCCACCGCCCUCGACCUCGCUGCCCCUAGCUACCUCUCCGUCGCCCCCCACCCCUGCCACUAGUUAGUACUAGAUUUAGUAGUAGUAGAUGUUAAUUUAGGGUUAGCUAGUACUAGAUGUUGCUUAGUUAGUACUAGAUUUUUAGUAGUAGUAGUGGUAGUUGAACUACUUUAGUUGUAGUUGAACUAGUUUAGUAAGUAAAUUAAUAAACGAGUUGAACUAGUUGAAUUAAUAGAACUAAUCUAUUUUUAGUAAGAUAAUUAAUAUAACUAGUUGAACUACUUUAUUUUUAGAAAGAACUAAUUUUUUUCUAUUUAUAUUAAGUUUAUAUUUAGUAAGAACUAGUUGAAUUAAUAAAACUAGUUGAACAUGUCAUGUUUGUUGUUAGUGAUAACUUAUAUGGUUUCAGGUGACCUCCGUCGUCCCCGUCACCGACCCCCUCCGACAUCCCCGUCGUCGUCCCAGUCACCGACCCCCUCCGACAUCGAGGUGAGACCAGCCAAAUAUCCUUGUAUAUCUUGUGUUGUUGCUCAAAUUGGAUAUGUGGUUGCCCAAGUGGCCGUUCAUGUAGUUUACAUCUCCGAGUGGCCUAUGUUUUGCCGGAGUGUUGAUUAAUUUCCGUUCCGACAAAUUUCAGGCGCUCGAUAUGUCCUUUUUUAGCAAAGGUCAUGCCGGAUUUUGUCGUGAAUUCUGGUAUGACUUGUGCUAGAAUAUGUACAAGUUUAAUCUUUGAAUUAUGAUUGUAGGAAAUGUCGUACUCGGACGACGAAGGUCUCCCGGGGGAGUGUAGCUGGUGCCACGACGAUCGAGGUAUGUGCGAUAGGUUCGUUCGGCUGGACGAAGAUCGGCGCUUCAACAUUAAGCUCGAGGAGACCUUCGAUUGUGAAAUGGUACGCAACAACGACAAGUGUUUUUUCUCCAUUAAGCAUGACUUCAACUAUUUCAACGUCUAAUUUUCAUAUUUUACAAUUCGACUAGCUUAUCCCAUGCCAUGCAAGACGCUAUGUCUUGGAGAGGAUGGGUUUUGAAGACCAUGAAAAUUUCAAAACAAAGAAAAUACACCUAAGGACCCAUCAUGAUAUGGAUUUUGAAGUAAACCUGUGCAAUGCUCAGAGCGCAACCCAUUUUGGUUGCCAAAAUUGGGAAGCACUUUGCAAAAUGUAUGGUUUUUAUGAGGGUAUGAUUGUCACCAUGGAUCUUGGUGAUCCUGACAGUGAGGAAGACAAUAUGGACAUUUGGGUCCUUGUUGAUACGCUUCCGAUUGUACCGCUAUGUGACUUUCUCAAACAUAGUUAUUAACUAAUUUAUAUUGUUUAUUUCAAAAUAGUUGAUAGCUUAUUUCCAUUGACAGCUUAUUUUGAUUCUUCAAAGACUGUGCGGAAGAUGGUAGAUAAAACCCACUACACCGAAGGCACCCAAUUAACGUAUAAGGAGAAAAAUCAUCUGAUCGCAUUUUGUACUCUUCUUGAGAAUUACAAUGACUAUAAUCGAACUCCUCCAGAUUAUGGUGAAUAUGUGCCACUAGUGCAUGUGUUGAACAACGAUAACUUAUCUGGAGAUACCCUGGUAAGAUUUUUUACUAUUACGACAUCCGUGUAUUUUUUGCAUACUUCUAAAACUAGUACAUCAUUGCUAACUACGAAGUUAUUAUUAUGUUUUUCAACAGAAACUCCCGAUGGAUUGUGUGCCUCAUCUGAUGUCUCUGCAUGGUCGCCUCUCAGUUCUGAACAUACUGCCAGGUAAAUCUACAGAGCUCACCUAUGCAUAUCAGAUUUCUAAAACCCGUGAACACAUGAUCAUCAGAGAAUGGAAGAAAUGUAUGGACAUUCGCAAGGAGGUUCUUGGAAGUAACAUUCAGCGAAACGUAAGAAUGGGAGACAGGCUAAUCUCCAUUCUCCAUAAUGGAGAGUCAGGGGCUAUCUUGUUUUUUGUUAUUUUACCUUAGAAAAUGUAGUAGGUCUUAAUCGAAUGUAAUAGGUCCUAUGAGGUACAAUAUGUUUAUUAUGUGGUAAUGUGUUAGAGUUGAUAAUGAUGAUCUUGAGGAGGUGUUAUGUGAUGUCAAUGAUGAAAACGAUGAUAUUGAGGAGGUGUUAUAUGACAAUGAUGUAUUAUGAUGCUAAGUUGUUAAUGAUAUGAUGAUGAUGAUGAUAUUAUUAUAUCAUUGGGUGAAAGAACCGUGGAUUAGUUUCAAGUGGAUGGACAUCCACUUGAAACUAGUCCACGGUUCUUUCACCCCAUGAUGUAAUAACUCAUUAUGAUGUAAAAACAAUCUCUAAAUUCCUGUUGUAUGAAAACUUGUGUAAGGGUGUAUGAAUACAACAUGAAAAAGAAAAGAAAUAAAAUACUAAAUAAUAGUAGUAGCGCGGGUAAGGAGAAGCGCUACUACUAAUUACCAGUAGCGAUGUUCUAAAGAACCGCUGCUACUAAGUCAAUUUAGCAGUAGCGCGUGUCAAGACGCGCUAUUGCUAAGCAUUAGCUGUAGCGCCUUAUCAGUAGCGCUCCUGCCCGCGCUACUGAUAGGCCCAAAACCCGCGCUGCUGCUAGGCUUUUCCCUAGUAGUGCACCUUCGCAGGAACCCUCUUCCUGGGGGGCUCGCCGUCAACAUCACCAGGGUCAUCUCGUCUGAUCUUAUACCAUAAUGCACCGCAUACCAGGCAUGCGUUCAGAUCCUUAUAUGCACCGCGGUAGAGGAUGCAGUCAUUAGGGCAUGCAGGUAUCUUCUGCACCUCCAAUCCUAGAGGGCAUACGACCUUCUUUGCUGCGUAUGUACUGUCGGGCAAUUCGUUAUCCUUUGGAAGCUUCUUCUUCAAUAUUUUCAGUAGCUUCUCAAAUCCUUUGUCAGGCACAGCAUUCUCUUAAAGGAAAUAUGCCCUAGAGGCAAUAAUAAAGUUAUUAUUUAUUUCCUCAUAUCAUGAUAAAUGUUUAUUAUUCAUGCUAGAAUUGUAUUAACCGGAAACAUGAUACAUGUGUGAAUACAUAGACAAAACUAUAGUCACUAGUAUGCCUCUACUUGACUAGCUCAUUAAUCAAAGAUGGUUAUGUUUCCUGACCAUAGACAUGUGUUGUCAUUUGAUUAGUGGGAUCACAUCAUUAAGAGAAUGAUGUGAUUGACAUGACCCAUUCUGUUAGCCCAGCACUUGAUCGUUUAGUAUACUGCUAUUGCUUUCUUCAUGACUUAUACAAAGUUCCUGCAACUAUGAGAUUGUGCAACUCCCGUUUACCGGAAGAACACUUUGUGUGCUACCAAACAUCACAACGUAACUGGGUGAUUAUAAAGGUGCUCUACAGGUGUUUCCGAAGGUACAUGUUGGGUUGGCAUAAUUCGAGAUUAGGAUUUGUCACUCCGAUUGUCGGAGAGGUAUCUCUGGGCCCUCUCGGAAAUACUCAUCACAUAAGCCUUGCAAGCAUGUAACUAAUGAGUUAGUUAUGAGAUGACGUAUUACGAAACGAGUAAAGAGACUUGCCGGUAACGAGAUUGAACUAGGUAUUGGAUACCGACGAUCAAAUCUCGGGCAAGUAACAUACCGAUGACAAAGGGAACAAAGUAUGUUGUUAUGCGGUUUGACCGAUAAAGAUCUUCGUAGAAUAUGUAGGAACCAAUAUGGGCAUCCAGGUCCCGCUAUUGGUUAUUGACCGAGAAUGGUUUUAGGUCAUGACUACAUAGUUCUCAAACCCGUAGGGUCCGCACGCUUAACUUUUUGAUGAUAGUUUUAUUAUGAGUUUAUAAGUUUUGAUGUACCAAAGUUUGUUCGGAGUUCCGGAUGUGAUCACGGAUAUGAUGAGGAGUCUCGGAAUGCUUGAGCCAUAAAGAUUGAUAUAUUGGACGACUAUAUUCGGACACCGGAAAGGUUCCGGGAGUUUUCGGAGAAAACCGGAGUGCCCGGGGGGUUACCGAAACCCCCCGGGAGAGUUAAUGGGCCACAUGGGCCUAGGUGGGAAGAGAAAGGGGCGGCCAGGGUGAGCCGCGCGCCCCCUCUCCCUCUAGUCCGAAUUGGACUAGGAGGGGGGGCGGCGCCCCCUUUCCUUCCCCCCCUCUCUUCCUUCCUUCCCCCUCCUAGUAGGAGUAGGAAAGGAGGAAUCCUACUCCUACUAGGAGGAGGAUUCCUCCUCCCUUGCGCGCCCCAAGGGGCCGGCCGGCCUCCCCCUCCCUCCUUUAUAUACGGGGGCAGGGGGCACCCCAUAGACACACAAGUUGAUCUACGGAUCGUUCCUUAGCCGUGUGCGGUGCCCCCUUCCACCAUAUUCCACCUCGGUCAUAUCGUCGCGAAGCUUAGGCGAAGUCCUGCGCCGGUAGAACAUCAAGAUCGUCACCACGCCGUCGUGCUGACGGAACUCUCCCUCGACACUCGGCUGGAUCGGAGUUCGAGGGACGUCAUCGAGCUGAAUGUGUGCUGAACUCGGAGGCUCCGUACGUUCGGUUCUUGGAUCGGUCGGAUCGUGAAGACGUAUGACUACAUCAACCGCGUUGUCAUAACGCUUCCGCUUACGGUCUACGAGGGUACAUGGACAUACACUCUCCCCUCUCGUUGCUAUGUCAUCACCAUGAUCUUGCGUGUGCGUAGGAAAAUUUUGAAAUUACUACGUUCCCCGACAGUGGUAUCAGAGCCUAGGUUUUAUGCGUUGAUGUUAUAUGCACGAGUAGAACACAAGUGAGUUGUGGACGAUAUAAGUCAUACUGCCUACCAGUGUGUCAUACUUUGGUUCAGCGGUAUUGUGAGAUGAAGCGGCCCGGACCGACAUUACGGGUACGCUUACGCGAGACUAGUUUCACCGUUAUGAGCACUCGUGCUUAAAGGUGGCUGGCGGGUGUCUGUCUCUCUCACUUUAGUUGAACCGAGUGUGGCUACGCCCGGCCCUUGUGAAGGUUAAAACGGAGUCUAUUUGACAAACUAUCGUUGUGGUUUUGAUGCGUAGGUAAGAACGGUUCUUGCUAAGCCCGUAGCAUCCACGUAAAAUUUGCAACAACAAAGUAGAGGACGUCUAACUUGUUUUUGCAGGGCAUGUUGUGAUAUGAUAUGGUCAAGACGUGAUGCUAUAUUUUAUUGUAUGAGAUGAUCAUGUUUUGUAACCGAAGUUAUCGGCAACUGGCUGGAGCCAUAUGGUUGUCGCUUUAUUGUAUGAAAUGCAAACGCCCUGUAAUUGCUUUACUUUAUCUCUAAGCGGUAGCGAUAGUCGUAGAAGCAAUAGAUGGCGUAAACGACAACGAUGCUACGAUGGAGAUCAAGGUGUCGCGCCGGUGACGAUGGUGAUCAUGACGGUGCUUCGAAGAUGGAGAUCACAAGCACAAGAUGAUGAUGGCCAUAUCAUAUCACUUAUAUUGAUUGCAUGUGAUGUUUAUCCUUUAUGCAUCUUAUCUUGCUUUGAUUGACGGUAGCAUUUUAAGAUGAUCUCUCACUAAAAUUAUCAAGUAGUGUUCUCCCUGAGUAUGCACCGUUGCCAAAGUUCAUCGUGCCGAGACACCACGUGAUGAUCGGGUGUGAUAAGCUCUACGUCCAUCUACAACGGGUGCAAGCCAGUUUUGCACACGCAGAAUACUCAGGUUAAACUUGACGAGCCUAGCAUAUGCAGAUAUGGCCUCGGAACACAGAGACCGAAAGGUCGAGCGUGAAUCAUAUAGUAGAUAUGAUCAACAUAAUGAUGUUCACCAUUGAAAACUACUCCAUCUCACGUGAUGAUCGGUUAUGGUUUAGUUGAUUUGGAUCACGUGAUCACUUAGAUGACUAGAGAGAUGUCUGUCUAUGUGGGAGUUCUUAAGUAAUAUGAUUAAUUGAACUUAAAUUUAUCAUGAACUUAGUACCUGAUAGUAUCUUGCUUGUCUAUGUUUGUUUGUAGAUAGAUGGCUCGUGCUGUUGUUCCGUUGAAUUUUAAUGCGUUCCUUGAGAAAGCAAAGUUGAAAGAUGAUGGUAGCAAUUACACGGACUGGGUCCGUAACCUGAGGAUUAUCCUCAUUGUUGCACAGAAGAGUUACGUCCUGGAAGCACCGCUGGGUGCCAGGCCUGCUGCUGAUGCAACUGACGACGUUAAGAACGUCUGGCAGAGCAAAGCUGAUGACUACUCUAUAGUUCAGUGUGCCAUGCUUUACGGCUUAGAACCGGGUCUUCAACGACGUUUUGAACGUCAUGGAGCAUAUGAGAUGUUCCAGGAGUUGAAGUUAAUAUUUCAAGCAAAUGCCCGGAUUGAGAGAUAUGAAGUCUCCAAUAAGUUCUAUAGCUGCAAGAUGGAGGAGAAUAGUUCUGUCAGUGAACAUAUACUCAGAAUGUCUGGGUAUAACAAUCACUUGAUUCAACUGGGAGUUAAUCUUCCUGAUGAUAGUGUCAUUGACAGAAUUCUUCAAUCACUGCCACCAAGCUACAAGAGCUUUGUGAUGAACUAUAAUAUGCAAGGGAUGAACAAGACUAUUCCCGAGCUCUUCGCGAUGCUGAAAGCCGCAGAGGUAGAAAUCAAGAAGGAGCAUCAAGUGUUGAUGGUCAACAAGACCACUAGUUUCAAGAAGAAGGGCAAAGGAAAGAAGAAGGGGAACUUCAAAAAGAACGGCAAGCAAGUUGCUGCUCAAGAGAAGAAACCCAAGUCUGGACCUAAGCCUGAAACUGAGUGCUUCUACUGCAAGCAGACUGGUCACUGGAAGCGGAACUGCCCCAAGUAUUUGGCGGAUAAGAAGGAUGGCAAAGUAAACAAAGGUAUAUGUGAUAUACAUGUUAUUGAUGUGUACCUAACUAGAGCUCGUAGUAGCACCUGGGUAUUUGAUACUGGUUCUGUUGCUAAUAUUUGCAACUCGAAACAGGGACUACGGAAUAAGCGAGCACUGGCCAAGGACGAGGUGACGAUGCGCGUGGAAAACGGUUCCAAAGUCGAUGUGAUCGCGGUCGGCACGCUACCUCUACAUCUACCAUCGGGAUUAGUUUUAGACCUAAAUAAUUGUUAUUUGGUGCCAGCGUUGAGCAUGAACAUUAUAUCUGGAUCUUGUUUGAUGCAAGACGGUUAUUCAUUUAAAUCAGAGAAUAAUGGUUGUUCUAUUUAUAUGAGUAAUAUCUUUUAUGGUCAUGCACCCUUGAAGAGUGGUCUAUUUUUAUUGAAUCUCGAUAGUAGUGAUACACAUAUUCAUAUUGUAGAAGCCAAAAGAUGCAGAGUUGAUAAUGAUAGUGCAACUUAUUUGUGGCACUGCCGUUUGGGUCAUAUCGGUGUACAACGCAUGAAGAAACUCCAUACUGAUGGACUUCUGGAAUCACUUGAUUAUGAAUCACUUGGUACUUGCGAACCGUGCCUUAUGGGCAAGAUGACUAAAACACCGUUCUCCGGAACUAUGGAGAGAGCAACAGAUUUGUUGGAAAUCAUACAUACAGAUGUAUGUGGUCCGAUGAAUGUUGAGGCUCGUGGCGGAUAUCAUUAUUUUCUCACCUUCACUGAUGAUUUAAGCAGAUAUGGGUAUAUCUACUUAAUGAAGUACAAGUCUGAAACAUUUGAAAAGUUCAAAGAAUUUCAGAGUGAAGUAGAAAAUCAUCGUAACAAGAAAAUAAAGUUUCUACGAUCUGACCGUGGAGGAGAAUAUUUGAGUUACGAGUUUGGUUUACAUUUGAAACAAUGCGGAAUAGUUUCGCAACUCACGCCACCUGGAACACCACAACGAAAUGGUGUGUCCAAACGUCGUACUCGUACUUUACUUGAUAUGGUGCGAUCUAUGAUGUCUCUUACCGAUUUACCGCUAUCGUUUUGGGGUUAUGCUUUAGAGACGGCCGCAUUCACGUUAAAUAGGGCACCAUCAAAAUCCGUUGAGAUGACGCCUUAUGAACUGUGGUUUGGCAAGAAACCAAAGUUGUCGUUUCUUAAAGUUUGGGGCUGCGGUACUUAUGUGAAGAAACUUCAACCAGAUAAGCUCGAACCCAAAUCGGAGAAAUGUGUCUUCGUAGGAUACCCAAAGGAGACUAUUGGGUACACCUUCUAUCACAGAUCUGAAGGCAAGAUUUUCGUUGCUAAAUUCGGAUCCUUUCUAGAGAAGGAAUUUCUCUCGAAAGAAGUGAGUGGGAGGAAAGUAGAACUUGAUGAGAUAACUGUAUCUACUCCCUUAUUGGAAGGUAGUUCAUCACGAGAACUGGUUCCCAUGACAACUACACCAAUUAUUGAGGAAGCUAAUAAUAUUGAUCAUGAAACUUCAGAUCAAGUUUCUGCUGAACCUCGUAGGUCUACCAGAGUAAGAUCCGCACCAGAGUGGUACGGUAAUCCUAUUCUGGAAGUCAUGUUACUUGACCAUGAUGAACCUACGAACUAUGAGGAACCGAUGAUGAGCCCAGAUUCCGCAAAAUGGCUAGAGGCCAUGAAAUCUGAGAUGGGAUCCAUGGAUGAAAACAAAGUAUGGACUUUGGUUGACUUGCCCGAUGAUCGGCAAGCCAUUGAGAAUAAAUGGAUCUUUAAGAAGAAGACUGACGCUGAUGGUAAUGUUACUGUCUAUAAAGCUCGACUUGUUGCGAAAGGUUUUCGACAAGUUCAAGGGGUUGACUAUGAUGAGACUUUCUCACCCGUAGCGAUGCUUAAGUCUGUCCGAAUCAUGUUGGCUAUUGCUGCAUUUCAUGAUUAUGAAAUUUGGCAAAUGGAUGUCAAAACUGCAUUCUUGAAUGGAUUUCUAGAAGAAGAGUUGUAUAUGAUGCAGCCGGAAGGUUUUGUUGAUCCAAAAGGUGCUGACAAAGUGUGUAAGCUCCAAUGUUCCAUUUAUGGACUGGUGCAAGCAUCUCGGAGUUGGAAUAAACGUUUUGACAGUGUGAUCAAGGCAUAUGGUUUUAUACAGACUUUUGGAGAAGCCUGUAUUUACAAGAAAGUGAGUGGGAGCUCUGUAGCAUUUCUAGUUUUAUAUGUUGAUGACAUAUUAUUAAUUGGAAAUGAUAUAGAAUUUCUGGAGAGCAUAAAGGGAUACUUGAAUAAAAGUUUUUCAAUGAAAGACCUCGGUGAAGCUGCUUACAUAUUGGGCAUCAAGAUCUAUAGAGAUAGAUCAAGACGCUUAAUAGGACUUUCACAAAGCACAUACCUUGACAAAAUUUUGAAAAAGUUCAAAAUGGAUCAGGCAAAGAAAGGAUUCUUGCCUGUGCUACAAGGUGUGAAGUUGAGUCAAACUCAAUGCCCGACCACAUCAGAAGAUAGAGAGAAAAUGAAAAAUGUUCCCUAUGCUUCAGCCAUAGGCUCUAUCAUGUAUGCAAUGCUGUGUACCAGACUUGACGUAUGCUUAGCAAUAAGCUUGGCAGGAAGGUACCAAAGUAAUCCAGGAGUGGAUCACUGGACAGCGGUCAAGAACAUCCUUAAAUACCUGAAAAGGACUAAGGAUAUAUUUCUCGUAUAUGUAGGUGACAAAGAGCUCGUCGUAAAUGGUUACGUCGAUGCAAGCUUUGACACUGAUCCAGACGAUUCUAAAUCGCAAACCGGAUACGUGUUUAUAUUAAACGGUGGAGCUGUAAGUUGGUGCAGUUCUAAACAAAGCGUCGUGGCGGGAUCUACAUGUGAAGCGGAGUACAUAGCUGCUUCUGAAGCAGCAAAUGAAGGAGUCUGGAUGAAGGAGUUCAUUUCCGAUCUAGGUGUCAUACCUAGUGCAUCGGGACCAAUGAAGAUCUUCUGUGACAAUACAGGUGCAAUUGCUUUGGCAAAGGAAUCCAGAUUUCACAAGAGGACCAAGCACAUCACGAGACGCUUAAAUUCCAUUCGGGACCAAGUCCAAGUGGGAGACAUACAGAUUUGCAAGAUACAUACGGAUCUGAAUAUUGCAGACCCGUUGACUAAGCAUCUCUCACGAGCAAAACAUGAUCAGCACCAAGACUCCAUGGGUGUUAGAAUCAUUAUUGUGUAAUCUAGAUUAUUGACUCUAGUGCAAGUGGGAGACUAAAGGAAAUAUGCCCUAGAGGCAAUAAUAAAGUUAUUAUUUAUUUCCUCAUAUCAUGAUAAAUGUUUAUUAUUCAUGCUAGAAUUGUAUUAACCGGAAACAUGAUACAUGUGUGAAUACAUAGACAAAACUAUAGUCACUAGUAUGCCUCUACUUGACUAGCUCAUUAAUCAAAGAUGGUUAUGUUUCCUGACCAUAGACAUGUGUUGUCAUUUGAUUAGUGGGAUCACAUCAUUAAGAGAAUGAUGUGAUUGACAUGACCCAUUCUGUUAGCCUAGCACUUGAUCGUUUAGUAUACUGCUAUUGCUUUCUUCAUGACUUAUACAAAGUUCCUGCAACUAUGAGAUUGUGCAACUCCCGUUUACCAAAAGAACACUUUGUGUGCUACCAAACGUCACAACGUAACUGGGUGAUUAUAAAGGUUCUCUACAGGUGUUUCCGAAGGUACAUGUUGGGUUGGCAUAAUUCGAGAUUAGGAUUUGUCACUCCGAUUGUCGGAGAGGUAUCUUUGGGCCCUCUCGGUAAUACUCAUCACAUAAGCCUUGCAAGCAUGUAACUAAUGAGUUAGUUAUGAGAUGACGUAUUACGGAACGAGUAAAGAGACUUGCCGGUAACGAGAUUGAACUAGGUAUUGGAUACCAACGAUCAAAUCUCGGGCAAGUAACAUACCGAUGACAAAGGGAACAAAGUAUGUUGUUAUGCGGUUUGACCGAUAAAGAUCUUCAUAGAAUAUGUAGGAACCAAUAUGGGCAUCCAGGUCCCGCUAUUGGUUAUUGACCGAGAAUGGUUUUAGGUCAUGACUACAUAGUUCUCGAACCCGUAGGGUCCGCACGCUUAACGUUUCGAUGAUAGUUUUAUUAUGAGUUUAUAAGUUUUGAUGUACCGAAGUUUGUUCGGAGUCCCAGAUGUGAUCACAGACAUGACGAGGAGUCUUGGAAUGGUCGAGACAUAAAGAUUGAUAUAUUGGACGACUAUAUUCGGACACCGGAAAGGUUCCGGGAGUUUUCGGAGAAAACCGGAGUGCCGGGGGGGUUACCGGAACCCCCCGGGAGAGUUAAUGGGCCACAUGGGCCUAGGUGGGAAGAGAGAGGUGCGGCCAGGGUGGGCCGCGCGCCCCCUCUCCCUCUAGUUCGAAUUGGACUAGGAGGGGGGGCGGCGCCCCCCUUUCCUUCCCCCCCUCUCUUCCUUCCUUCCCCCUCCUAGUAGGAGUAGGAAAGGAGGAAUCCUACUCCUACUAGGAGGAGGAUUCCUCCUCCCUUGGAGCGCCCCAAGGGGCUGGCCGGCCUCCCCCUCCCUCCUUUAUAUACGAGGGCAGGGGGCACCCCAUAGACACACAAGUUGAACUACGGAUCGUUCCUUAGCCGUGUGCGGUGCCCCCUUCCACCAUAUUCCACCUCGGUCAUAUUGUCGCGAAGCUUAGGCGAAGCCCUGCGCCGGUAGAACAUCAAGAUCGUCACCACGCCGUCGUGCUGACGGAACUCUCCCUCGACACUCGGCUGGAUCGGAGUUCGAGGGACGUCAUCGAGCUGAACAUCUGCUGAACUCGGAGGCUCCGUACGUUAGGUGCUUGGAUCGGUCGGAUCGUGAAGACGUACGACUACAUCAACCGCGUUGUCAUAACGCUUCCGCUUACGGUCUACGAGGGUACGUGGACAUACACUCUCCCCUCUCGUUGCUAUUUCAUCACCAUGAUCUUGCUUGUGCGUAGGAAAAUUUUGAAAUUACUACGUUCCCCAACAUCUCUGCCUUCCACUGCAGCAAUUCCAGUACGGUACCGAGCUUUGUGUUGCCAUCUUCGCAAUUGGGGUACAACCCUUUUUUUUGGUCCUCUAGCAUGCGAUCGAACUUCAGCUUCUCCUUUUGACUUUUGCAUUGCGUCCUUGCAUCGACAAUGACCCGGCGGAGAUCAUCAUCAUCGGGCACAUCGUCUGGUUCCUCUUGAUCUUCAGCAGCUUCGCCUGUUGCAGCAUCAUCGUGCACAUCGUCUGGUUCCUCUUGAUCUUCAGGAGCAUCACCGUAUUCAGGGGCACAUAGUUGUCAUCGUACUCUUCUUCACCGUCUUCCAUCAUAACCCCUAUUUCUCCGUGCCUCAUCCAAACAUUAUAGUGUGGCAUGAAACCCUUGUAAAGCAGGUGGGUGUGGAGGAUUUUCCGGUCAGAGUAAGACUUCGUAUUCCCACAUAUAGGACAUGGACAACACAUAAAACCAUUCUGCUUGUUUGCCUCAGCCACUUCGAGAAAAUCAUGCACGCGCUUAAUGUACUCGGAGGUGUGUCUUGAACCGUACAUCCAUUGCCGGUUCAUCUGCGUGCAUUAUAUAAUGAAGUGACCAAAUUAAUAGAAGUUCAUCAUCACAUUAAAACCAAAGUACAUACAUAGUUCUCAUCUAACAACAUAAAGCUCUGCAGAGCAUCUAAAUUAAUUAAACCAUACACUGAAACUAUGUAAAACAUUUCAAUGCGAAAACAAAUGCAACCAUAAUCGCAACCAAUGUAACAACUGAUCCAACGGCAUAAUGAUACCAAGCCUCAGUAUGAAUGGCAUAUUUUCUAAUCUUUCUAAUCUUCAAGCGCAUUGCAUCCAUCUUGAUCUUGUGAUCAUCGACGACAUCCCCAACAUGCAACUCCAAUAUCAUCUUCUCCUCCUCAAUUUUUCUAAUUUUUUCCUUCAAGAAAUUGUUUUCUUCUUCAACUGAAUUUAACCUCUCGACAAUAGGGUCGGUUGGAAUUUCCGGUUCAACAACCUCCUAGAUAAAUAAAAUCUAUGUCACGUUGGUCGGCAUAAUUGUCAUAAACAAUAAAUGAACCAAUAGUUAUGAAAAGAUAAUAUAUACCACAUCCGAAUCAUAGACAGGACGAGGGCCGACGGGGGCGGAUACCAAAACCAUCGCACUAUAUAAGAUGCAAUAAUAAAAGUAAGAAAAUAAUACAAGUAUCUAUCUAAACAUACAAGUAAGAAUAUUUUUCCUUUCAGAAAGAAGAUAAGAACAAGAGGCUCACCACGGUGGUGCCGGCGAUGAGAUCGGCGCGGGUGAUCGACGACGAUGAAGACAAGGACGGGGCGUGACGGACCGCUAAACCUAGACAAAUAUUGAGGAAAAUGGAGCUUGGCGGUCGAGCUUGGAGGGGAGAAAGCUUAAGUAGUGUGGCUCGGGCAUUCCAUCGAACACCUCGUGUGCAUAGGAGGUGAGCUAGAGCACCACAAAGCUCUCCCCUCGCCGGCCACGAAAAACAGAGCACUGGGAGUGCUCUGCUCGCGAGCGGGGGGUAUAUAUAGGCACCACCAUUGGUCCCGGUUGGUCGCACGAACCGGGACUAAAGGUUGGCCUUUGGUCCCGGUUCGUGCCACCAACUGGGACCAAUGGUGGUGGGCCAGGAGCGAGGCCCAUUGGUCCCGGUUCGUCCCUCCAACCGGGACCAAAAGGUCCAGACAAACCGGGACCAAUGGCCCACGUGUUGGGUUUCGUAGUAAUUUCAAAAAAUUUCCUACGCACACGCAAGAUCAUGUGAUGCAUAGCAACGAGGGGAGAGUGUUGUCUACGUACCCAACGCAGACCGACUGCGGAAGCGAUGACACGACGUAGAGGAAGUAGUCGUACGUCUUCACGAUCCAACCGAUCAAGCACCGAAACUACGGCACCUCCGAGUUCGAGCACACGUUCAGCUCGAUGACGAUCCCCGGACUCCGAUCCAGCAAAGUGUCGGGGAAGAGUUCCGUCAGCACGACGGCGUGGUGACGAUCUUGAUGAACUACAGCAGCAGGGCUUCGCCUAAACUCCGCUACAGUAUUAUCGAGGUAUAUGGUGGCAGGGGCACCGCACACGGCUAAGGAAUAGAUCACGUGGAUCAACUUGUGUGUAUAGAGGUGCCCCCUGCCUCCGUAUAUAAAGGAGGAGAGGAGGGGAGGCUGGCCGGCCAAGGAGGGGAGGCGCAGGAGAGUCCUACUCCCUCUGGGAGUAGGAUUCCCCCCAAUCCUAGUCCAACUAGGAUUCCUCGGAGGGGAAGGGAGAGAGGGGGGCCGGCCACCUUCUCCUAGUCCUAAUAGGACUAGGGGAGGGGGAAGUGGCGCAGCCACCUUGGGCUGCCCCUUUCUCCUUUCCACUAAGGCCCAUGAAGGCCCAUAUGGCUCCCGGGGGGUUCCGGUAAUCCUCCCGGUACUCCGGUAAAAUCCCGAUUUCACCCGGAACACUUCCGAUGUCCAAACAUAGGCUUCCAAUAUAUCAAUCUUUAUGUCUCGACCGUUUCGAGACUCCUCGUCAUGUCCAUGAUCACAUCCGGGACUCCAAACAACCUUCGGUACAUCAAAAUGCAUAAACUCAUAAUGUAACUGUCAUCGUAACCUUAAGCGUGCGGACCCUACGGGUUCGAGAACAAUGUAGACAUGACCGAGACACGUCUCCGGUCAAUAACCAAUAGCGGGACCUGGAUGCCCAUAUUGGCUCCUACAUAUUCUACGAAGAUCUUUAUCGGUCAGACCGCAUAACAACAUACGUUGUUCCCUUUGUCAUCGGUACGUUACUUGCCCGAGAUUCGAUCGUCGGUAUCCAAUACCUAGUUCAAUCUCGUCACCGGCAAGUCUCUUUACUCGUUCUAUAAUGCAUCAUCCCGUAACCAACUCAUUGGUCACAUUGCUUGCAAGGCUUAUAAUGAUGUGCAUUACCGAGAGGGCCCAGAGAUACCUCUCCGACAAUCGGAGUGACAAAACCUAAUCUCGAAAUACGCCAACUCAACAUGUACCUUCGGAGACACCUGUAGUACUCCUUUAUAAUCACCCAGUUAAGUUGUGACGUUUGGUAGUACCCAAAGUGUUCCUCCGGUAAACGGGAGUUGCAUAAUCUCAUAGUUACAGGAACAUGUAUAAGUCAUGAAGAAAGCAAUAGCAACAUACUAAACGAUCAAGUGCUAAGCUAACGGAAUGGGUGAAGUCAAUCACAUCAUUCUCCUAAUGAUGUGACCCCGUUAAUCAAAUGACAACUCUUUUGUCCAUGGCUAGGAAACAUAACCAUCUUUGAUAAACGAGCUAGUCAAGUAGAGGCAUACUAGUGACACUAUGUUUGUCUAUGUAUUCACACAUGUAUUAUGUUUCUGGUUAAUACAAUUCUAGCAUGAAUAAUAAACAUUUAUCAUGAAAUAAGGAAAUAAAUAAUAACUUUAUUAUUGCCUCUAGGGCAUAUUUCCUUCAGUCUCCCACUUGCACUAGAGUCAAUAAUCUAGUUCACAUCGUCAUGUGAUUUAACAACAAUAUUCAUAUCUGUAUAUGAUUAACACCCAUAGUUCACAUUAUCAUGUGACCAACACCCAAAGGGUUUACUAGAGUAAAUAAUCUAGUUCACAUCUCUAUGUGAUUAACACCCAAAGAGUACUAAGGUGUGAUCAUGUUUUGCUCGUGAAAGAAGCUUAGUCAAUGGGUCUGUCACAUUCAGAGCCGUAUGCAUUUUGCAAAUAUUUUAUGUCUACAAUGCUCUGCACGGUGCUACUCUAGCAAUUGCUCCCACUUUCAAUAUGUAUCCAGAUUGAGACUUAGAGUCAUCUGGAUCGGUGUGAAAACUUGCACCGAGGUAACUUUUACGACGGGCUCUUUUAUCACCUCCAUAAUCGAGAAAUAUUUCCUUAGUCCUCACUAAGGAUAUUCUUGACCAAUGUCGAGUGAUCUACUCCUAGAUCACUAUUGUACUCCCUUGUCAAAUACUGAGCAAGGUAUACAAUAGUUCUGGUACAUAGCAUAGCAUACUUUAUAGAACCUAUGACUGAGGCAUAGGGAAUGACUUUUCAUUUUUUCUAUUUUCUGUUGUGGUCGGGAUUUGAGUCUUACUCAAUUUCAUACCUUUGCAACACAGGCAAGAACUCUUUCUUUGACUGUUCCAUUUUGAACUAUUUCAAAAUCUUGCCAAGGUAUGUACUCAUUGAAAAUCUUAUCAAGCGUCUUGAUCUAUCUCAAUAUAUCUUGAUGCUCAAUAUGUAAGUAGCUUUUACUGAGGUCUUUUCCUUUUAAAGAACUCCUUUAAAACACUCCUUUAUGCUUUGCAGAAAAAUUCUACAUCAUUUCUGAUCAACAAUAUGUCACUCGUAUAUACUAAUCAGAAAGGCUAUAGUGCUCCCACUCACUUUAUUGUAAAUACAGGCUUCUCAAAAAGUCUGUAUAAAACCAUAUGCUUUGAUCAACUCAUCAAAGCGUAUAUUCCAACUCCGAGAGGCUUGCACCAGUCCAUAGAUGGAUCGCUGGAGCUUGCACAUUUUUUUAGCACCUUUAGGAUUGACAAAACCUUCUGGUUGCAUCAUAUACAACUCUUCUUUAAUAAAUCCAUUAAGGAAUGCAGUUUUGAUAUCCAUUUGCCAGAUUUCAUAAAAUGUGGCAAUUGCUAACAUGAUUCAGACAGACUUAAGAAUCGAUACGAGUGAGAAAAUCUCAUCGUAUUCAACACCUUGAACUUGUUGAAAACCUUUCGCAACAAGUCGAGCUUGGUAGAUAGUAACACUACUAUCAGUGUCCGUCUUCCUCUUGAAGAUCCAUUCAUUUAACAUGGCUUGCUGAUCAUCGAGCAAGUCAAUCAAAGUCCAUACUUUGUUCUCAUACAUGGAUCAUAUCUCAGAUUUUAUGGCCUCGAGCCAUUUCGCGGAAUCUGGGCUCAUCAUCGCUUCUUCAUAGUUCGUAGGUUCAUCAUGAUCUAGUAUCAUGACUUCCAGAAUAGGAUUACCGUACCAUUCUGGUGCGGAUCUUACUCUGGUUGAUCUACGAGGUUCAUCAGUAUCUUGAUCUGAAGUUUCAUGAUCAUUAUCAUUGGCUUCCUCACUAACUGGUGUAGGUGUCACUGAAACAGUUUUCUGUGAUGAACUACUUUCCAGUAAGGGAGCAGGUACAGUUACCUCGUCAAGUUCUACUUUCCUCCCACUCACUUCUUUCGAGAGAAACUCCUUCUCUAGAAAGGAUCCAUUCUUAGCAACGAAUGUCUUGCCUUCGGAUCUGUGAUAGAAGGUGUACCCAAUAGUCUCCUUUGGGUAUCCUAUGAAGACACAUUUCUCCGAUUUGGGUUCGAGCUUAUCAGGUUGAAGCUUUUUCACAUAAGCAUCGCAGCCCCAAACUUUAAGAAACGACAACUUUGGUUUCUUGCCAAACCACAGUUCAUAAGGCGUCGUCUCAACGGAUUUUGAUGGUGCCCUAUUUAACGUGAAUGCGGCCGUCUCUAAAGCAUAUCCCCAAAAUGAUAGCGGUAAAUCAGUAAGAGACAUCAUAGAUCGCACCAUAUCUAGUAAAGUACGAUUACGAUGUUCGGACACACCAUUACGCUGUGGUGUUCCGGGUGGCGUGAGUUGCGAAACUAUUCCACAGUUUUUCAAAUGUACACCAAACUCGUAACUCAAAUAUUCUCCUCCACGAUCAGAUCGUAGAAACUUUAUUUUCUUGUUACGAUGAUUUUCAACUUCACUCUGAAAUUCUUUGAAAUUUUCAAAUGUUUCAGACUUAUGUUUCAUUAAGUAGAUAUACCCAUAUCUGCUUAAAUCAUCUGUGAAGGUGAGAAAAUAACGAUAUCCGCCACGAGCCUCAGUAUUCAUCGGGCCACAUACAUCGGUAUGUAUGAUUUCCAACAAAUCUGUUGCUCUCUCCAUAGUACCGGAGAACGGUGUUUUAGUCAUCUUGCCCAUGAGGCACGGUUCGCAAGUACCAAGUGAUUCAUAAUCAAGUGGUUCCAAAAGUCCAUCAGUAUGGAGUUUCUUCAUGCGCUUUAUACCGAUAUGACCUAAACGACAGUGCCACAAAUAAGUUGCACUUUCAUUAUCAACUCUGCAUCUUUUGGCUUCAACAUUAUGAAUAUGUGUAUUACUACUAUCGAGAUCCAACAAACCAUUUUCAUUGGGUGUAUGACCAUAGAAGGUUUUAUUCAUGUAAACAGAACAACAAUUAUUCUCUAACUUACAUGAAUAACCGUAUUGCAAUAAACAUGAUCAAAUCAUAUUCAUGCUCAACGCAAACACCAAAUAACACUUAUUUAGGUUUAACACUAAUCCCAAAAGUAUAGGGAGUGUGCGAUGAUGAUCAUAUCAAUCUUGGAACUAUUUCCAACACACAUCGUCACUUCACCCUUUAACUAGUCUCUGUUUAUUCUGCAACUCCCGUUUCGAGUUACUAAUCUUAGCAACUGAACUAAUAUCAAAUACUGAGGGGUUGCUAUAAACACUAGUAACGUACACAUCAAUAACAUGUAUAUCAAAUAUACUUAUGUUCACUUUGCCAUCCUUCUUAUCCGCCAAUCACUUGGGGUAGUACCUCUUCCAGUGACCAGUCUCUUUGAAGUAGAAGCACUUAGUCUCAGGCUUAGGACCAGACUUGGGUUUCUUCACUUGAGCAGCAACUUGCUUGCCGUUCUUCUUGAAGUUCCCUUUCUUUCCCUUUGCCCUUUUCUUGAAACUAGUGAUCUUGUUAACCAUCAACACUUGAUGCUCUUUCUUGAUUUCUACCUUCGUUGAUUUCAGCAUCAUGAAGAGCUUGGGAAUCGUUUUCGUCAUCCCUUGCAUACUAUAGUUCAUCACGAAGUUCUAGUAACUUAGUGAUGGUGACUAGAGAAUUCUGUCAAUCACUAUCUUACCUGGAAGAUUAACUCCCACUUGAUUCAAGCGAUUGAAAUACCCAGACAAUCUGAGCACAUGCUCACUAGUUGAGCGAUUCUCCUCCAUCUUUUAGCUAUAGAACUUGUUGGAGACUUCAUAUCUCUCAACUCGGGUAUUUGCUUGAAAUAUUAACUUCAAUUCCUGGAACAUCUCAUAUGGUCCAUGACGUUCAAAACGUCUUUGAAGUCCCGAUUCUAAGCCGUUAAGCAUGGUGCACUAAACUAUCAAGUAGUCAUCAUCUUGAGCUAGCCAGACGUUCAUAACUUCUGCAUCUGCUCCUGCAAUAGGUCUGUCACCUAGCGGUGCAUUAAGGACAUAAUUCUUCUGUGCAGCACUGAGGAUAAACCUCAGAUCACGGAUCGAAUCCGCAUCAUUGCUACUAACAUUUUUCAACACAAUAUUCUCUAGGAACAUAUCAAAAUAAACAUAUGAAAGCAACAACGCGAGCUAUUGAUCUACAACAUAAUUUGCAAAAUACUACUAGGACUAAGUUCAUGAUAAAUUAAAGUUCAAUUAAUCAUAUUACUUAAGAACUCCCACUUAGAUAGACAUCCCUCUAAUCCUCUAAGUGAUCACGUGAUCCAAAUCAACUAAACCAUGUCCGAUCAUCACGUGAGAUGGAGUAGUUUCAAUGGUGAACAUCACUAUGUUGAUCAUAUCUACUAUAUGAUUCACGCUCGACCUUUCGGUCUCUGUGUUCCGAGGCCAUAUCUGUAUAUGCUAGGCUCGUCAAGUAUAACCUGAGUAUUCCGCGCGUGCAACUGUUUUGCACCCGUUGUAUUUGAACGUAGAGCCUAUCACACCCGAUCAUCACGUGGUGUCUCAGCACGACGAACUUUGGCAACGGUGCAUACUCAGGGAGAACACUUCUUGAUAAUUUAGUGAGAGAUCAUCUUAUAAUGCUACCAUCAAUAAAAGCAAGAUAAGAUGCAUAAAAAGAUAAACAUCACAUGCAAUCAAUAUAAGUGAUAUGAUAUGGCCAUCAUCAUCGUGUGCUUGUGAUCUCCAUCUCCGAAGCACCGUCAUGAUCACCAUCGUCACCGGCGCGACACCUUGAUCUCCAUCGUAGCAUCGUUGUCGUCUCGCCAAUCUUAUGCUUCCACGACUAUCACUACUGUUUAGUAAUAAAGUAAAGCAUUACAUCGCGAUUGCAUUGCAUACAAUAAAGCGACAACCAUAUGGCUCCUGCCAGUUGCCGAUAACUCGGUUACAAAACAUGAUCAUCUCAUACAAUAAAAUUCAGCAUCAUGCCUUGACCAUAUCACAUCACAACAUGCCCUGCAAAAACAAGUUAGACGUCCUCUACUUUGUUGUUGCAUGUUUUACGUGGCUGCUACGGGCUUAAGUAAGAACCAAUCUCACCUACGCAUCAAAACCACAACGAUAGUUUGUCAAAUAGACUCCGUUUUAACCUUCUCAAGGACCGGGCGUAGCCAUACUCGGUUCAACUAAAGUUGGAGAGACAGUCGCCCGCAAGCCAUCCAUGUGCAAAGCACGUCGAGGGAACCGGUCUCGCGUAAGCGUACGCGUAAGGUUGGUCCAGGUCGUCUCGUCCAACAAUACCGCCGAACCAAAGUAUGACAUGCUGGUAGGCAGUAUGACUUGUAUCGUCCACAACUCACUUGUGUUCUACUCGUGCAUAUAACAUCAACAUAAAUAACCUAGGCUCGGAUGCCACUGUUGGGUUUCGUAGUAAUUUCAAAAAAUUUCCUACGCACACGCAAGAUCAUGUGAAGCAUAGCAACGAGGGGAGAGUGUUGUCUACGUACCCAACGCAGACCAACUGCGGAAGCGAUGACACGACGUAGAGGAAGUAGUCGUACGUCUUCACGAUCCAACCGAUCAAGCACCGAAACUACGGCACCUCCGAGUUCGAGCACACGUUCAGCUCGAUGACGAUCCCCGGACUCCGAUCCAGCAAAGUGUCGGGGAAGAGUUCCGUCAGCACGACGGCGUGGUGACGAUCUUGAUGAACUACAGCAGCAGGGCUUCGCCUAAACUCCACUACAGUAUUAUCGAGGUAUAUGGUGGCAGGGGGCACCGCACACGACUAAGGAAUAGAUCACGUGGAUCAACUUGUGUGUAUAGAGGUGCCCCCUGCCUCCGUAUAUAAAGGAGGAGAGGAGGGGAGGCUGGCCGGCCAAGGAGGGGAGGCGCAGGAGAGUCCUACUCCCUCUAGGAGUAGGAUUCCCCCCAAUCCUAGUCCAACUAGGAUUCCUCGGAGGGGAAGGGAGAGAGGGGGGCCCGCAGCCACCUUGGGCUGCCCCUUUCUCCUUUCCACUAAGGCCCAUGAAGGCCCAUAUGGCUCCCGGGGGGUUCCGGUAACCCUCCCGGUACUCCGGUAAAAUCCCGAUUUCACCCGGAACACUUCCGAUGUCCAAACAUAGGCUUCCAAUAUAUCAAUCUUUACGUCUUGACCAUUUUGAGACUCCUCGUCAUGUCCGUGAUCACAUCCGGGACUCCGAACAACCUUCGGUACAUCAAAAUGCAUAAACUCAUAAUGUAACUGUCAUCGUAACCUUAAGCGUGCGGACCCUACGGGUUCGAGAACAAUGUAGACAUGACCGAGACACGUCUCCGGUCAAUAACCAAUAGCGGGACCUGGAUGCCCAUAUUGGCUCCUACAUAUUCUACGAAGAUCUUUAUCGGUCAGACCGCAUAACAACAUACGUUGUUCCCUUUGUCAUCGGUAUGUUACUUGCCCGAGAUUCGAUCGUCGGUAUCCAAUACCUAGUUCAAUCUCGUCACCGGCAAGUCUCUUUACUCGUUCUAUAAUGCAUCAUCCCGUAACCAACUCAUUGGUCACAUUGCUUGCAAGGCUUAUAAUGAUGUGCAUUACCGAGAGGGCCCAGAGAUACCUCUCCGACAAUCGGAGUGACAAAACCUAAUCUCGAAAUACGCCAACUCAACAUGUACCUUCGGAGACACCUGUAGUACUCCUUUAUAAUCACCCAGUUACGUUGUGACGUUUGGUAGUACCCAAAGUGUUCCUCCGGUAAACGGGAGUUGCAUAAUCUCAUAGUUACAGAAACAUGUAUAAGUCAUGAAGAAAGCAAUAGCAACAUACUAAACGAUCAAGUGCUAAGCUAACGGAAUGGGUGAAGUCAAUCACAUCAUUCUCCUAAUGAUGCGACCCCGUUAAUCAAAUGACAACUCUUUUGUCCAUGGCUAGGAAACAUAACCAUCUUUGAUAAACGAGCUAGUCAAGUAGAGGCAUACUAGUGACACUAUGUUUGUCUAUGUAUUCACACAUGUAUUAUGUUUCCGGUUAAUACAAUUCUAGCAUGAAUAAUAAACAUUUAUCAUGAAAUAAGGAAAUAAAUAAUAACUUUAUUGUUGCCUCUAGGGCAUAUUUCCUUCACCACGUGGCCCGGCCGGCCCCCGGGGCUCAAGAACCAGGUCCAAUGCCCCCAUUGGUCCCGGUUUUGGAUUGAACCGGGACUAAUGGGCUGGACCGGCCUGGACCAUCGCCCCCUUUUCUACUAGUGUUAGUGCAUGGUGGUUAGUGAAGUUAGUGGAGCAUGGUGUGAGUGCGUGGGUCAUGGUUGAGUGCCAGACUUUGUAUAAAUUGUCAUUUGAGUCAAUGAGAAAAUGUAAGGCCGAGAGGGCCAGUGCAAAGAUGUAGCAUUUGUGGUAGCCAAGGGAGAUUAACUGGGCAAAGCUAUGUGUUCUUCCUUGGUCUAUGCGUGUGUGUGUUCUGUGUGUGUUCUCUCUCUGCGUCCUUGUGUUCAUGGGAGUGUUUUUGAGAGAAGCCAGAAGAGAGAGUUGUGAGAGGCAGCUCGAGGUAGAAGAAGGAGCGGUGCUGCUCCGAGAGGAGGCGGCGCCAACAAUUAUUGACGAAAGGGAUAUUAUAUUGCGCAAGGUAUAAUCAGACGCGUCGGGGAUGGAGCGACUACACACAUAUGGGAUCACAACUGGAUUAUGAGGGAAAGCUAUAAGAGGCCAAUAAAUAAGUUAGUGCAGAUCCCCCCUCAGAAACAUUUUAUGUAUACACGUUAACAUUUCCCAGAUAUAUGAUUAAUAUUUUUAGAAAACUUCUAUUUUUUAUGUGUACUUUUUAUACAUUUUGUAAUAUCAGAAAUAGUUUUUAUAGAAGGUUUAACAUUUUUCAAAUACAUGAUUACCUUUUUGUAAACUUAUAUUGUUUGACGUUUACUUUUUUCCAUAGACAUAGUGAGGGGUUAUAUCUAAGGAAUAGGCCCAAGUACAUGUAGGCACAACCAAAGGCCCAUGUUAAUCAAGGAUGUUCCACAAGACAAAUGGGAAAACACACCGGGGCUAAUGGAGCUACAAGGCCAAGGCAUCGGAUACAAGGGGAGAGUCAACUGUGUACAGUCAGAUUACACAACCCUUAACAGACAAGACUCAUCAGUUGGUCCACUAUAGGAAUCAGGUCAUUUGCCGUCAGCCGAGAACAGAUGCGAAGGCUUUGCCGUGAGCAAGUUGACGACAAACACAAUCAGCAAAGACUAUAUCAGCAAAGAGCUAAUUUGACGUCAACUUUUCAUCGCGCUGAUGACAAAGACUUUGCCGUCAAUUAAACUAUGUGUUUGUCGUCUGUAGAAAAAACACAAAUGGCAAAGAAAUUAAACAAAUGGUCAUUUUAUAAUAAUUUUUCGAAAUGUAUAUAGUGUAUUUUAAAAUGUUAAAUAUGUAUCAAGAAUUAUUUCAUAAAUAUACAGAAGAUGUACAACGUGUAUGAAAAUUAUGUAGACAUCAGAACAUAUUAUAGAAAUGUUAAUCUUGUAUUUAAAAAUGUUAAAUACACAUAAAUAAAAAUGUUUUUGAUGUACAUAAAAAAAUUGUACAUCGUGUGUGAACAAAGUAUGCAUUGAAAAAAAAAUCUUGUUGGAAAGAAAAUCUCGUGCUAUAUACGAAAAUGUAAAAGGUGUAUGAAAAUAAUUAGAUAUAUGCUUAACGAAAAAAAGGAAAGAAGGCGCAAAAAAAUCCGAUCAACACCAAGAUAGGAACAAGAAAACCUGAAGAAGACCAUUGAAAAAAAAGAAAAGAAUACAAGAAAGAGGAAAAAAAACAAAAAAAUGAAGAAGCUGAUGCAGAACAGGGAACUUGGUGAAAACGAAUAAAAAUUGAUGAAAACCGAGAAGAAAAACAAGAAAACUGAAGCAAAAAAAUAAUAAAAAUAUGUAAAAAAAUGAUGAAACAUUGCAAAACACUGAAAUACUAUGAAAACCAAAGGAAGAAAAGACUCAAAAAGAAGAACAUACAGCGAGCGAAUGAACAACAACUGAGUGAACGAGCGACCAUGCGAGAACACGUUAAUUGUCCGGCCCAUACUUGUGGACUCCAGAGGCGAGCCAGAAUAGGCGAGAUAUAGCUAUGACGAUUUGAUACCCUUCACAGCUUCACGAAUGCUAUAUCUCGCUCACAGCGAAAGUAUAUUUUGUCUGGCCUGAAGGUGCAAGAAUAGCAUCAGGUCGCUGUAAGGUUUGUGAUCCUACAAUGAGAGCUCCGAUAAGAUUAAAGUUCAUUUUUCUGACAACCUUUGGUCGUUCGUUCGCGCUCAGGUCGUCCGCUCACUCGAUUCCACGUACUAGUUUGGUUAUGUUGUUUUUUUCAUUUUGUUCUUUUUUUGUUUCUUCACUGGCUUUCUUUGGUUUUUAUAUCGGUUUUCUUUGUUUCCUUCACGUUUUAUUCCUGUUUUCCUUUUUACUGGUUUAUUUAUUCCUUUUUUUCUUUGUUUCUUUCUUGGUUUUCUUUGUUUUUCUUUCUUUUGAUGUCAAUCUUUUUACAUACGCAUUCAACAAUUUCCGUAUACAUCAGAAACAUUUUAUGUAUACACAUUAACAUUUCCCAGAUAUAUGAUUAAUAUUUUUGGAAAACCUCUAUUUUUUAUGUGUACUUUUUGAUACAUUUUGUAUAUAUCAGAAAUAUUUUUUUAGAAGGUUUAACAUUUUUUUAAAUACAUGAUUACCUUUUUGUAAACUUAUAUUGUUUGACGUUUAUUUUUUUCCAUAGACAUAGUGAGGGGUUAUAUCUAAGGAAUAGGCCCAAGUACAUAUAUGGCACAACCAAAGACCCAUGUUAAUCAAGGAUGUGGUCCACAAAACAAAUGGGGAAACACACGGGGGCCAAUGGAGCUACAAGGCCAAAGCAUCGGAUAUAAGGGGAGAAUAAGUGUGUACAGUCGGAUUACACAACACUUGACAGACAAGACUCAUUAGUUGGUCCACUAUAGGAAUCGAGUAAUUUGCCGUCAGCCGAGAACAGACUCGAAGUCUUUGCCGUCAGCAAGUUGAUGACAAACACAGUGAGCAAAGACUAUAUCGGCAAAGAGCUAAUUUGACGUUAACUUUUCAUCCGCUGAUGACAAAGACUUUGCCGUCAAUUAAACUAUGUGUUUGUCGUCUGUAGAAAAAACACAAAUGGCAAAGAAAAGCAUCUUUGCCAUCAGCAACUGAUUCACAUGUGUCGUCAGCCAGACUCGUCUUGUCACUAGCCUCAAACAUCACAGAUGGCAAAGAUUUUUUUUUAUUUUUAAAAUUCCGCGUCGACCACCCUAUCGCUCGUGCAGCCACCGCCUGGCCGCGCUCGCCUCCCUGCUCACAUGCCCUGCCAGCUUGCGCCGUUGCCAUCCGGCAGCGCUCGCCCGACCCUGCUCAUCGCCCGGCCGAGCUCGCCCGCCCUGCUCGGUCGCGUCGUCGGCAGCUGCCCUGCUUGCACACGUACCUGCCCAGCCUUGCUCAUACCGCCGGCCACCCUGCUCGCUAGAGAAAGGAAGGCGAGAGAGGAGGCUCGGGGGAGAAAGAAAAAACAAAGGAGAGAGAGAGGAUGCUACCACUGCCACAUCACCAAUACGCAUGAUCGAUCUGCAAGAUGUGCUCUCUCUUUUGCCGCCUCUGAUGGCAAAGUAUGUCUUUAUCGUCUAUAAUAAGAUUACAAACAGCAAAGUGAGCUCUUUGCCGUCUGUAAAAAAACGGACGACAAACAAACUUUGUUGUCAGCUGCCGACGGCAAAAAGUGCUCUUUACCGCAGCCUCGAUGAGAAGCUGAAGGCAAAGUGCCCCACAGACGGCAAAUUAGUUGAUUCCUGGGUGGUUAUGAGCAAGACAGGAGCAAUAACCCUAUCUACACUCGGUCAUCUGGAAGACAGGAGUAGUCGAACCAUCUAUAGUCGGCUACAUCUGAGGUUACCGUGACCCUUACGAUGCAUUCAUUAUCGCCGUUACUCAAUGGAGUAGUUAAAUACGUCAGUUAGCAAUAAUAAUAGCCACGAACAGUCAAUCAUGCAUGUGACCAUCAAUAGCAUUUAUACCAACCCAUUACGGCACUUCCUCCUAGCACACUCUAUAUAAGCCAGGAGUAGGACAUGAGAGUGAGGGAUGAACUCUCUCACAGUAUAACCUACGCCAAGAGCAGGAACACCACAUGAAUAGAGAUUACCUCCACCAACGUACUCCCAUCCGUUUUAUGUACCGAUCAAUGUAUAUAAUGGCUUCUACAUUCACAUCCCGUAGUAUUGUCAGGAUUAUAUCCACGACAGAAACUAUAUUUUGUUAUACAUCAAGAACAUUUUAUAUAUAAAUAUUUACAAUUUUUUAAAUACAUGAUUAAUAUUUUUUCAAACAUAUAUUUUGUAUGUCUCCUUUUCAUAAUCUUUGAUCCCUGGAAGUUUCAGAUUUUUUCCGAUUUGUUCUCAUUUUUUUAUGAAUUUACUGUUCAUGAGGGUGUAGGGGCACCCAGGAGCUGUUAGGCAUAAUAUUUCUGCUGUUGUUGUCAUCAUCAAGGGGAAUGAGAAGGGUUGAAGUUUUCGUUUUCUUUGAGGGGGAAAUCAGAGUUGGGGGCUGGAAGUGAGUGAUUAGGCCCAACAUAAGCGCUGUGUGUGUGUGUCUCGUCACGGGCACCAAAUUCGAACUGGGCUAUUGUUUUCUGAGAACCCAACGUCACAAGCCCAACCAACAGUCUGCCGAUCUGCAUCUUCCUCUCCUUGUCCAUCCUCCUCGUUGGCCGGACCGCCUCGAGCCACGGCCGCUCCCUGGCGCAGCGUCCUCCCCUUCCUCUCCACCCCCAAAUUCUCUUGUAUCCUCUUCUGAUCUCCUUCCUUACUUCCUCUCGCUGAUGGUCUCCACAAGAAGGUCUCCGAGCUCCUCGGAGGGUUCCGGCUGUACGUCGACGCAGCCUCUCCGACCUCCCCAUGAACAUGAGCUAUCGACCCUGAAAGCCUGUCUCUUCCAUGAUUCGAUUCACAUGAAUUCACGAGCCGCAUGAAUCAUGAAGGUCAUGGAGCAGAAUUCAGUCGUGUAGCCUGACAGUGAUGUACAUUUGUGGCUUUUCUGGCUAAAUAGCUCUGUACCCUAUGUGGAUGCCACUUCAAAUAAUCGUCAAAAUAAUUCUCCUGCACGCGUUAUACAAAUGGCGAAGAAGAAGUUCGCGUGGAACAUUUCGUUUCUUAUUGAUGUCCGAGAGAAAAGCUCCUAGGAAGUUCAUCCGCUCGGUGGAUUAUAAGUUUAAGUUUGUUACAACAUCCAAUCAUCCAUAUAAUCUCUGUGUUUCUUCUGUUUUCUACCAGUCAUAUAUCAUAUGUGCAUCAGAGGAAAAAUGCUUUCAGCAGUCAUGUUGGAGCGCGCAUACCAAGUUCCCACAUUGCAAAUAUGAUCCUAGCCAUUAAUAUGUUUCAUUCCACAUUUUCUUGAUCUAAUUUCUAAAUGAUUGGACAACCUGUUAUAGUCUUAUAGAAUUAUGAGCCGCCAAAUCCACAUUUCUCUUGGUCUAAUUUCUAAAUGAUAAUGUGCAGCAUCUAUCUCCUGGUGAACCUUUUUUUCUUGCGACUGUAUCUCCUGAUGAACCUAGUUUUCUCUAGGUAGCACAAUAAUUGUACUGGUUUGAUGUAAAGGACAUAAAUACAAGGGAAUAAAUUGGAAGCUUAUUUCAAAUUAACUAGCUAGUGGUGUUUGUGAAGUUCAAGAAAAAGCUGGUCUUUUUCUCGACAAAUAAUUUAACAUGCAAAGAAUCAAUAAAUGUAUUUGCAAGAAAGCAAACAUAAUUAACGAUAAAACUGGUUUAUUGUCACUGUAGACAACGGUAGUAGUUGGAACUAGAUACAAACCAAUAAAAAACAAGAUCUCAAAUCUCCAACCAAUAAAGAGUUCAACCCAAAUUUUACAGUAACACCAUUAUAUUCAAAUAGUGAUUAUUCCAACACAUGGAUAAUUAAUUAAGGCACCAGGUUGCCCUUGUGACUAGGAAAGACAAACUUAUGAACUUGCAAGCAUGGCAAUCAGAUCGACAUCCACACAAUGCCAAUAUGAACAUUGUCUUGAUACAACUUUAUUUUUAUUUUAUUUCAGAAUUUAAACAACUAGUAUGGGCGGGUCACACACGACAUUGUGUGACACUUUAUUUGUCACCGCUGCAUCGACAUAUCCAUCGACUAAACAACGGUGAUCCAACUAUAUAUUACUAGAGACCUUUCCUUAUUAGUAGGAACCAACUCCGGUGCCAACACCGAAUGGCACACUAGUGGUGGUUCUAUACAACGGCACAUUGACACGGCACAUCGUUGGCAGGGUACGGAGCGCAAUGGAAGUCAUCACCUCAAGCUGAGCUAUCUGGUGUGGCUGCAAAAAGGUACCUUGUGCCAAUUGUUGUUGUUGAGGUUGUUGCCCGAGUUGUUGUUGUGACUGCUGUUGGGGUUGGGAAACACAUUGGCCCAACUGUUGGGGUUGCUGCUGAGGAGUUUGGAUGGAACCCUGAACCUGUUGUUGUUCUUGCAGGAUGAUGGAGUAGAUGAUAGCACGGAUUGCCUCAUAGCGGGAUUGCUGGGGGAUUUGCGGCAACUGCUGGCAACAUUGUUGUUGCAUCACAUGGCAACUGCUCUGCUGCAACAUUUGCGACCUAGCAAGACUUUGUGGCAUUGCCACAGGGCUGCAUUGCUGCUGGAGGAAUACCUUGCAUGGGUUUAGCUGCUGCAAGAUAGAUGGAUGAACAAAUGGUAUUUGUUGUUGCGGUAGAACUAGUUGUUGUUGUUGCUGCGAAAAUGGUGGUUGUUGCGGUAGACUUGGUUGUUGUUGUUGCAAAAAUGGUGGUUGUUGCUGUAGUACUAUUUGUUGUUGUUGCGAAAACGGUGAUUGUUGCUGUGAAAAUGGUGGUAGUUGUUGCUGUGAAAAUGAUGGUUGUUGCGGUAGAACUGGUUGUUGUUGCUGCGAAAAUGGUGGUUGUUGUUGUGAAAAUGGUGGUUGUUGUUGCUGCGAAAAUGGUGGUUGUUGUUGUGAAAANNNNNNNNNNNNNNNNNNNNNNNNNNNNNNNNNNNNNNNNNNNNNNNNNNNNNNNNNNNNNNNNNNNNNNNNNNNNNNNNNNNNNNNNNNNNNNNNNNNNNNNNNNNNNNNNNNNNNNNNNNNNNNNNNNNNNNNNNNNNNNNNNNNNNNNNNNNNNNNNNNNNNNNNNNNNNNNNNNNNNNNNNNNNNNNNNNNNNNNNNNNNUGGUUGUUGUUGCUGCGAUAAUGGUUGUUGUUGUUGCUGCGAAAAUGGUGGUUGUUGUUGUGAAAAUGGUGGUUGUUGUUGCUGCGAUAAUGGUUGUUGUUGUUGUUGCUGUGAACAUGGUUGCUGUUGUGAAAAUGGUUGUGGUUGUUGUUGGAUGGGUUGUUGUUGUUGGUGGUGCGAUAAUGUUUGUUGUGGUGGUAAUGGUUGUUGCUGCGAUGGUCUCUCCAAACCAGGGAUGUGGCUAUUCUCCAUUUGUGCAAUGGCACUUGUCGCCACAAUGGCGAGGAGAGCAAAGAUGAGGAAGGUCUUCAUGGUGGAUUGGUGUUAACCAGUGUUGCUUGGUUUUGAUGCUUGUGCUUGUGAUGAUCUUUAUACUUCAUGCCUAUUUAUAGUAGCCCGGGCACCACCUCUUUUCUUCUUUGCAUUAGCUUUAAUAAUUCUGUUUGGAUGCAUCUAAAAUGAUUUUUGGUACAAUGUGUUAGGUUGCACUAGCUACACGCGUACUUUUGGAUUGAUCAUCAAAGUUGCUUUUUAGUUGUGCAUAUGAUCACACACAAAGUACAGAAACCUUGAUGUUUGGUACAUAUGACUCACCUUAUUCACUUUACAUGUCACACACUUAUCUGGAUAGUAUCACUUUUGCAACCGAGUUUGGAACCUUGUAUAGGCUGUCAUCCAUAAACAAGAAAGGCAAAACUUGUGUAGGACUAAGUUUGCAAUCGGAGGGUUCUUCUAGACUCGAUUUCUUUUCGUAAAACUAACUUUGUAUUUUUCCUCUAAGAUGAUAAGAUGAACCGACGCCUAUAGAGCAUGACAUGACUCAUCGAAUUCCCUUUACAUGUAAAGGAUGGUAAUUGCUUACAAGCUACUCCUACUAGCAUAUAUCCGGUUCCAAGCCUAGACACGUCAUCAUCAGUUUCGUCUAUUUUUUUAGAUAAAUCAUCAGUUCUAUCUAUUUGUGAAGGGUUUUUUUGGGGGGAAAUGAUAGUUUUUUUAUGCUAGGGGGGUUUUUUNNNNNNNNNNNNNNNNNNNNNNNNNNNNNNNNNNNNNNNNNNNNNNNNNNNNNNNNNNNNNNNNNNNNNNNNNNNNNNNNNNNNNNNNNNNNNNNNNNNNNNNNNNNNNNNNNNNNNNNNNNNNNNNNNNNNNNNNNNNNNNNNNNNNNNNNNNNNNNNNNNNNNNNNNNNNNNNNNNNNNNNNNNNNNNNNNNNNNNNNNNNNNNNNNNNNNNNNNNNNNNNNNNNNNNNNNNNNNNNNNNNNNNNNNNNNNNNNNNNNNNNNNNNNNNNNNNNNNNNNNNNNNNNNNNNNNNNNNNNNNNNNNNNNNNNNNNNNNNNNNNNNNNNNNNNNNNNNNNNNNNNNNNNNNNNNNNNNNNNNNNNNNNNNNNNNNNNNNNNNNNNNNNNNNNNNNNNNNNNNNNNNNNNNNNNNNNNNNNNNNNNNNNNNNNNNNNNNNNNNNNNNNNNNNNNNNNNNNNNNNNNNNNNNNNNNNNNNNNNNNNNNNNNNNNNNNNNNNNNNNNNNNNNNNNNNNNNNNNNNNNNNNNNNNNNNNNNNNNNNNNNNNNNNNNNNNNNNNNNNNNNNNNNNNNNNNNNNNNNNNNNNNNNNNNNNNNNNNNNNNNNNNNNNNNNNNNNGCCGCCACCGCUCGACAAAAAAGGUCACUUUUGUAGCUCCCCCGUCGAUUGCGGGCCGUACGUCGACGGCAGCCACUCCGACCUCCCCGUCAACACAAGGUAUCGAUCUGUUUCGUCUGUCUCUUCCAGCGAUUCAAUGCACAUAAAUCCGAGAGGCAGACCCAUCUCCAUGCUAGCUGCACGGAUCAGGAGGGUCAGGCAUCAGAAUUCAGCUGGGAAGCCUGACACUAAUGUACAUUUGUGGCUUUAGUAGCUGAAUAUAACUAUGUGUUUUCUGAGAAUUUCACUUCAAAAGUUCCAAUAAUCAUCAAAUUUCCGCCUAUGCGCGCUAAGCAGGUGGACCAUAUAUUUCUCAUGUCGACGAACGAAAAAACAAAACUCCACAACUAGAAGUCUAUGAUAUUGACACGGAACCGUGCUGUAGGGUCGCAAGUAAAAAUAUGAAAAGCAUGCCUAACACUACUAGGAAAAGGGCUAUAGAUGGAAUUGACACUAAUGACGCACCAGACAUGUGGUGCGCCAUUAGUAUAUACUAAUGGCGCACCAUCUUCUGAUGCGCCAUUAGUGUUGAAAUUACUAAUGGCGCACCCUGCCCACGGUGCGCCAUUAGUACCAAUUUUUUUUUGAACUAGUGCGCCUGUCCAAACAUACUAAUGGCGCAUCCGCUGGUGGUGCGCCAUUACUAGUUGUAACUAGUAAUGGUGCACCAGCCAGAGGGUGCGCCACUAAAGUUAUUUUUUUUAUUAUUGUUUUUAUUCCUUUUUUUGCAAAAGUACUAAUGGCGCACUCACACGCGGUGCGCCAUUACUAGUUCAAACUAGUAAUGGCGCACCGUGGCAGAGUGCGCCAUUAGUAUGUUUUUUUUUCAAAACUACUAAUGGCGCACCACCUGGUGGUGCGCCAUUAGUAACCUGGAUUACUAAUGGCGCAUUUGUUGCUGGUGCGCCAUUAGUAAGUGGGCAGCAACAAGAUAUUUUGGACAGCCUCUCCUCCCACACUCACUUUCUCCCCAUUUCAUUCUCUCCACCGCCUCCUCAUGUCUCGGGUGCCUCCUCUUUUUCACCUCAUUUCCACCAUAGAUUCAUUCAAAUUAAGUGGUUAAGUUACCUUGUUUUGCUAGGUAAGUAAGGGGGGAAGCUAUAUUUAUGUUGUUCUCCCUACAACAGUGUGCACAUGCACUUUUUAUGGCCUAGCUAGAUCUAUGUAUGUUCGUGGUGUUGCAUAUGUUUGUGGUGUUGCAUAUGUGUUUGUGUUUGAAGGUGUACCGGUAUUUGAAAUGCGAUAGUUGCCAAUAUUUUGCCGGAAUGUUGAUUCAUUUCCGUUUCGGCGAGAAUUUUGGCAUUAAGCAUUCUUUUUGGUCCUAUUUUUAGGGAAAGUCAUGCCAAAUUUUUUCUUGGUUCUAAAAUAUCGUUUUGCUCUACCCCGCAGGCGACCAUGGUCCGCACGAUGACCGAAGGCAUCGUGAAUAGGUUUUUGAGGUCCACGAAGGCCGAGAUGCUUCAAAAGAACGAGACGGAGAUAAGAUGUCCGUGUCGAAGAUGCAAGCUGAAUAGCCUUAUUGCGGACCCGGAUUCCGGGCAGGUGCGGGACCACCUGCUCUUGCGUGGUUUCAUGGAUGGCUGUCGGUGGCAAGGUGAUGAAGAUGACUACGAAGUCGUCCAUGGGGGCCGGGCAAGAAAUGAGGAAGGGCAGCAAGACAACCACCGCGGCUCGGGGGGGCGAGAAGAAGAAGAAUCCCCAGGAGAUGAUCACGACGGUGAUGUUGUACACAGUCAUCAUGUAGAAGAUGCAGGACAUGAUGAUGAUGCCGGCGGAGCAGACGACGCUGGACCAUCGAUGGGCUGGGUGCAGGACCCUCAUAUUCAAGAGCUGCUUCUCAAGCAGACGGAUAACGCAAGAGCUGCCGCCCGAGAGAAAGCCAAGAUGGAUCAACUUGAGUUAGACGCGGUUACUCCAUUGUAUGAAGGAUGCAGGCCCGAGGAUACCCGCCUGAAAGUAACACUCAUGGCUCUGGAGAUGAAGGUAAAACACAAAAUGACCGACGCAUGCUUCGACGAGAACAUGUCAUUCUGGCACGAACGUCUUCCCAAAGGGAACAAGUGCCCGACCAGUUUGGAGGAGGCGAAGAAAAUCGUGUGUCCUCUGGAUUUACCGCACGUGAAAUACCAUGUGUGCAUGAACAAUUGCAUCAUUUAUCGGGACGAGCACGCGGAGUCUACCAUAUGUCCGGUGUGCGGUGUCACUCGAUACAAGAAGGGGAAGAAAGCUCCUCGAAAAGUGGUGUGGUACUUUCCGAUCACUCCUCGUCUGCAGCGGUAUUUCGCGGACCCUAAGGUAGCAAAGCUCCUGCGUUGGCACGCGGAUAGGGAGGAGAAGAAGCGAGAAGAUGACGCAAAUGAUACGGAGAUAGAUAAAAAAGACAAGAUGCUGAGUCACCCUAAGGAUGCGAGCCAGUGGCAAGCGUUGAACUUCGAAUAACCAGAAUUUGGGAACGAUCCAAGGAACAUCGUGCUGGGCGCGAGCACCGGUGGAGUCAAUCCGUUUGGCAGCCAGAGAAGCACACAUAGCACCUGGCCUGUGUUUGUGUGGAUGUACAACCUUCCCCCCUGGUUGUGCAUGAAGAGGAAGUACAUUCACAUGAGUAUGCUAAUUGAAGGGCCGAAACAACCAGGGAACGACAUCAAUCUGUAUCUGGGGCUGCUGAAAGAGGAGCUUGACACGCUGUGGAAAACGCCCACCAAUACGUGGGACGCCGCAGAGAAAGAAUAUUUCCCUAUGAGAGCCGCACUGCUCACGACGGUGCACGACUAUCUCGGUUACGGAUAUCUUGCGGGGCAGGUAGUCCACGGAUUUUCUGGAUGCGUAAGGUGCAUGGAUGACACAACGUAUCGCCAGCUAGAUAGAGACGAUGACCCGUGGAGGAAACGCAAGGAUCUGUUCGAUGGUGAAACCAAACCCCGAAAACGCCCGUGUACGAGGAGCGGCGAGGAAAUAGACAAGCUGUUGAAAAAUCGGAAAGACUGCCCACUGCCGGGAAAGAAGCAAAAGGUGCCAGAGCCGGGAAAGAAGCGAAAGGCGCCAGAGCCGCUGCUGAAGCUAUGGAAAACGAGGUCUGUUUUCUGGGACUUGCCGUACUGGAAGAUCCACCGUGUGCCUCACAGCCUUGAUGUCAUGCAUAUCACGAAGAACGUGUGCGAGAGUCUGCUUGGUACCCUGCUCAACAUGCCAGAGAGGACCAAAGAUGGGCCGAAAGCGAGGGCAGACUUGAAAUCAAUGGGCAUCAGGCAGGAGCUUCACGCUAUAUAUGAUGAUGAUGAUGAUGAUGAUGAUGAUGAUGAGGCGAAGCAGGACACAGAAAGUCGUCGCAAAGGCAAAAAGGCCAAGAAGACCGGAAAUGACUACCCUCCCGCGUGCUUCACUCUAAGUCAGGAGGAGAUCGAGCAGUUUUUCACCUGCCUCCUAGGAGUAAAACUUCCUUACGGUUACGCGGGGAAGAUAAGCAGAUACCUAGACCCAGCGAAGCAGAAGUUCAGCGGGAUGAAGUCUCACGAUUGUCACAUGCUGAUGACGCAGAUACUUCCAGUUGCAAUCCGUGGGAUCAUGGACGCGCACGUCCGUGAAACGCUAUUUGGCCUAUGCAACUUCUUCGACGUCAUCUCUCAGAAGUCGAUUGGCAUGAGGCAACUCAGAAGGCUACAGGAAGAGAUCGUGGUGAUACUAUGCGAGCUUGAGAUGUACUUCCCGCCCGCAUUCUUCGAUGUUAUGGUGCAUCUGCUGGUCCAUAUAGUGGGGGAUAUCAUCCAACUCGGGCCGAUGUUCCUGCACAGCAUGAUGCCGUUCGAAAGGAUGAAUGGUGUCAUCAAAGGAUACGUUCGCAACAUGUCACGUCCAGAAGGAAGCAUAGCCAGGGGCUUUCUGACCGAAGAGUGCAUCUACUAGUGCGCGAAUUAUCUAGGCAUCGAGAACCCCGUUGGUCUGCCCGUCAACAGGCACCUCGGCAGGCUCGCUGGAUGGGGUCACCGUGAGGGUCGCCGCGAAAUGCAUGUCGACUUCGAGGGUCGACUCGCCGACUUUGAAAGAGCAAACCUAGUCGCGCUACAACACAUAGACGUGGUCGAUGCUUGGGUGGUAGAGCACAAAACCUUUAUUAAGAAGACGUACAAUGACCGAGGCCAACAGAGGACGGACGGAGAUAUACUCAAAGAGCACAACUCAUGUUUCACGCGUUGGUUCAAGCAGAAGCUUCUGUCGUACCCUUUACAUGAGGAUUCUUCCGCGGAAGAACAACUCAUAUUCGCCUUGUCACAGGGCGCCGAGCACAACCUGAUGACCUAUGAGGCGUACGAUAUCAACGGCUACACAUUCUACACCGAGGCCAAGGACAUGAAGAGCGAUGGUUAUCAGAACUCCGGGGUAACGAUGGAAUCCUACACCGGUAACGACAAGGACAGAUACUACGGAAGGAUCGAGGAGAUCUGGGAGCUGAGCUAUGCUGGAGAGAAGGUCCCGAUGUUCCGUGUCAGAUGGGCCAAGAACGUCAUAAAAGAAGACCGGUAUUUCACCACCAUGGUUAUACCCGGAGCCAAAUCCAAGACCGCGAGCGCAAACGUCACCGCGAAAAAUGAGCCAUGGGUACUGGCUUCCCAAGUGGACCAAUGCUUCUUCAUUACCGACCCGCCAAAGCCCAGUCGUGUUGUCGUGAGGAGAGGCAAAAGGAAGAUCAUCGGAAUGGAUGGAGUAGCCAAUGAGCAAGACUUCGACAAGUACGGCGACCCGAGGAUCGAACAUGACGACGAUGAUGAAGUAGCAGCAUACACCACAAGAAGAAGCAGGACCACCCUACCUAAAGGACGUCCGUUCCACAGAAGAACUCCAUUUGCGAAAAAGAAGGGCAAGAAGAUUGUGAACAGAUAGCUAGCUAAGAUCGAUUGUAUUUAAAUCGUAGCCUUCAUUUCUCGAUUGUAUUUCAUGGGUACUUUUUGAACUAUCAUGAAUAUUUUUAAAUUUAAUGGACACUCGAUCUCGAUCCCCCUCCAUCUCGAUCGCUAUCCCACCUCGCCAGAUCCGGUCCCCCUCGCCGCCAAGCACCCCCCCAGCCCACCGGCCGCCGCCGCCGACCCCCCGCACCCUCGAUUCCCCUACCCAACCGCCGCCGCCGACCCACCGCACCCCGCGCACCCUCCCCUGCUCCACCAGCAUUACUGUUUGAUGAUAUUUUUAAAAAAAUUAUUAUUGUCUUAUAAAAAAAUAUUACUGUUAUGAUUUAAACAAGUUUGAACAUAUUUAAACACAAAUAAGUAUCAAACAGGUUUUUAAAUGCUAAAAAAAAUUUGUGGAGCCUGGGAGUCGAACCCAGGACCUCCUGGUGUGAGAACUGGCUGCUGACCAGUCGAGCUAGUAGAGGGGACUUGAUGUGGAUCAAUUCUGGUGGUACAUAACCUGUUGGCUCGAGUUGAAAUAAAAAAAAUACUAAUGGCGCACCACGGUGAGGUGCGCCAUUAGUAUGGAUGUACUUAUGGCGCACCGAGGGGUGGUGCGCCAUUAGUAUUGUGCCCGAUCCCUUCCCUCUCCCCCUUCGCCCGAUCCCCCCUUCCCUCUCCCCCUUGCCAGUUCCCUCUCCCUCGAUCCACCGCCGCCGCCGCCGCUGCCCUGACCCACUGCGCCGCAGCCGCCCACGCGCCCCCGCCGCCUCCCUCUCCCCUUCCUCCCCCUCGAGCCCGCGCCGUCCGCCCAAACCUAACCCGACGCCGUCCGCCGCGCCCGCUCCACCGCCGCCGCCCUGCCUCUCCGCCCUCUCCCUCCCUCNNNNNNNNNNNNNNNNNNNNNNNNNNNNNNNNNNNNNNNNNNNNNNNNNNNNNNNNNNNNNNNNNNNNNNNNNNNNNNNNNNNNNNNNNNNNNNNNNNNNNNNNNNNNNNNNNNNNNNNNNNNNNNNNNNNNNNNNNNNNNNNNNNNNNNCGUCGCCCCGCCGCCCCGACACCACCGUCCGUCGCCCCGCCGCCCCGCCGCCCCUCUCGCAGCAAGGUAUGCGGCUGGUUCGUCCCCUGUCAUGGUUCUCUCUUCGUUUAUUUUCCUGAAAUCUCUGCUGUUCAUUGGCCGAUGAUGUCUUACAAGUAAAAUAUCUGGCAAACUUGUGCUGUAAACUGUACAUUGCUGAGGCUGUGGGCAACCUGUUCUUCUCUUUGCCAUACUAGUGCUUUUGUUCAUUGGCCGAUGAUGUCUCUGUUGGUUUACGUCCCCGGCAAAUUAGGUACCCGUGAACCAUUUAUAGGCCCAACUUUCUUACUCUCAAUGACCACAAUGUGCUUAUUUUGUUAGGAUUGUGCAUUUGCGCGAUUUGUGCAGUGCUUAUUUGUUGGCACCUCACCAGCUUUCAAAUUCAGCAUUUGUAACACAGUUCAAUUUGAUCUAAGGGCCUAUCUUGUCUCAUUUCCAACAUGUAAUAAACUUCCCCCGAGGCCAUAGAUGAGAAUACUUCUUUCAGUACAUUUUGCUGAUUUCUCACUGUUGAAUACUUCAUUUCUGUUUGCCUUUGGCCAAAGAUGCAUUCAGUUCUUUCUGCCCUUAGCGGUUUGAUUCAAGUUUGUCAGGUUCUGUUAACUAAAAAGGUUCAGAUUCAGAAACAUUGUUGGACUACUAGGAAGUUGGACUACUAGGAACAUGUUUAGAUUCAGGUUCUGUUAACUAAAAAAGUUCAGGUUCUGUUAACUAAAAAAGUUCAGAUUCAGAAACCUGUAAUUUCUACUUUUAUGCCUCUGUUACUCCAGUCAAAAUUUUAUGUUUGAUGCCCAUGGUAGUUGAGCUCUCACCUCACCUCACGCAACAUGCAUGAUGCCACAAUGUCUAGUAUGUACUGCCAAGCAACUGGCAAAUAAUUAUAACUUAGAAUAAAUAAAUCUGAUGUAAGAUAAGCAUGGCAUGAGCUUUAAUUAAAUAGCAUAAUACACGUUGGUAGUCCAUCUCUCUCAAAAAAAAUACAUGUUGGUAGCAGAAAAAAAUACAUGUUGGUAGCAGAAAUUUUUUUGAGCCCUUAUUAGCUACUCACACUAUUUGCCCCGCAGUUUCUCUGUCAUGGCUACCAAGUGAUUGACGGUGGGCUAGAAAAAUAAAACCACCAAACUAUCAGUAAAAGAUGUGAACCAACAUCUUUCAUUGUUAUGCAUAUCAAACACCAAGGGUUAUUUUCACUUAAAGUUUUAGAAUGGGUGCAUUACAAUUCAGUCUGAUAUCUAAUAAGACACUCUGGGCUGAUAUAAUUAUGGAACAGAACCAACCAUGAUAAAUAAAAGGUGAUGUUGUCUAUGCAUUACCAAAAAUGUAUCUUUGUGAACAAAUAAAUUGGUACCAACAGCAAUGCCAUCUUACUGUAGAAUUAGAAUACAUGGACAUGAUCAGCUCAGCUCCCAAACUGCCAUUCAUCACAUCAAUUUCCCCUUAUGUAACUCCAGUCAAAAUUUUAUGUUGGUCUACCUAGUAGAUGCCCAUGGUUUGAUUUUAUGUUUGUUCCUAUCAAUACAAAUGCUGAGCUAUGUUCCAUUUUUACUGUUCUUUGUGAUAGUUUUUGCAACUUUACUUCCCAUCUUAAGGCAAGCCCCAUUUUUACUGUUCUUUGUUAGCAGAGCUGCUUGUUUCUAAGAACUUUGAUACUAUUUGGAUCAAAGUUAAAUGAGCACAUAGAUGACAAAAAAAAGUUCAGAUUGUAAAAUGUUCAUUUUGCUGCUAGUGCCCAUUUUGAGUAAUUGCUUAGAGGGAUGAUCCUGUGUGAGCUGGUGGAGUGAUUUGUUUUCUACAUAAAGCUCUUUAGUCAGGCUGGUUUUCGUGAAAUACACAUGAAGCUUCACCAGCUCCUGUGGGUGUGGGAUCCAUGUGACAUGUGACAUUGCAUCCAUGUCCACCUGGGAUAAUGAUUUUGCAUGUACCCCGAGAGGCCCUUAAGUUUGCCGGAAUGUCGAUUAACUUCCGUUCCGGCAAAUUCGGGUACUCCAUAUGUCCUAUUUUCAGCAAAGGUCAUGCUGAAAUUUUCCGUGAAUUUUAGCAUGACUUUGCAAAAAAUAGGACAUAUGGGGUACUUGUGACUAAUGCAUGGGCCGGGGUAUCAUAGUAGUUAAUUAAGUAGGAUCAAGUGCCCCGGCGUACUUGUGACUGAUGCAUGGCUUUUAGGGUGCCUCGGUGUUGAUAAAAACCGAAAUGAUGAAAGCUUAGGCUUUUAGGGUGCCUCGGCGUCGAAAAACCCUCAAUGAUAAAAGCUUAGGUCUUAGGAUGCCUCGGUGUCGACAAACCCUAAAUGAUGAGACCAUGUCUUGUUCCUUGACAAUAACCAACUUUUUGACCAAACUUUGUUUCUAUUUAGAGAGAAACAUGGCCCACAACGAUGAGGCCGGGGGUUCGGGCGGCAAGGCAUUCUGGGAGCUGUCCCAGGAGAUGGAGGAACAACCUCACUUGUAUGAGGCCGCCGCCUUCCCCACCGAUCCUGAGACCACUGAUGGUGCCGCCGAGGAUGACCACACUGAUGCCACCACUGAUGGUGCCGCCGAGGAUGCCACCACUGAUGAUGGCAGCGCCCGCACAGAUGGCAGCCAACCGAAGAGGCAACGGAAGGACCGACGCCCGAUCGUGCUCCUCACCCUCAAGGAGGAAGUUACUGAAGUGGACUCCAACGGGUAUCCAACGGCGCCCGAACGAAUAGUCAAGGGGUACUCGCUUCAGCUCGGGUGCAUUGUCCGGAGCACCGUCUCGAUCAACACCGAGAACCUGAGGCAUCCUGACCGAGGGAAUUUGUGCCACCUCCUCUUCACGAAGCUGCACGAAUGAUACAAGUUCCCCGCUGAAUUUGCAAACAGAAGCCUCAAAGGGAAUAAAGUGAACAAUGCUGCCCUCACGAAGAUGAGCAAGGCCCUGUCUACUUGGAAAAGCAAUGUGAAGAAAAUGAUCGAUAAAGGUGAGAGUUAUCAGAAGAUCAAGGAGAAAAAUCCUUCGAUCACCAAAGAUGACUACAAUGACUUCAAGAUCAAUUGCUCGAGCACCGCAAGCUCCCAAUCAAGUGAGUGGGGGAAACAAAUGCGGGAGCUGAACAUAGGGGAACACACACUCGGUCCCGACGGUUACAGAGUGGCGGAGCCUAUAUGGGACAAGGAGGAGGCGGACCGUGCCGAGCAAGGCCUACCGCCCCUCUUCGAGAAAUACAGCGGUAACAAGCAGACCAGGAACUUUGUCAGGGCCCGGUACAAGAAGGACCCGAAAACAAAGGAGCUUACCACGGAUCCGAAGACCAGGCAGCUUGAGCUUGUUCUGGUAAGGAAUACACCCCCGCGUAAUUAGCUCCAUAUGGUUGCAUUCUAAUUAAUGAAGCCAAAUUUCUAAAUGGUUCACAUUCCUUCCGCAGGCGACUGAAAGCAGUAGCGCGGGGUCGACUAAGAGCAACCCUUGGGACACCACUCUAAAUAGGGCGAUGAAUGUAAUGAAGAAGAAGGAUAAGCUCAGUAAGCCGACGUCAGCUGGUCGUGUGGCCGGCAAAGGCUUGUCGACAAAAUGGGGGUCAUACUAUACCGCUGGUGUGCGGAAGGAGAAAAAGACCAGCUCGGAAAGCCAGGCGCGAGAGGAUCAAGAACUCAAGGAACAGGUGACGCGGAUUCCGGAGAUUGUCCAAGAGCAAGUGGAACAAUGACUCGGAGCGACGAUCACCGCCAUUGUGCCUACCUUGAUCUCGGGGUUGAGUGCGUGGAUUGCGGGCGGCCAACAGGGGCCGCCCCCGAUUCCUAGCUUCACGGCCAGCAACUCGCAUAAUGCGAUGGCGGGGCCAUUGGUGCCUCCGGCGGAGGCGGCAUUGGUGUCUCCGACGCCGGCACGGGAGCUUAAUGCACCCGGGUGUACGCCGGCCGGCACCUCUGCAGCAAGCGGCCCCUCCGUCAACUGCACGCCCGCCGUUGGCGGUGCGUCGACAUUAGCCGAGCUCGACGCCAUCAACACGGUAACUAAUUAAGCCUCUCUCGGCCGAGGACUUCAUCUCCUUGCCUUUGACUAGGCAUCCCUGACGCCCUACAUGUUUUCGCAGGGCGCCGCCGACGUUCCGUGCACUCUCCUCCACUUCGUGAACAACGAGUUGGUCGAUGUCGCCAAGGGCAAAAUCGUUCAACCGGCAACCCCUUGUUCCACGGUACCCAGAUGCCACCCAACUUGUUUAGGGUUCAACUGGUUCGGGUGUUGCCAGGCUGCGACGACUUGUUACCUCUGAUUCGACCCGUUGGGGCCGACGAUGAAGACGUGAUGACCCUCAGCGCCUGCCUGAGCUGGCCCCUAGUUUGGCCGAAGAGCCAGAUUCGUUUGGGGGCGGGGGACACCACCCCAAAGACAACACCGCCAGUCGUGCUGGUGCCAAGUCGGCCCCAUGGCAAGACCGCCGUAACGGUGCCGGACAUCCCUAUGCCACUGGAUCCAAACAUGCAUAUGGCACAGGAUCAGAAUGACGACGACAACGACGAUGAUACAUUUGGCAACGUCGAUCAGUACUUUGCCGAUCAUGGGUACGAUGGCGACUUCAUGGGGCCUCCUUCUCAAGAACCAAACCCAACAAAAGACGUGUGCGAUCUAGCUGGUACCGCAGAGAAGCCAAGUUGCAACAGGCGCCGUCUGGCGUUCAGCUCUCAGGAGACGCCUCCAGCUGCCGACUUCACCGAUCCUCAGAUAGGCGAGGUGCGAAAUAUUAUCAGCCCCAACACACUCAAGAAGGCGGUCUGUGAGCAGAACUCGGUCCCAUUACAGGAGAAGAAGAAGGCACGCAAAAGAAAGACUAAGAAGGGUGCGAGCCAGCCGGCACCGAGUACGAUCCGUGCUCAGGACGGGCCACCUUCACCGCAGGAUAUCUCGAGGAGGGUGCAUGUGGCGGGUAGGGCGAUGCUACCGACAAAUAUGCUCAAUGCUGCAACCGGUGCUAUGCGGAGUCUGCAUGACAGUGUUCUUGCUUUGGAGAAGCGGCGUCUCAGAGAGAAGGAUGUGGCAUACCCGGUUUUCGCGGCCAAGGUGCCAAAGGGCAAGGGCUUUGUGGAUAACUCCAUCGGGCGUACGAUCGUCCUGCGUUUUGAUGACAUCCACGCUAUGUUGAACCUUCAUCCGCUGCACUACACCUUCGUUCGGCUAUUUUCGCUGAGUAUGGAGAUGCGGAUCAUUCGCGACAAGACCCCGGACAUCGUGAUAGUCGACCCCUUCUACAUGCGUGCCAAGAUCUUGGGCAGCGCUGGGGACCGGCAAGUCGCGAGUUCUUACCUCGAAGGCAUCAUUCUGGCAAACCAAGAUAAGGAUAACUUCCUCGUGCCUUACUUUCCCGAGUAAGUCCUCCCCUCAACCGGCCCGUAACAUAUGAAUUCUUACAUUUCGAUCGUUUUUCUUUUAACAUUCCGUGUUUUUUGCAGUGACACACGUUGCACGCUCAUCCUCCUAAGCCCCAAAUAUUCCAUGGCCACAUAUUUCGACCCGGACUGUUAGUCGAACGUAGACUACACAAAUGUCAAGAAGGUUCUUGAUGAUGUUCUCCCCGGCUAUGCCAAAUCUGGAGGCACCUUCACCAGGCCUAAUCGUAAGUACGGCAAGCAUGUUUUCUCCCACAAUACGAUGUUCUACUGCGUCAAGCAGCCGCCUGGUGGUCAGAAGGGUGCCUACUACGCCAUCCAUCACAUGCGGGCGAUCGUACGGGACCAUCAUCAACUUCUGCUACCGAGUAAACUCAAAGAUUGGGCAAAGAGCGUGUCGGCAAUCGAGGACGCGGACCUCCGACAAGAAUUCUUUCGCAUCCAGUCGGAGUUUGCGGAAAUCAUCCAUCAAGAUGUCCUUCGUACCUCGGGGCAGUUCUACCUCAACAAUCAACCGUCCAAUAGUGACAUCGACAUAAUGCUACAAAUGCAGGCUGACAACGACCGUUAUUUCAUGACUCCCACGAUAGACGGCGGCUUCAUCCACGCUCCGGUCCCUUGAGUCGAGUCGAAAGCAGUGAUGCUGUGUCUAGUUCUGAAACAUCGAUUGGCUCAUGUUGUAAUUAAACUUUAAUGAACUUGUAGUAUGUCUCUUUGGUUUCGAGAGUCGUUCAACUUAGAUGUAAUCGAUGCUAUUAAUGUCUUGCUUUUCUCUUCCGAUUGUUCUGUUGCAUACUUAUAUAUUGCUUAUGUAUUGUCUGUGAAUUGGUACUAACGUUUCGUUUGGCUAGUGCAUAGCGAUGCCGACGUAUGUCGUGUACAAGGGUAAGGUUCCCGUAGUCUACGAUGACUGGGAGGAGUGUCGGAGACAGGUUCACCGAUUCAGCGGUAACAGUUACAAAGGGUACACCACUAGGGCCGAGGCCGAAUCUAGAUACGCCCGCUAUCUAGCGGGAGAGGGGAGGGAGCGUUGGAGGAACCGGAUGAAGACGAGUUUCAUCGUGAUGAUGCUCAUCGUGAUGACCGCAGCUCUCUUCUAUGUGAUGGUAGUUUAGAUGAUCGAUAUCGACUUGUAAUGUGAAGACAAACUCGCUACUCGCGGUCUCGAGACUUGUAAUAUAAUGUUCUAUCUUUGUUCGGUCUUUUUAAUUCGGAGACUAAUAUGAUGAAUUGUAUUCGGAGACUAAUAUGAUGAAUUGUAUUCAAAGACUAAUCUUCUAUUGUAUUCGAUGAAUCUGUUGUUGAUGUGUGCUGUCUAUAUUUUGUCAAAUUAUACAUUUUGUAACCUGUGCAAAAAACAGAAAAUAAAAAAUAAAAAAAACCUAAUAUUCAUACUAAUGACGCAUCACAUGAUAGUGCGCCAUUAGUAUGACAGUGCAUACUAAUGGCGCAUCACUGGGCAGUGCGCCAUUAGUAUGCCGCGGUUACUAAUGGCGCAUCCAGCGGUGGUGCGCCAUUAGUAUGCCAAAGCACCUGGGUAUACAUGGCCCCUGGGAGGCAUACUAAUGGCGCACCCUUGCCUAUACUAAUGGCGCACGCGCGGUGCGCCAUUAGUAUACCAGAUACUAAUGGCGCACCAGGUGGUGCGCCAUUAGUAAAAAUUACUAAUGGCGUGCUAUUAAUGGCGCACCACAGAUGCGCCAUUAAUGGCCAUUUUAGGUGCGCCAUUAGUAGGGGUUUUUCUAGUAGUGUAAUAAGCGAGAUGACGCAGUUCCUGACCGCCCCGCUACCACUACUGGUUCCAGCGUGGCGUUUGAAUUAUGCCGCGCUAGAUGCCUUUUGUCCAGCGAGGAACAAGUGGGGUCAAGCGUGCUUUGGCAAUUCCCGCCGUCAGAAGACUUCCUUGUAGUCCGGUGUAGAGGUGAGGUUGUAGGGAGAUGCAUCGACUAGGAAGGAGUGGCCACAUGAACGAGCAUAUGUAUGAUGUGAUUAAGUCUCUCGAUCGGGUAUCUGGUGCCUUACGUACGGUGUCUUAUUUUUGUCAAGCUAUGACAUCUUUCAGUUUGAGUGUCUGAUAUUAGGGUUGCAUACGUUUUGUUAUUCAGUUGCCUGUUGUCAACUCUAUGGUUAUAUCACCUCGAUGUGUGAGUCAAUGUGUUUGAACCAAUGUAGAGUUUCAUGUGAAUGUUACAAGUGUGAUUGAUAUCUUCAUGUUAUAACCGCAGUUGCCUUGGUAAGAAAUUGAAAGAGCAAACCGUUAUCGUGUUAGGAAAAAAGUCAUCGCUCAAUAUAAGUUGCUUCUCUAGAACAACCACACCUUUCCCUCAAAAAAAAGAACAACCACACCUUGUGAAAGAAGAUGGCAAACACCCAAUUAUGUCUGGUUAGAUAUGGGCAUGGCUAUGGGUAGCUUAUAGCGACACGGAAGCUAGCAUCGCCUGAAGAAACACCCGGAUGGGCCGGCCUAGAGACAAAUUUCUUCAUUUCUACCCUUAGUUUUGUUUUUCUGCCCUUUUUUCUUUAUAUUUUAUAUUUUUCCCGACAUGUUCACUACUUGAUGCUCAACUGGGAUCUCAUCUGAUGCGGAGCAUCCUAUGGACAUCACCAUGUCAAGAGUCCGUUCGGCAAGUGACACGUGUGACAUCUACUUCUCAUACAUAAAGGUGAAUCUUCUCCUUUACACGUGUUUACUUGACCCCUUCGAGGAUGGUAUACUACUUGACACUUCUCCCGUGUGCAUGCAUAGGUAUUGUCGGAGCUUCAUGGAUGUCGAGGAGGAGUGCAAGCGCCAAGGAAUGACUACACCGUCCGCGAGGGAAGCAUGGAAGAGAAGGAGGAAGAGAACCUGGCUACUCCAGAACGAGCGGUACUACUGCCCACUCCAAGCGGUACUACCGCCGAGGCCACCCAAGCGGCACUACCGCCCAGCAUCCGCCCUUCUACUGCUCAACCCGACAAACUCCAGUGAUCGAGCGGUGUAAGUCCGGUACUACUGCCCCUCCAAGCGGUACUACCGCUCAAGCGGUACUACCACCCAUGAGUCCGGUACUACCGCCCUGCCUCUGCCCAGCCGUGGGCCUUUGGCCUUGUAUCCCUCUCCCACUUACCCCUUCGUGGCUUAGACUAUAAAUAGGCCACCUCCACCUCCUUUCUAGGGUUAGCACAGAUUUAGCUCAUUUUGAGAUAGAGCUUUGCUCAUCCAUACGGAUCUACUCCUCGUGAGAGACCGCGACCUCUUCGGAGAAGAUCCAUCUUGGAUUCAAGACCCCCUCGUGGGAAGAUCCGUCUAGGAUACCAACAAGACCUCCUCUUGGAGAUGAACCUUACCUUGUAUCUUUCCCUUUGUUGUUCAUGUACCCUUGUGGAUCUUGUGUGUUUGAUUGUCUAGUGGAUGUGUGAUUGGACUUGUACUUGAGUGUUUCCCCUUGUGAUUUCUCUCCGUUCUUCCACGUGUUCUUCAUAGGGAUCCGCUCCAAACGUGAAAGAUCGGCCUCUAGGGUUCUAGCCUACAUCAUCUUGGAUCAGAGCAAGGUUGAUCACGGAUUUGGAGCCCCUACCCCUCUUUUUCUAGCCUUCUUUUGCUUGCUUUCGUCCUAAAAUCCCCACAAAAAAUAGCCCCAAUUUUUUUGUGAUUUGUUCGUUUGAUGAUUUUUUGUUGAUUUUGAUCCAUGGAUUUGCUUGGUUUUGAGUGGAUCUAGCAUCUCUCCAAGUUUCCCCACCUUCCAUCCACGAAAUCCAUCCAAUUUUGCCCCUGAAAUCAUCCUUUUCCGCCCCAAAUUCGCCCCGAUUUCGAUCUGUGAAUUUUCCCGACACGAGCGGUACUACCGCCCUCGAAGCGGUACUACCGCCCUCGAAGCGGUACUACCGCUGAGCACCACAAGCGGUACUACCACCCUCCCAAGCUAUGACGCCCGGAUAAUUAAGCUACAGUAAUCCCCUUCUAAUGGUGCCAUGUCAUCACAUUACUGUUGCUAAUCCUCGCUUGAUCCAAAUCUUAGUUCAAACUCAAAUUCAAAUUAAAGACCAAAAUUCAAAUUUCUCAAGCAUGCAAAAUAAAAUGUUCAAAGUGUGGCAAAUAAUCGCUGGAUAUUUGUCAUGUUGCAAACAACCUCUUUUGAAUUCUCAAAAUGCCCCUGGGAAUUAAUUUUUGGUCCAGUAGUAAAUUAAAUGGCAUUUGCAAAAUAAAGAAUUGUUUAUUUAACUCCAAUUGCCUCCAAACUUUAUGUGCCACUCCAAAAUAUUUGUGGCUCUGUCUAAGAUCGCCAAGGAAUUAAAAGGGCACUUCCCAUAUUUUCCCUAAGUAAAUAGUGUGCCCAAAAUAUUCUCUUAACCAUCUCUAUUUUUUUAAAUAAAAAAAGGCGAAGAAGAACUCCCCCGGGCCUCGGGCCACUCCCACUUACCAGCCCACCUAAGCCGGCCCACUCCCCCGCUCCCCUAGCCUAUAGGCCACGGCCGACCGAACCCUAACCCCGCAUGAUCCCCCCACUCCCCACUCCUCUCCCCUCUCGAUCCGAUCUGGAUCGGACCGAAACCGGCGCAAUUGGUCGAUCCAUGUAUAAAGUAAAAAUAACUAGGCCCAAUUGGUCGAUCCAUGACAGUUUUCGUGACGGUACUUCCACGUCUGUCAUGAGGGGGCUACCCUACUUGGCCCCAAAUGGAUCUUGCUAAUUGGUGACGGUUUCCGUGAUAGAUUUCUGGAACGUCACCAGAAAUCCGUCAUUGAUUAACAGAUUUCCGCACAAUCCCCCCACUCCCCACUCCUCUUCCCUCCUGAUCCGAUCUGGAUCGGACCGAAAUCGGCGCCGCGACGCCAACCGCCGUCGCUGGAGGCGUCCCCGACUCCACGCCGGGCCGCCCCGUCACUGGACCUCCUCCCCGUCGCCACUCGUCACUCGCUGGACCGCCUCGUCCCCACCAAUGCCGCCCCCACCCCAACGUCCCCGACGCCUUCGCCGUCGGCACCGCCCCAAUGUCGCCGCCACCCGACGCCGGCGCCCUCGACAUCGCCACCCCGAGCCCACUGCCACCCCUACGCUCCGCUAUGAGCCCCUCGCUGAUUCCCCCUCCUUCCCGUCGUCGUAGGUGGCUGCGCGCGUCGUUGGCCAUCGUGGCCGCGCUCCGGCCGUUCCCCAUCCGUGCGCUGGCCUCGCCUUCCUCGGAUUGCAAACAUUGAACUUUUCCCCUCGGGUUCAUCUAUCUGACAGACGUUCGGGACCAGAAAAACUUUCCCGGAUGUUUCCCCCUUCGCCAGUAUCACCUAGCACCGCGUUAGAACACUUCUAGCCCCGCUUAUUGUCUUGUUAUGCAUAUGUUUGCGUGUAUUUACUGUUUCUUCCCCCUCUUCUUCUCCGGUAGACCUCGAGACCGUUGCUGAUGCCCCUGUGGUCGACUACGUCGACGGCGACCCUCCUUGUCUGAGCAACGAGGCAAGCCCCCCCUUUGAUCAUCCCGAUAUCGCCCAUUCCAUUCUCUAAUGCUUGCACUAGAUUUUCUACUGUAUUUGAUUGCUCCUAUUCUGAUGCAUAGCAUGCUUUUCUACCUGCUGUUGUACCUUACCUGCUUAUCCUAAACUGCUUAGUAUAGGUUGGCUAGUGAUCCAUCAGUGACCCCCACCUUGUCUUUGUUGCCCCUGCUUCAUCAUUGACGACUCGAUCAACGUGAUCGACGACCGGAGCCUGACACCUCACAUCACAUCACGCCCCUUUUUGUUGCUCGACUCUGCAGAGUUACCAUCGAGUGCCGAGGGUGGAACCUCAUACAUCACUCCUUAUGAGAUCUCUGUAGUGUAGCUAUUCGGUCGUGGUCAUCGAGGGUGGUUCCUCCUUCACCAUUCCUAAUACGGCUCUGUCGUGCAACACCUCAAGUGUGAACCUCGAGGGUGGUUCCUCUUACGUUCACCUUGAUGAUUACAUCGAGUGGAAUCCACCGGGGGUGAUUCCUCGGAUUUUCCCCUUUAUGUCUGGACACACAGUUACCUUGACUUCACUUGAGACCGUUUUGAAAGCCGGGCAGGCCCGGAGAGCACCCGUGCGGUGUGACGGUGGCGGCUGGCUGUUUAGCGGUAUCACCCGGGAGGGGGUGAUAGCUCCGGACUUGUCCCGACAGCCGUCACUUCUUUUAAUAAUGCACUAACAGGUUUGGGUAUUUUUUCUAAGUUCACUAACCACGACGCUAGAAUAGUUAUGGGUCUCGAUGUUGCAGUAUCAGCCGAAGCUUUCUCAGACGUCCAGUUCAGCAUUGUGGCCGGGCCGAAUCAUGCCAUCCACUUCACGGGUGGUGCUGGUAUCCCCUUGCGCACAACGACCCAGAGUGCAACGGGCGAUGGGCCCAGACCCCGGAGUGCUUAGGAUGUAGACCGGCAGGGACCUCUCUGCUGAGCCUAGGUAGGGCAGCUACGUGUUGAUCUUCCGAGGCCGGGCAUUGACCCCAGAAAGGUGUGUCCUUCCAGAGUGAUCGAGCGUGUUGGGUAACGUGGUGCCCCCCUGCAGGGAAGAUUAUCUAUUAAUAGCCGUGUCCACGGUAACGGACGUUCAAACUUAUAUCUUGAUCUUAUACAACUACAAAUGGAUACUUGAGAUAUGUGGCUCCGGGAUUGCUUUCUCGCAGGGAGUCGAGGAAGGAUCUCUGGGCGUUGUUGUCACAACAUGCUUGUUAAUUAAACUGCUAUUCUUUACUCUUCUACAUGCUGCAAGAUGCUUGGAGCUACUUGAAGAUGCUAGUCUUCAUGAGGCUAGGCCUUCCCCUCUAUUCUGGCAUUCUGCAGUUCAGUCCACAGAUACAACCCUUCCAUUUGAUACCAAUGCAUACUUAGUAUAGAUCUGAUGCUUGCGAGUACUUUGGAUGAGUACUCACGGUUGCUUUGCUACCCCAUUUCCCCCUUCUUUCUUCUUUCCGGUUGACGCAACCAAAUGGUGGAUCCCUGGAGCCAGAUGCCAGCGCUGAUAGAUGCUACUAUGUGAAGAUCGCCGACGACCAGGAGUAGUUAGGAGGUCCCAAGCAGGAGGCCUUGCCUCUUCGAUCAUUGUUGCUUUUGUGCUAGCCUUCUUAAGGCAUCUUUGUUUAACUUAUGUCUGUACUCAGAUAUUGUUGCUUCCGCUGACUCUUGUGUAUCGAGCUAUGUAUUCAAGCCCUCGAGGCCCCUGGCUUGUAAUAUAAAGCUUGUAUUAUUUUGAUUUGUGUCUAUAGUUGUGUUGUGAUAUCUUCCCGUGAGUCCCUGAUCUUGAUCAUACACAUUUGCGUGCAUGAUUAGUGUACGAUUGAAUCGGGGACGUCACAAGUUGGUAUCAGAGCCGACUGUUUGUAGGAUCCCCCUUUCCAACUCCUUGGCUGAAGUUGAGUCUAGUCUUUGAAAAAAAUUGUUUUACUAACAUGGUUGUGUGGCUUACGGGCCCAUGUCGCCAUUGGGUGGUAUUAGGAUCUUUUACUCCUCGACCUUUACUCUGGGACUCUAAUCGCUCUUCUAUUCGGGUUAAAUGGUCUCGCAAACUAUAACUCUAGGUUCUCGUAAAUACUUUCUCCCGGAGAGCCCCUUCAUUCCAGAUGAUGGCCUGCUUCACCAGAUGAUUUCGAAGAUACCCUUCUGUAAUUUCCUGAGACUUUUGUACUCAUUGCUUUUGCAGUUCCCUACCUCUGAUAUAUCCUUACGGAUAACUUCAUACACUUGUCAUUCAUACAAUCAUUCCUAGUUGCUCUUGUUUUUACAAGAUACAUUGAAUUAUUCUCCGACUUUUAAGAAUCCCUUGCUUACUGCCCUGCAGUUCCUUGCCGCAUGAAUACCCCUACGGAUAAUUACUCGCACUUGCCGAGUAUCCGUUCGUCCAUAGUUGUUCAUGUGUUUCACAACAUUCUUUGGAAAGCUAUUUGAUCUUUUCAAAAAUCCUCAGUAGCCUAUUACUCUUGUUCCUCCUUACCUACUUACAGUAUGGUUACUUCCAUUUGUCUAGCAAUAUUCUUUAAAAUCCUUUGCGAUUGACAUCCUUACCCUAUUGUUUCAACAUGUGUGUGAAUGCACGCAAUCAUCAAUUGUUCCCUGGAAUUGUCCUUCUGGCUCAGACGUUACCCCGGACACGAGCUGGUGUUCGACAAAACAAACCUUGAUUGAUUUUGAAUCUAUGUCUAUACAACUUAAUUGUCUUUGAUCAGAGCCUCUGCUUUUGAUCCCCCAUUUUGAAAAUCAUAAUCCCCUUUGCAUUCGAGCAUAGAAUUAGUCAGUUGUUUCUAUAACCUGACCUCCUUGAAUUCUUUCUUCUUCUGGUUGAGUAUCGAUACUCACAUCAGAUCCAUUGUGGACCUCCAGGUCCUUUGUUGGUUUUUAUCCGACAGCAUCCUUCAUAUUCAGUAACCUUGUGAGCCUUUCCUCGAAUACACAAUGCCUUUGGUAAAUUGUAUCCCCCACUCUCGUCAACCAUACUCUGCUUCCGGGCUUGAGUUAUUUACUCGUGAAGUUUGUGGUAUAUGUUCCUAAUAUGUCCCUAUGGGUUGAAUCUAUGUCUUCCCUAAAUCUGUGUGAACCCUACGACUCAUACUCUACUGGUGUUAUGCCAGAUAAAAUCUCAACAGUACGGCUUCGUUGAAAAUGAGAAGUGAAUGAAAGGUUAUGCAUCGAAGAAGUGGGAGUCGACCUUGAGCCUUGUGUUCAUGCCCAUGGACACGAUGUGGAACUUAACAUGGAAGCUUCUUUUUAUAAUAAUAGCCCCCUAGCGAUAAGUACAUCUUGUAUCCAUGUGUGGUCCAUUGCAAUCGUGGUUCCGACCAUAUUGUUCUUGUUUGAUCCAUUUAUCGGACAAGUUAAAGUACUUGUCUUCUUCAAAUUGUUUCACAUGUUCAACCUCUACAUUGAUAUACCUUCGAGCAUUAUCCUCUGGUAUCUCGAGAAUAUCACGGAACUACAUAACUUCUUAUGAGUUCUUGAUCAACUAUUAUUUCUCACUGAUUCAAAUUUUUCACUAGUUGGGAGUUGUUAGACACUCGAGAAUACAGUUAACUGAUUCAAGUCUACGCUUUCCUUUCCAUUGUUCUGUUUAAUCUUUCUGGUAACCUAUCUUAUCUGAGAACUGAUAAUUCCCUGCUUAUGUAAACACCUCGGUGUACAAGCUCUGUCUGUAAGACCUUGUUACUAUUGUUGAGGACAUUCCGAUAGCUACCGAUGGACGAGAACUUUGCCUAUUGGUCCGCCUCAUCUUAACGAGCAGGAAAAUGGUUCUCUUUGUCCCUCUCCCUUGGUACCAACGUUGUUGCCAACAUAACUGACAAGUUGUCCUCUGACCUGCCUUGCUAUCAUGACCAUGCAAAAUGCUAGCGCCCUUCCUGCUUUUAACCCACAAGGUGGGCCUGAGGGAGUCCUGGACUAGGCGGUGUCCGGACAGCCGGACUAUCAUCGUCCGCCGGACUCCAAGACUACGAAGAUACAAGAUUGAAGACUCCGUCCCGUGUCUGGAUGGGACUUUCCUUGGCGUGGAAGGCAAGCUUGGAAAUACGGAUAUGUAGAUCUCCUACCAUUGUAACCGACUCUGUGUAACCCUAGCCUCCUCCGGUGUCUAUAUAAACCGGAGGGCUUUAGUCCGUAGGACACAACAUACAUUACAACAAUCAUACCAUAGGCUAGCUUUAGGGUUUAGCCUCCUUGAUCUCGUGGUAGAUCCACUCUUGUACUACCCAUAUCAUCAAUAUUAAUCAAGCAGGAUGUAGGGUUUUACCUCCAUCGAGAGGGCCCGAACCUGGGUAAAACAUCGUGUCCCUCGUCUCCGGUUACCAUCCGCCUAGACGCACAGUUCGGGACCCCCUACCUGAGAUCCGCCGAUUUUGACACCGACAUUGGUGCUUUUAUUGAGAGUUCCUCUGUGUCGUCACCAAUAGGCUCGAUGGCAUCUUCAACCAACAACGCUGUCCAGGGUGAGACUUUUCUCCCCGGACAGAUCUUUGUAUUCGGCGGCUUCGCACUGCGGGCUAAUUCGUUUGGCCAUCGGAGCAGAUCGAAAGCUACGCCCCUGGCCGUCAGGUCAGAUUCGGAAGUCUCAACUUCACGGCCGACGUCCGCGGAGACUUGAUCUUCGACGGGCUCGAGCCACAGCCAAGCGCGCCGCACUGUUACGAUGGGCAUGAUCUAGCUCUGUCGCCGAACAGUGCCUUGGUGGCCGCCCACGAAUCCGCUUCGGCCUUUAGUCCGGGGCCGAUCGCCCAGACCGAGGAACGGUGGAUGGACACCGCCUCGGGGGCUUCAACUUCCACGGCGAUGGAGCCGAACACUAAUCUUGUCCCUCGCAAAACUCGUGAUUCCGAGGUGCCGGACUCCUUGCCGGACUCCGAAGCUCCCACGCCCCUACCAACCGAAUCGGAUUGGGCGCCGGUUAUGGAAUUCACCGCCGCGGACAUCUUCCAAUACUCGCCUUUUGGCGACAUCCUGAAUUCGCUAAAGCAUCUCUCGUUAUCAGGAGAGCCCUGGCCGGACUAUGGCCAGGAUGGUUGGGAUACGGACGACGAAGAAAUUCAGAGCCCACCCACCACCCACUUUGUAGCCACUGUCGACGAUCUAACCGACAUGCUAGACUACGACUCCGAAGACAUCAACGCUAUGGACGACAAUGCCAGAGACGAACAGGAACCAGCGCCUACAGGGCACUGGAAGACCACCUCGUCAUAUGACAUAUACAUGGUGGAUACCCCAAAAGACGGGGACGGCGAAGAAACAGCGGAGGCAUAUUCUUUAAAGAAACAGCCCAAGCGCCGGCAUCAGCGGCGCUGCUCUAAAUCCCGCCACGGCAAGAAUGGAGAUUCCAGCACAGGAGAUAAUAAUACCCCAGAAAGUGCCGAAGAUAACCCCCUCCAGCAAGACUCAGCGCAGGAGGAUGCAGAAGCAAGCCCUCACGAGAAGGCGGCAGACAAAGAGGUUGAGGAUUACAACUAUAUGCCUCCCUCCGAAGACGAGGCAAGCCUCAACGAUGACGAAUUCGUCGUGCCCGAGGAUCCCGUCGAACAAGAGCGUUUUAAACGCAGGCUUAUGACCACGGCAAAUAGCCUAAAGAAAAAGCAGCAGCAGCUUCAAGCUGAUCAGGACCUGCUGGCCGAUCGAUGGACCGAGGUCCUCGCGGCCGAAGAGUAUAAACUCGAAUGCCCCUCCAAAAGCUAUCCAGGACGCAAGCUGCUCCCCCGAUUAGAGGAGGAAGCAUACAUACCUCCAUCACCAGCGCACGAUACGGCUGACCGACCACCCCGUGGUCGUGACAGAGAGGCAUCCAGGCCCCCAACCAAGACCGUACCCCGGCAUCGCUCGAAAAGUAUGAAGCCAAGAGGGAACGCGCCGGACUUGCGAGAUAUAUUGGAGGACAAAGCAAGGCAAUCCAGAUCCAUCUACGGAUCACGGGGGUGCCCCACGACCCAUGACGAAUACCGUCGCGCCGGAUACAAUAACCCCGGCCGGGCCGAACACAGCAGACAACGCUCUCUCGAGUUGCAUCGUGAUAUUGCUCAAUAUAGAGGCGCCGCACACCCGCUAUGCUUCACAGACGAAGUAAUGGAUCAUCAAAUCCCUGAAGGGUUUAAACCCGUAAACAUCGAAUCCUACGAUGGCACAACAGACCCUGCGGUUUGGAUCGAAGAUUACCUUCUCCACAUCCAUAUGGCCCGCGGCGACGAUCUACAUACCAUCAAGUACCUCCCACUCAAGCUUAAAGGACCAGCUCGGCAUUGGCUCAACAGCUUGCUCGCAGAGUCAAUUGGGUGUUGGGAAGACCUAGAAGCCGCAUUCCUUGAUAACUUCCAGGGCACGUAUGUGCGACCACCAGACGCCGAUGACCUAAGUCACAUCAUUCAGCAGCCAGACGAAUCGGCCAGACAAUUCUGGACACGGUUCUUGACAAAGAAAAAUCAAAUCGUCGACUGUCCGGAUGCAGAGGCCCUUGCAGCCUUCAAACAUAACACCCGCGACGAAUGGCUAGCCCGGCACCUGGGGCGGGAAAAGCCGAAAUCCAUGGCAGCCCUCACAUCAUUAAUGACCCGCUUUUGCGUGGGAGAGGAUAGCUGGCUAGCUCGCAGCAACAAUCUCCGUAAAAAUUCUGGCAGUCCAGACACCAAGAACAAUAAUGGCAGGUCACGUCGAAACAAAAACAAACGCCGCAUCAACGGCAAUGAUAAGGAGGAUACGGCAGUCAACGCCGGAUUCCGAGGCUCUAAACCCGGUCAACGGAAGAAGCCAUUCAAAAGAACCACUCCGGGUCCGUCUAAUUUGGACCGAAUACUCGACCGCUUAUGCCAGAUACAUGGCACCCCUGAAAAGCCAGCUAAUCACACUAAUAGAGACUGCUGGGUGUUCAAGCAGGCAGGUAAGUUAAUUGCCGAAAACAAUGACAAGGGGCUAAACAGCGAGGACGAGGAGGAGACCCGACCGCCGAACAAUAGAGGACAAAAGGGUUUUCCCCCACAAGUGCGGACGGUGAACAUGAUCUACGCGACCCAUAUACCCAAUUGGGAGAGGAAGCGUGCACUAAGGGACGUCUAUGCGAUGGAGCCAGUCGCCCCGAAGUACAAUCCAUGGUCCUCUUGUCCGAUCACUUUCGAUCGAAGAGACCAUCCGACCAGCAUACGCCAUGGCGGAUUCGCCGCAUUGGUUCUAGACACAAUCGUCGAUGGAUUUCACCUCACGAGAGUCCUGAUGGACGGCGGUAGUAGCCUGAACCUGCUUUAUCAGGACACAGUGUGCAAAAUGGGCAUAGACCCCUCAAGGAUUAAACCUACAAAGACAACCUUUAACAGUGUCAUACCAGGUGUGGAAGCCAACUGUACAGGCUCAGUCACACUGGAAGUGGUCUUCGGAUCCCCGGACAAUUUCCGGAGCGAGGAGUUAAUCUUCGACAUAGUCCCGUUUCGCAGCGGCUAUCACGCUCUGCUCGGACGAAUCGCGUUCGCAAAAUUCAACGCGGUGCCGCAUUGUGCAUACCUCAAGCUCAAGAUGCCAGGCCCUCAUGGAGUCAUCACGGUCAAUGGGAAUACGGAACGCUCCCUCCGAACGGAGGAACAUACAGCGGCUCUCACGGCAGAAGUACAGAGCAGCCUUUUAAGGCAAUUCUCGAGUCCGGCCAUUAAACGGCCGGAUACAUCAAAGCGCGCCCGAAGCAAUACCAACCAAGACCACCUGGCGUGAUCAGAGCACGCGUAGCAAUGCGGCCCCAACCCCCGCCCGCGCGUGAUUGCAAGAAUAACCCUCCGCGUACAUCAUUACGCUUUGGAGAUACCAUGGGCGCAGGGGAAGGGGCACGAUCACAACGGACCCAGAGUGCAGUUCGACCGCACCAGGGGCUCGCAAGUGUGCCCCCUUUUUUUUAUUGUUAUUUUCCCUCUUUGUGUACACAGGACUCCGUUAGCCAGAGGCCCUAUCCGGCGGUGAACCUGCCGAACUCAUGAUGCAAUAACCAGGGAAGAAAGAACGCUGCGACGAACACUCAGGUGGUCUCAAUUACAAGCAUUAAAUUCGAUUAUAUACACCAAGUCCGCAGCUUACCCUUGGAGGGGGACAUGUUUAAUUAGUCCAAAUCCCUUGCUUACCACACUAUUUGUAUCAGUCCGCACUCAUAGCAGACUUUCUUUCAUAAAUAAUGCAGCACCUUUUUGACUGCAAUUACAUUACCUUUUAUAUAUAUAUGCUCAUUACAUGACAUCUUGCACCCGUAUAUUUUGGUACGGCCUAAUACACCAGGGGCUUAUGUUCCCCACAUUAUGGUGUGAUAAGUCCGAACACUUUCGUAAGUGCAGCACCCCGAACUUAUAGCACUAUAUGAAUCGGCUCCGAAUCAUGUCUUGGGUCAAUAGUUGGGUUUGCCCGGCUCCCACGUUUUGGUGCCUUACGUUCCGUUCUGUCGGCUAAGGUGGCACUGGGAGAACCACUGCGAUUGCGCCCCGGUUGAGCCGGGCGAGCACCUCAGUGGAGAAAGCUAAAACUGACCGGCAUGAUAAGGCGAGAGACUGGUCGCUGUUCGAGAGGUUUUUUCGGGUCCUUAAAGACUCACGCCACUUCGAGCGAAGUUCCGGACCAUGUCUGACGAAGGCGUGGAUAGCGCCCCGGAUUCGGCCUUUCGGAUACCAGGGGCUUCGCCGAAAUUUAAAAUUAUAGAAUUCUAUGGCUAAGUGAGAGUGUUCAAGCAUUAUAAGUCCGGUCGCCUUGUUCGUUGUGUUGAGCACCUCCCUAGAUGGACCCAAAAAUGGGAAUAAGAGUGCUCAAGUUUAUCCCGAACACCCCAGCACUCGUGGCUCGGGGGCUGAAGCCAAUGACUUUCCAUCUCUCAGAUUUUAUAAACGGCCGCACAGAAGGUAAUAUUUUAAAUUAAAACAAGCGUUGCUCAUGGCGCAUCUGAACGAAGUUUUCAGCGCACAGGAUAAUACAUAGCGAGUUCACUCAAAGAUUACAUUUCUAGGGCACUCAUCCGCAAUAUCGCGGGCUCCCUUCAGGACAGUUUUAUAAUACAUUUCAGGCGUGCGAUACUCCUUGCCCGGCGGCGGUGGGUCUGUGAGAAGCUUCUCCGCAUCCAACCUGCCCCAAUGCACCUUUGUGCGGGCAAGGGCCCGACGAGCACCUUCAAUACAGGCGGAGCGCUUGAUGACCUCCACCCAGGGGCAUGCAUCCACCAGCCGCCGCACGAGGCCGAAGUAGCUACCAAGCAUGACCUGUUCAGGCCACAGCCGGACUAUAAGGCCCUUCAUGGCCUCUUCAGCUACCUUGUGGAGUUCGACCAGCUGCUUCAGCUGGUCGCUUGGGGGCACCGGAUGGCCUGCCUCAGCGUACUAAGACCAGAAGACCUUCUCCGUUGAGCUCCCCUCCUCGCCACGAUAGAAUGCGGCGGCAUCGGAGGCACUACACGGCAGAUCUGCAAACACCCCUGGAGAGCUCCGAAUGCGGGUAAUUGUCAGGUAGUUUACAUUAACAUGCUUGCUUUGCAUGAAAAAUGCCUUACCCGCCGCUAUCUUCUUUACAUCUUCAACCUCCUGAAGGGCCUUACGGGCCUCGGCCUUGGCGGACUUGGCACUUUCGAGAGCCGAGGCAAGCUCGGACUCUCGAGUCUUGGAGCCUCCUGCUUUUCUCGCUCCGCCCGUUCCGCGACCGCACUGCGUUCAGCCGCGGACACAGCCUCCUUCAGGGCUGCCACCUCGUUCGUGGCCCCUGCAAUACCCAUAUUAUCCUUGUUAAUUUUAUUGCAACCAAAAUCCUUUUCCGUAAGGUGACUAUUCAAAGCGGUGUUACUCACCUUCUUUGUCCUCGAGCUGCUUCUUGGCAGUGCCGAGCUCUUGCUCGGACCGCUCGAGAUCCUGCUUCAACACAUCGACCUCCGCCGUCAGUGCGGCAGAGGUCAGUAGCGCAGCCUGCAAACCCAUAUUGACAUAUUUUAAGCAACCCUGCGUAUAUCUUGUUAGAUCCUCAGUCCGGCUUUUCUUUCCGAACACCGAACUGAGCAUCAAGGGCUACUGUCUAUGCGGUAUUACAUUACAUAAUUUUAACUUCUUACCUCAAAGCCUGUUAGAAGGCUGCUGCAGGCUUCGGUCAGCCCGCUCUUGGCGAGCUAAACCUUUUGAAUCACCGCACUCAUGUUAGUGCGAUGUUUUUCCUCGAUGGAAGCGCCUUCAAGCGCCUCCAACAAGUUAUCCGGCGCCUCCGGUUGGACGGAGGUCGCCGGUGUCAAGGUCUUGCCCUUCUUUCGAAGGGGCCGCCCGCCGGACUCUAGAACCACUGCGGGUUCCGAUGUAGAGUCCGGCACAAAGUCUGGGAGGCAGCCUGACGACGCCUCCGGAGCCUCCUCCUGAUGGGUCCCUCUCUGGGAUCCCACCUCGGCGUCCCCGUCGGCGCGGGGGGUAGAGGCGGUCGGAAGUGAAUCCACAUCUAACGGGGCCAACGACCCGCUCGAUGAAGCGGGGAGAUCAUCAUCGGCCGGACUACGGACAGAACGCGGCAUUAGAAGGACACUACGCGACACGAAAGAAAUUGCAUAUCAUGGAUCCGGAUACUUACGAUCUUGUCGGACGCCUGGCCCUUGGAGGCCACUCAUCCUCGCCAACGGUGGUGUUGGCGAAACUGUCCGGGGGGAUAGUCCUCCCCCUCUUGGACCCUUCGGCCUCCCCUAUUGGGAAAGCCUUCCACUUCUUCUCUCCCUCCUCCGAGAGAGAGUCCUCUUCCUCCUCCUCGUCUUUGGGGGAGGAGUCCGCCUCGUCGUCGGACGCCUAAUUGCGGGAACUCUUUCGAGUCCCCGCGGCCACCUUCUUGGCCUUCUUCUCCGGCACCACGUGCGGUGCCGGAACCAGCAGCCCUGCUAAACGGGCGUUCUCUGGGUCUUCAGGCAUGGGAGCCGGGCUGAUGAGCUGCUUGGCCUUCUCCAUCCAUUCCUAUCAAAGGAAAAGAGAGAUUGAAACCCUCUUAGAAUCAGUUUAAUUACCACAAGUGUCCCGUAACGUGGUUGAAUCACUUACCUCGUCAGCCGGAUGCUGCGAGCGAAAUCCGUGAUCUUCCGUCGCGGAUGCGGGGGCUUCGGCGCCCUUAAACAGCACCCUCCAGGCGCCUUCGUAUGUCGUAUCGAAGAGCCCGCUCAGCGCCUGGUGCUGUUCCGGAUUGAACUCCCACAGAUUGAAUACCCGUUCUUGGCAUGGGAGAAUCCGGCGGAUGAGCAUGACUUGGACCACGUCGACGAGCCUGAGCUUAUUGCUCACCAGCUUCUGGAUGCAGGCUCGGAGUCCCGUCACCUCCUUCGGAUUUCCCCACAGCAAGCCCUUCUCUUUCCAGGAGGUGAACUGCGUGGGGACGCCAGAUCUAAACUCGGGGGCCGCCGCCCAUGUGGGCUUGCGCAGCUCGGUGAUGUAGAACCAACCCGAUUGCCACCCCUUGACGGAGUCCACGAAGGCCCCUUCGAGCCAAAGGACGUUGGGCAACUUACCCAACAUGGCGCCUCCGCAUUCCGCUUGCGUGCCCUUCACAACCUUCGGCCUCCCCUAUUGGGGAAGCCUUCCUCUUCUUCUCUCCCUCCUCCGGGAGAGAGUCCUCUUCCUCCUCCUCGUCUUCGGGGGAGGAGUCCGCCUCGUCGUCAGACGCCUGAUUGCGGGAACUCUUUCGAGUCCCCGCGGCCACCUUCUUGGACUUCUUCUCCGGCACCACGUGCGGUGCCGGAACCAGCAGCCCUGCUAAACGGGCGUUCUCUGGGUCUUCAGGCAUGGGAGCCGGGCUGAUGAGCUGCUUGGCCUUCUCCAUCCAUUCCUGUCAAAGGAAAAGAGAGAUUGAAACCCUCUUAGAAUCAGUUUAAUUACCACAAGUGUCCCAUAACGGGGUUGAAUCACUUACCUCGUCAACCGGAUGCUGCGAGCGAAAUCCGUGAUCUUCCGUCGCGGAUGCGGGUGCUUCGGCGCCCUUAAACAGCACCCUCCAGGCGCCUUCGUAUGUCGUAUCGAAGAGCCCGCUCAGCGCCUGGUGCUGUUCCGGAUUGAACUCCCACAGAUUGAAUGCCCGUUCUUGGCAUGGGAGAAUCCGGCGGAUGAGCAUGACUUGGACCACGUCGACGAGCCUGAGCUUAUUGCUCACCAGCUUCUGGAUGCAGGCUCGGAGUCCCGUCACCUCCUUCGGAUUGCCCCACAGCAAGCCCUUCUCUUUCCAGGAGGUGAACUGCGUGGGGACGCCAGAUCUAAACUCGGGGGCCGCCGCCCAUGUGGGCUUGCGCAGCUCGGUGAUGUAGAACCAACCCGAUUGCCACCCCUUGACGGAGUCCACGAAGGCCCCUUCGAGCCAAAGGACGUUGGGCAACUUACCCAACAUGGCGCCUCCGCAUUCCGCUUGCGUGCCCUUCACAACCUUCGGCUUGACGUUGAAGGUCUUGAGCCACAGGCCGAAGUGGGGCCGGAUGCAGAGGAAGGCCUUGCACACGACGAUAAACGCCGAGAUGUUGAGGAUGAAGUUCGGCGCCAGAUCGUGGAAAUCCAGGCCGUAGUAAAACAUGAUCCCCCGGACGAAUGGGUGGAGUGGAAAGCCCAGUCCGCGGAGGAAGUGGGGAAGGAAGACGACCCUCUCAUGGGGCCCAGGGGUAGGGAUGAGCUGCCCCUCGUCGGGCAGCCGAUGCGCGAUAUCGCCGGAAAGGUAUCCGGCGCUGCGAAGCUUGGUGAUAUGCUCCUCCUUAACGGUGGAGUCCAACCAUUUGCCUCCCGCUCCGGACAUAUUCGGAGAAGGUCGGGGCGAGAUGCGCGAGCUUGGGCGUUGGAGCUUGAGUGCACGGAGAUGGAUAAGCAAAGGAGGAAGAAGGCGUAGGUGAGAAGGUAAAUCCUUAUCCCUUAUAUAUAGGCGGACGAAAACUAUGCGUCCCCACCGGCCUGAUAAAACUCGCUUAUCUCCCAAGCGCCACCAUCAAUGGCGCGGUUGGGUUACCCACGUCCGUAUUGAUGGGAAUCCCGGAAUAAGGGGAACACAAUCUCUGCUUCGACAAGACGUGCCAAGGAAACCGCUUCGCUAAACGUGCUGAGGUGGUAUAGUAAAAAACGAUUCAAACAAAGGCUUGGUAGCGGUGUGAUGUCACGCCGCAUAAUACGUCAGCAGAUUGGACUGGUGUACAUUUUAUUCUCUCUACGGUGGAAUGUGGAAUUUAUUUUGCAGAGCCGGACACUAUCCUGGUGUUCAUGAUCUUCUCUGGAUUAUUCAAGGGAGGAACCCGCCUUGCAAUGCCGAACAUUAUGCGCGCCGGACUUAUCGUCAUUGAAGCCUGGUUCAGGGGCUACUGAGGGAGUCCUGGACUAGGGGGUGUCCGGACAGCCGGACUAUCAUCGUCCGCCGGACUCCAAGACUACGAAGAUACAAGAUUGAAGACUCCGUCCCGUGUCCAGAUGAGAUUUUCCUUGGCGUGGAAGGCAAGCUUGGCAAUACGGAUAUGUAGAUCUCCUACCAUUGUAACCGACUCUGUGUAACCCUAGCCUCCUCCGGUGUCUAUAUAAACCGGAGGGCUUUAGUCCGUAGGACACAACAUACAUUACAACAAUCAUACCAUAGGCUAGCUUUAGGGUUUAGCCUCCUUGAUCUCGUGGUAGAUCCACUCUUGUACUACCCAUAUCAUCAAUAUUAAUCAAGCAGGACGUAGGGUUUUACCUCCAUCGAGAGGGCCCGAACCUAGGUAAAACAUCGUGUCCCUCGUCUCCUGUUACCAUCCGCCUAGAUGCACAGUUCGGGACCCCCUACCCGAGAUCCGCCGGUUUUGACACCGACAGGGCCCAUAACCCACAGUUCCACAGGAUCGAAACCUGACUCAUGUACAUCCCUGUUUUUCAAAGUUGUUCCUCGCGCUUGGAUUCGUAUGUAAUUCACGAGCCACCUUCCUUGUGAUCUGUUCUGGUAUCAGAUGCAAUACUUAUUCCCAUUGCUCUAAACCCCUUUCACCUUCUUACCUUGCUCUCGAUGACUAUCCUGAAUUCCAACUCAAGAGAUGCCUCUAUGCCAUGUUGAGGUACCUAUCUUGUGUUGAGCUCCAUCCCUCCCGAGUCUUUCCCCCUUACUCACCCCUUAAAUCUCGAGACGAUAUUUCUUGUAGUGGAGGAGAAUUGUGACGCCCAAAUAAUUAAGCUACAGUAAUCCCCUUUUAAUGGUUCCAUGUCAUCACAUUACUAUUGCUAAUCCUCGCUUGAUCCAAAUCUUAGUUCAAACUAAUAUUCAAAUUAAAGACCAAAAUUCAAAUUUCUCAAGCAUGCAUAAUAAAAUGUUCAAAGUGUGGCAAAUAAUCCCUGGAUAUUUGUCAUGUUGGAAACAACCUCCUUAGAAUUUUCAAAAUGCCCCUGGGAGUUAAUUUUUGGUCAAGUAGUAAAUUAAAUGGCAUUUGCAAAACAAAUAAUUAUUUAUUUAACUCCAAUUGCCUCCUGUCGUGGGAAACGAACACCUAUGGGGCAGGGCCCCUUUUCGGUCUGGCAAGGGAGCGGAGGGCACACGAAGAGCAGAUCGAGGCGAAGCACGCGGGGGAAUUUUACCCAGCUUCGGAGCUCUCCGGAGAGAUAAAACUCCUACUGCUGCUUUGUGUUUCUAUUCUGUUCUUGCUCAAGAGUGUGGGUGUGUUGUAGUUUCGAAUGAGUCGAACCCCUUCUACGUGCGCAUGGGCCUCCUUUUUAUAGUCUAAAGGGGUCACCGACAGGUGGCAGCAUAGAGAGAGGGGUAAAAAAGUAAAAACGCGGGUUGGUACAACCGCUAUCAACAGUGCCCCCUACCUAACUCUGACAGCAGGGGACAAGGGCAUUUAAUGCCCAUCCGGUCGCCCAAACAGUGCAGGAAGUGACCGUUAGGGGCGCCACCAAUCGCCACGAUGGCCUCCUAGUCAUCUUCACUUGCCACCUCGCACCGCUUGGCUGCACAGCUACCCGCCACGUGCACCGGGAGCGAUCCUGCGGCGACACGUCAUCGGAUGCGCUGGAGCAUGGGCGCAGAGUUGUGGCUUUGCCGCGGCAAGCGCCUUGCCGCGGUCACUAUCUUGUUGCACCCGCAAGCUUGCCGCUCGCCGGGUCUUGGUUGGCCUUCCCGGCAAGAUCCUCCUGCCGGGGUCUUGUCCUUCCCGGCAAGCUUCUCUUGCCGGGGCUUCGUCUUCACAGUUAACACUUUGUUCUUGAAUGGCAGUAAAUAGGAAUGACGAAGGAUCUUGGCGGACGCCCGGCAAGCCUUGCCGCAGGACGCUGCGCCUGCCCGUGCACAAGUUCGGGGUACUAAGGUACCCCUACUUUAGUACACCGACUGGAGCCCCCGGGCCUGGGCCAUACACGGUGCUGAGCGCUGUUGGGCCAGGCCCAAAACAGGACACGGGCACGCGCGGCCUGGGUCCUAACUAAAUCCACUCCGUAUCCACCGCGUCCUCCCGUAACGGCACGCGUCAAUCGCGGCGUCGUGGGAGAGAUCGUGGGUGGAAGACGUUCGCGCGUAUCCACAGCCUGAUGGAGGGGUUUACCCUCCAUUUUAAGUUAAUGGAGGGCGAUCUCCUCUCCGUCAAGGUCUUCGGGUGCUUCGACACUCGGGCGAAGUGCUGCGUGGACAGCUCCUCCGAUAGCAAAGGCUCCCCCUCGAGCGAGAGCGACAAGGAGGAGAGCAACAGCGAUGAUGAGGGUAGCGGGCGGCGGGAUGGCGGGCCCGACUAGGUGUCGGGCGCCGCUUCGUGCGUCACCGGUGACCCCAUCAUCCGUGUCGCCGGCUCCUUGAACUCCCCGGGGUCGUCUCCUUGGGCGGCUGGCGUAGGGAGGCUGCGGAAGGGGAAGAGGGCUGGCGACAAGGCCGUCAAAUCGGAGUACGAGGGCGUAGUGCCCUCGACAGCGUGCUGACGUCCUGCCGCCCCAUCUUCGAGCCCCGCUUCCAGCGCCGCCAUCACCGUCCGGCCUUCGGACGGCCCCCGGGAUGUUCUCUUGGUGUCUUCGCCUAGGCGCCUCUUUUGCCCUUUUCGCCUCCUUGACCUACAUCCUGAAGAGAGGGACAGGAAAGGGAUUACGGGCAUCUUAUCUUUUUAAUUUGUAAGCCUUCGGGCCCUAGUCGCAUCUAAAACUUGUAACCCUCUCUUUCAUGUUUUUCAUCCUCUAUGGACUGUACCUGAGUGUGAUGUUUUUUUAAUGAAAAAGGGAUGCUUGCCGGGUUAUUUGUCUCAUGGGUUGAACCCACGCCAAGGAGCAAAUCCUUGGUAUCCCUCGGACAGGCAUUUCAUCUCCCGCCAACAGGCCCUGCCGCCUUCCCACGUCGCUCGACCUUUCUCACGCCUUUGACGGAGGCGGGAACGAGGUGGGUGCGGCCUCCUCAUUUCAUCCCUUUGCUGCUGUGACUACGACCAAACUUGGCCCCGGGAACGAGCCCCAGGGCCUAGAGUUGAGGGAGCACGGCAGUUUUCGGGAAGAAACGCGGUUUCGCAUUCCCCAGUCCAUAAGAGGAUGCAUGAUGAGGGACGAAAGACUUAUCUGAUAUCGCAGCCCCCGGCAACUCUGGCUUGCCGUGGAUGAAUCUUGGUACUCGCAGCCCCCAGCAACACUGGCUUGCCGGGGCCCAGGUGCCGGCGCGCCCUUCUUCUCCUUUCCUUGUCGCUGUUAUUUCAGUUAUGAGAACAAUUUAGUCAGUGCCGCAAUAAGUUACUCUUGUAAUAUAACUUUAUUCUGGGCAAUGCUUGUUAUGUUACAUCCUUUAUUUGAUUCCAUUCCUUGUAUGUUUGUACCCUUACGCUUUUACGGAACUUGCCGGUGCAAACACGCUUGCCACGAGCGCUGAGUGCAAAACAUCAGCAGCCUUCUAGCGGUGUUGCCUCCGGCAAGAAACCUUGUCGGGGCUAGUCGCAGCACACUUUCAUUGUUGAGCGGACUCAAAACAAAGUAAGGGUGCAACUUAACCACGAGCCGGUUCCUCUGCGCACAGGUUUUCCAUACAAGGCAUGGUCGUUCAAGGAAUAUAACUUAAAAAUUUAAAACUGACUGUGCUUAAACUUCGGCAACUUAGCUUUUUUGUUGUUUGUGUCCNNNNNNNNNNNNNNNNNNNNNNNNNNNNNNNNNNNNNNNNNNNNNNNNNNNNNNNNNNNNNNNNNNNNNNNNNNNNNNNNNNNNNNNNNNNNNNNNNNNNNNNNNNNNNNNNNNNNNNNNNNNNNNNNNNNNNNNNNNNNNNNNNNNNNNNNNNNNNNNNNNNNNNNNNNNNNNNNNNNNNNNNNNNNNNNNNNNNNNNNNNNNNNNNNNNNNNNNNNNNNNNNNNNNNNNNNNNNNNNNNNNNNNNNNNNNNNNNNNNNNNNNNNNNNNNNNNNNNNNNNNNNNNNNNNNNNNNNNNNUGUGGGCGCAGGAAUCUUCUCUUUGAGAAAAAGGAAGAAGAGAAAAUAAAGUUAUGGAGCCUUAAGGCUUGUUAUUGCUUACCGGGGGCAAGUUCUGCACAAAGUGUCAGUGUAUACAUGCUAAAAAGAAAAAGGCAUGAAUUUUGACAAUAUGUACUAAACAUAUGAUCUUUAUUUAUGCACGGGAUCUGCGCCCGGCUUUGUACAAAGGGUUACAUGCAACAACGGCAAGGCUUGUACAAAAGGUGGUUGCCAGGACAGCAGGUUCCGGCAACCGCGCCUUAUGGGUAAAACUUACGAAGAUGAUCUAUGUUCUAGGAGUUGCUCACCGGAAUGCCAUCUUCGGUCUCAAGGCGGACAGCGCCAGGCCUAGUGACUCGCUUUACCCGAUAAGGGCCUUCCCACUUCGGCGUCAACUUGUUGGAAUUCUUGGCAGAUUGAACGCGCCGAAGAACAAGGUCACCUUCCUCGAAGCUUCUGGCAUUAACUUCGCGGCUAUGGUAGCGGCGCAAAGCUUGCUGGUAGCGAGCAGCUCGUACAGCAGCCUGAAGACGAUCCUCCUCGAGGAGCAGCGCGUCAUCUUGCCGCAGCUGCUCUUGCUCAAGCUCAUCAUAAGCGAGCACUCGAGGCGAUCCGUAUACGAGUUCUGUGGGGAGAACUGCCUCUGCUCCAUAGACAAGAGCAAAAGGUGUCUGGCCAGUGGCUCGAUUUGGCGUCGUCCUGAUCGACCAAAGAACCACCUGUAGCUCCUCGAUCCAAUUUCUUCCGCACUUGUGCAGCCUGUCGAAAGUUCUGGUCUUGAGCCCACGCAGCACUUCAGCGUUUGCCCUCUCCGCUUGACCGUUGCUUCUCGGGUGAGCAACAGAAGCGAAGCAGAUCUUGGCGCCAAGAUCUUGGACGUACUGCAUGAAGGUGCAGCUCGUGAAUUGUGUGUUGUUGUCGGUGAUGAUCCUAUUAGGGACUCCGGAACGGCAAACAAUUGACCUGAAGAACUUGACUGUUGACUGUGCUGUCACCUUCCUCACUGGCUCCACCUCCGGCCACUUCGUGAACUUGUCGAUGGCCACGUACAAGUACUCGAAGCCCCCGACAGCUCGGGGAAAAGGGCCAAGGAUAUCAAGCCCCCAGACUGAAAAUGGCCAGGAUAAAGGGAUUGUUUGGAGAGCUUGAGCUGGUUGAUGAAUCUGUUUGGAGUGGAACUGGCACGCUUCACACUUGGUUACUUGUGCAGUCGCAUCCUGGAGGGCUGUUGGCCAAAAGCAACCUUGCCGGAAGGCUUUACUGGCAAGUGCUCUUGCGCCAAUGUGGUGGCCACAUAUGCCUCCAUGUAUCUCCGCCAACAGCUCUUGUCCUUCUUCCCGGGAAAUGCACUUCAAUUUCACUCCGUUGAAUCUUCUUCUGUACAGUAUGUCAUCGACAAACUGAUACAUACUUGAUUGUCGGGCUACUUUCUCUGCUUCUUCUUGCUCUUCGGGAAGUUCUCCUGUUUGAAGGAAAUGGACGAUCUGCUGUGCCCAUGCCGGAGCUUGUGGCUCGACGACAAGGACUAAAGGCGCAAAUGCUGCUGCGGGAACAUCCGCUUCUACGGCAAGAAUAUGAGAUCCUGCCGGAGCGUGAUGCUCCCCGGCAAGCGUGCCGGGGCACAGCUUGUCGGGAGCGUCUGCUUCAACGAAACAAACCCUAGGGCUUGUCGGAGCAGACUGCUCCUCAGCACUUUCUAUGUUGAUCCUGGGGACCUUCUUGGCGGCGGCUUCGGGGAGCUCUGCCGGAAAGUAGUCGCCAGUAACCAACUUUCUCUUCUUGCUCUGUCCAGUUGAUGGUGUUACAGAUGGCUGAGUCAGCUUGAGCACAAAAAUACCUGGUUCCACAGGUAACUUGAGUGCGGUGCACUUUGACAGGCCGUCUGCAAUGUCAUUCUGAGCUCUUGGAACAUGUUCCAUCUGCAGGCCGUCAAAAUGCUCUUCCAGCUUCCUCACUUCAUCAAUGUAGGCCUCCAUCAGCGGACUCUGAUAAUCUGUGUUAACUUGGCGGACGACAAGCUGUGAGUCACCCCUGACAAUAAGCUUCUUGAUCCCAAGUUCUGUCGUGAUCCUGAGUCCGGCAAGCAGGCCCUCAUAUUCUGCAGUAUUGUUUGUUGCUUGCUCCUUGGGAAAGUGCAUUUGGAUCAUGUACUUGAGGUGCUCUCCGGUGGGUGCGACAAGUAACACACCCGCACCGGCGCCUUGCAGCGAGAAAGCACCAUCAAAGUACAUGAUCCAUUCCCUGUUUGCUUCCUUGACGGGGAUCCUCGUCUCCGGAGUUUCUUCAUCUGGUGUUGGCGUCCACUCCACUAUGAAUUCUGCCAAUGCUCGGCUCUGGAUAGUUGAAGUACUUUCAAACUUGAGGCCAAAGCUUGACAGUUCCAGUGCCCACUCGACAAUCCUGCCUGUUGCUUCUGGAUUUUGCAAUAUCCUCUUCAACGGAAAGCGAGUGACAACUGUGAUCUGAUGUGCUUGAAAAUAAUGGCGCAGCUUCCUCGAGGCCAUGAGAAGGCCGAAAAGCAACUUUUGCACUCCAGAGUAUCUUGAUCUAGCCACCUGCAGAAGGGAGCUGACAAAAUAAACUGGGUGCUGCACCAUCUUCUUUUGUUUCUCUGCCUGCGGCUGCACAGACUCAUCCUUGUCGGGACCAGAGCUUGACGGAGAAGCCCCCUGCUUGUCGCUGGACUCGCUUGCCGCGGCCGCUGGCUCAUCAUCUGCCUCCCUCUCUGCUACUAACGCAGCACUAACCACUUGAUUGGUUGCUGCUAGAUACAGCAGCAACUUCUCUUGCGGCUUAGGUGCGACAAGUACUGGAGUGGAGGAUAGGUAUCUCUUCAAGUCCUGUAGCGCAGCCUCCGCUUCUGGAGUCCAUUUCAUUGGACCUGCCUUUUUCAAAAUUUUGAAAAACGGCAGGGCGCGCUCAGCAGACUUAGAGAUGAACCUACUGAGAGCAGCAACGCAGCCGGCAAGCCUUCGCACAUCCUUGAGGCGCUUCGGGGCUUCAAUCUGCUCGAUGGCCUUGAUCUUGUCGGGGUUGGCUUCGAUCCCCCUCUGGGACACGAAGAACCCGAGAAGCUUGCCGGAAGGAACUCCAAACACGCACUUCUCAGGGUUCAACUUGAGAUUGAUCUUGCGCAGAUUUGCAAAAGUCUCAUCCAAAUCUUGGAUCAAAGUUUCUCUAUCUUUGCUCUUGACCACUAUAUCAUCCAUGUAUGCUUCUACAUUCCUGUGCAGCUGUGGCUCAAAAGCAUGACUGACUAGUCUUGCAAACGUUGAACCAGCAUUCUUUAGUCUGAAAGGCAUUCAUACAAAGCAGUACGUGCCACAUGGAGUAAUGAAUGCGGUGUUCUCUUCAUCCUCUUUUGCCAUGAAAAUCUGAUGGUAUCCUGAGUAUGCAUCAAGAAAUGAAAGCAGAUCACAUCCUGCCGUGGAGUCGACAAUCCGGUCAAUGCGCGGCAAGGGAAAUGGAUCUUUGGGACAAGCUUUAUUAACAUCCGUGAAGUCAAUACAAAGCCUCCACUUCCCAUUCACCUUGCGCACAAUUACUGGAUUGGCUAACCACGUUGGAUGGAGUACUCCUCGGACGAGGCCUGUUGCUUCCAACUUCUUGAUCUCUUCUGCUAUGAACUCUUGGCGUUCCGCCGCUUGCUUCUUGACUCUCUACUUGACGGGCCGCGCGUGAGGACAGACGGCAAGGUGGUGCUCAAUUACUUUCCUGGGAACACCGGGGAUGUCAGAUGGUUGCCAUGCAAACACAUUGACAUUCGCCCGCAGGAAAGCAACGAGCGCGCUUUCCUAUUUAGGGUCAAGCGUGGCACUGAUGGUGAAGGUACCACUAGUGCCGUCCUCCUUGGCGGCCACUUUCUUGGUAUCAGGUGUCGCUAUCUUUGCCCUCUUGCACUUGCCGGUGGAGCUCGAUGGUGCGUCCUCGACGGUAGCACAGCACUCCGAAGAGGUGCGCUUGCCGGAGUGGGCAUCAGAGCUACUCUUGCCGGACUUGGUCUUCUUCUUCUUCCCCCCGGGAGCUUCAGCGGCAAGUGGUUUGUGCUCUGCUGCGGCUGCUGCUUCCUGGUAGAUCUUGUCGGUGCAGAUAAGCGCAUCCUUCUUGUCGCCUUGGACAGAAAUGACGCUUAUCGGACCGGGCAUCUUGACCACGUUGUAAGCAUAAUGAGAGGCUGCCAUGAACUUGGAAAGCGCUGGACGGCCGAGUAUCCCAUUGUAGGGCAACGGGAAAUCAGCAACAUCAAAUGUGACUCUCUCUGUCCUGAAGUUCAGUUUGCUGCCAAAUGUCACUGGUAGUGUAAUCUUCCCCUUGGGCUUGCUCCUUCCCGGGUUGAUUCCUUGAAAGGUACCAGUUUCUUCGAGCUCGCUGUCGGGGAUCUGGAGCUUGUUGAGCACCGCGGAAGAGAUCAGAUUUAGGCCGGCCCCACCGUCAACCAACAUCUUCGUGACCUUGAGGUUGCGGAUGGUUGGCGAAACCAACAUCGGCAAGCACCCGACCGCAGUGAUGCGAUCAGGGUGAUCCUCAACAUCAAAGACGAUGGGCGUACUGGACCACUUCAGGGGCUUGCGCGAUUCGACUGAUGGUUCAGCUGCAUUUACCUCCCGCACCCACUGCUUGAGUUGGCGGUGCGAGGUGUGCAGAGAAGCACCGCCGUCAACGCACAAAACCUCUGUUGCCUUCUGAAACUCUUGCUCGUCGGUCUCAUCCUCGUCCAUCUCAUCAUCCUCAUCUUCAUCUUCGUCCUUGUCACGGCCACGGGGAGGUCUGUCUCCUUGCCGCUGCUUGGCCUUGCCGCGGCGCCCUCCCCGGGCGGGACGCUUCUUGCCGGAUCCUCCGCCACCUUCCUGGGCCUUCUCCUUGUCGCGACGCUCGUAUUCAGCUUUCUGUAGUUCUGCCAUUUGCUCAACCUUCUUGCAUGCUUGGAGGUCAUGGCCCUUGGUGCGAUGGAUCUUGCAGUACUGCUUGCCGGAACAAUCCUGCUUGUCGGCGGCCACCACAGCCUCGCCGGAGUCACCAGCUUUGGCCUUGUCGGCGCCGCCUCCGUUGCCGGACUGCUCAACAACUAGCACAUCCUUAGCCUUUCUCUUUCUAUUAUUCCGCCUCCGGUUCUUCUUUGCCGGAGGGACGUCCUCAUUGUCCGAUCCUUCUGCUCCUGCAUUCUCUCCGGGAAGUUUCCUCCCCUCUUCAGCUCGUGCACACUUGUCAGCCAGAGCAUAUAGCUCGCUGACAUCUCUAAUCUUGCACAUCGCCAUCUCCUCCCUCAUCCUGCGGUUACGCACGUUCUGAUGGAAUGCGCUGAUAACCGCGGCAGGGUGGACGUCUGGGAUGUUGCGCUGCACCUGGCUGAAUCUCUGUAUGUACUUGCGCAGGGGUUCUCCUUCUUUCUGGGCGAGCAGAUGAAGAUUGCUCUCCUGACCAUGGGGUUUGUGGCCGCCUGUGAAGGCGCCGACAAACUGAUGGCACAGGUCCGCCCACGAAGAGAUGGAGUUGUCCGGCAAGUGCAUGAGCCAAGAUCUGACGUUGGGCUUGAGCACCAGCGGGAAGUAGUUGGCGAGGAUCUUCUCGUCGCGCCCCCCGGCAGCCUGCACCGCGAUGGUGUAGACGCUGAGGAACUCUGAUGGAUGUAUCCUGCCAUCGUACUUCUCGGGUAUGUCCGGCUUGAAGUUCUUGGUACUGGGCCACUGGACUUGCCGCAGCUCACGGGUGAACGCAGGGUAACCUGCCGCGUACGGCAAGUCGCCUGGUUCCCCUGGCGCAUGCAUAUCGACAGUGGGCCCAGCGCACUGGUCAGAUUAAUGUCGCGCUUCUCUUCUGCGCUCGAUGCGAGUACGAGCGUCUCUGUGUCGUCGUUCUUGGAGAACUUGGCGUUGAUCGCGGCGAGCUCGCGGGUCCGACGACGCGGUGGAGUCGGUGUCGAGGUUGGAACGGCGAGUUGGCGAUCAUGGCCUUCGGGGCGGGGAGUGCACGGUGGUGGCACCCCCAGCGGUCUUGUCGGUGUCGGCUUGCGCCCGGGCGUCUUGCCGGGGCUUUCGAUGUGCUCGGUUGCCGGGGCUUGUCGCCGUUGGCGAAGCCGAUGAGGCUUUGGAUGGUGAUCCUCCAGUCGUCGAUCUUGUCUGGCGCUGGAGGGUAAUCUAGAAGCAGCUGGGCUCGGGCCAGCGCUUCCUCUGGAGUCUUGGGCGGCGGUGGCGAGCGACGCGAGGUGCGGGAUAUGCUCAAACUUCUAACAGUGUUAGAAGGAGCAACAUCUCGCCCAGGCGACCGUACUUCGCUCGUGCCAGCGUGUUGACGUGUAUGUUGGCCUUGAGCGUCCCGCGAUCCGCCGGCUUGGCCUUGUUCCAACACGAGCACGGUGCUAGGAGUACCGUGGCAUUGCCGAUCUUGCACCUCCUGGGAGGGGUACGGUGGAUGUACAGACGCUGAAGCUUGCGGGGCCUUGUCCUCGGACCUGGUGACGAUGUGAGUCCCCCCGUCGGCGCCCGCUCCUCCGCCGGCGUCCACCCCACCACCCGUUUGCUCCGGUGGCGGUAGGAUAGUCGCAAACGGAGUGGCCACCUCCGAAGCCUUCUUCUUCGGUGGCAUGUCGAUGAAGAUGUUGAUGUAGCGCGCAGAUGCCGGAUCAGGUACGCACAACCUCGACGCCCACCUACCUGGCGCGCCAAAGAUGUCGUGGGAAACGAACACCUAUGGGGCAGGGCCCCUUUUCGGUCCAGCAAGGGAGCGGAGGGCGCACGAAGAGCAGAUCGAGGCGGAGCACGCGGGGGAAUUUUACCCAGCUUCGGAGCUCUCCGGAGAGAUAAAACUCCUACUGCUGCUUUGUGUUUCUAUUCUGUUCUUGCUCAAGAGCGUGGGUGUGUUGUAGUUUUGAAUGUGUCGAACCCCUUCUACGUGUGCAUGGGCCUCCUUUUUAUAGUCUAAAGGGGUCAGCGACAGGUGGCAGCGUAGAGAGAGGGGUAAAAAAGUAAAAACGCGGGUUGGUACAACCGCUAUCAACAGUGGCCCCUACCUAACUCUGACGGCAGGGGACAAGGGCAUUUAAUGCCCGUCCGGUCGCCCAAACAGUGCAGGAAGCGACCGUUAGGGGCGCCACCGAUCGCCAUGAUGGCCUCCUAGUCAUCUUCACUUGCCACCUCGCACCGCUUGGCUGCACAGCUACCCGCCACGUGCACCGGGAGCGAUCCUGCGGCGACACGUCGUCGGAUGCGCUGGAGCGUGGGCGCAGAGUUGUGGCUUCGCUGUAGCAAGCGCCUUGCCGCGGUCACUAUCUUGUCGCACCCGCAAGCUUGCCGCUCGCCGGGUCUUGGUUGGCCUUCCCGGCAAGCUCCUCUUGCCGGGGUCUUGUCCUUCCCGGCAAGCUUCUCUUGUCGGGGCUUCGUCUUCACAGUUAACACUUUGUUCUUGAAUGGCAGUAAAUAGGAAUGACGAAGGAUCUUGGCGGACGCCCGGCAAGCCUUGCCGCAGGACGCUGCGACUGCCCGUGCACAAGUUCGGGGUACUAAGGUACCCCUACUUUAGUACACCGACACCUCCAAACUUUAUGUGGCACUGCAAAAUAUUUGUGGCUCUGUCUAAGAUUGCCAAGGAAUUAAAAGGGGAACUUAACAUAUUUUUCCUAAGUAAAUAGUGUGCCCAAAAUAUUCUCUUAACCAUCUCUGUUUUUUUUAAUAAAAAAAGGCGAAUAAGAACUCGCCCGGGCCUCGGCCUACUCCCACUUACCAGCCCACCUAAGCCGGCCCACUCCCCCGCUCCCAUGGCCUAUAGGCCAUGCUCAACCGAACCCUAACCCCGCACGAUCCCCCCACUCCCCACUUCUCUCCCCUCCCGAUCCAAUCUGGAUCGGACCGAAACUGGCGCCCCGACGCCAACCGCCGUCGCUGGAGGCAUCCCCGACUCCACGCUGGGCCACCCCAUCACCUGACCUCCUCCCCGUCGUCGCUCGUCACUCGCUGGACCGCCUCGUCCCCACCAACGCCGCCCCGAGCCCAACGUCCCUGUCGUCGUCGCCGUCGGCAUCGCCCCGAUGUCGCCACCACCCGACGCCGGCGCCCUCGACAUCGCCACCCCGAGCCCACUGCCACCCCUACGCUCCACUGUGAGCCCCUCGCCGAUUCCCCCUCCUUCCUGUCAUCGUAGGUGGCCGCAUGCGCUGUUGGCCACCGUGGCCGCGCUCCGGCCGUUCCCCAUCCGUGUGCUAGCCUCGCCUUCCCCGGCUGCGGCCACCAGCCUCCUCGUCGCGCUCCCGCCUUCGCCCACACCUGCCCCUGUACGCCCAGCCGCUGCUGCUCGCCGGAUCCGCAUGUUCGCCCCCUAGCUUCGUCUCCGGCCGUCGAGUCCGCACCCGAUGCCGGCGCCCCAGCGCGUCCAUGCGCCCGUACGGGCGGGCGCCCACGCCCAUGCCCCUCCGCCCGUUAGCCCGCCCCGCUAAGGCCUGGGCACCUAACCAAGGGGCCCCACGCCCCUGUGUAAUAAAAAAGAUUUAAAAAAAAUAAAUAUAAAUAUAAUUAGUUAAUUAGUUAAUUAAUUGUAUAGUUAAUUAACUAACUUAAUUAACCUUGCUUAGUUAGCCUAAUGAACUAGUUUAGUUAAUUUAAAUCUGUUAGAUAGGUCUAUGAGAGAACGACCCCACAUGUCAGUUUAACCAGUCAACACUCUUUUGACUGCUGACAUCAUGAUGACGUCAGGCUGACAUCAUAAUUCCAAUUUUGAAUUAAUAAUAAUUUCAGAAUAUUAUUAAAACUUUGAAAAAUCAUAGAAAAUAAACCGUAUCUCGGAUGGAAGUUGCUUGGAACGACGAGACAAAUCCGAAUGCGCAGUUCGUUCAUCUGUCACGCGUCCCUAGCAUAGCAAACGUUGAACUUUUCCCCUCCGGUUCAUCUGUCUGAUAGACGUCCGGAACCGGGAAAACUUUCCCGGAUGUUUCCCCCUUCGCCAGUAUCACCUAGCACCUCGUUAGAACACUUCUAGCCCCGCUUAUUGUCUUGUUAUGCAUAUGUUUGCGUGUAUUUACUGUUUCUUCCCCCUCUUCUUCUCCGGUAGACCUCGAGACCGCUGAUGAUGCCCCUGUGAUCGACUACGUCGACGACGACCCUCCUUGUUUGAGCAACCAGGCAAGCCCACCCUUUGAUCAUCCCGAUAUCGCCCAUUCCAUUCUCUCAUGCUUGCACUAGAUUUUGCUACUGUAUUUGACUGCUCCUAUUCUGAUGCAUAGCCUGCUUUUGUACCUGCUAUUGUAACUUACCUGCUUAUCCUAAAUUUCUUAGUACAGGUUGGCUAGUGAUCCAUCAGUGACCCCCACCUUGUCUUUGUUGCCCCUGCUUCAUCAUCGACGACUCGAUCAACGUGAUCGACGACCGGAGCCUGACACCUCACAUCACAUCACGCCCCUUUUUCUUGCUCGACUCUGCAGAGUUACCAUCGAGUGCCGAGGGUGGAACCUCAUACAUCGCUCCUGAUGAGAUCUCUGUAGUGUAGCUAUUCGGUCGUGGUCAUCGAGGGUGGUUCCUCCUUCACCAUUCCUAAUACGGCUCUGUCGUGCAACACCUCAAGUGUGAACCUCGAGGGUGGUUCCUCUUACGUUCACCUUGAUGAUUACAUCAACUGGAAUCCACCGGGGGUGAUUCCUCGGAUUUUCCCCUUGAUGUCUGGACACAUAGUUACCUUGAUACUUGAGACCGUUGUGAAAGCCGGGCGAGCCCGGAGAGCACCCGUGCGAUGUGACGGUGGCGGCUGGCUGUUUAGCGGUAUCACCCGGGAGGGGUGAUAGCUCCGGACUUGUCCCGACAUCCGUCACUUCUUUUAAUAAUGCACUAACACGUUUGUGUAUUUGUUCUGAGUUGGCCUCUGGCCUUUACGCACUAACCACCACGCGAGAAUAGUUAUGGGCCUCGACGUUGCAGUAUCUUUCGAAGCUUUGUCAGACGUCCAGUUCAGCAUUGUGGCCGGGCCGGAUCGUGCCAUCCACUUCACCGGUGGUGCUGGUAUCCCCUUGUGCACAACGACCCGGAGUGCAAUGGGCGAUGGGCCCAGACCCCGGAGUGCUUAGGAUGUAGACCGGCGGGGACCUCUCUACUGAGCCUAGGUAGGGCUGCGACGUGUUGAUCUUCCGAGGCUGGGCAUUGACCCCAGAAAGGUGUGUCCGGCCAGAGUGAUCGAGCGUGUUGGGUAACGUGGUGCGCCCCUGCAGGGAAGAUUAUCUAUUAAUAGCCGUGUCCAUGGUAACGUACCUUCAGACUUAUAUCUUGAUCUUAUACAACUACAAAUGGAUACUUGAGAUAUGUGGCUCCGGGAUUGCUUUCUCGCAGGGAGUCGAGGAAGGAUCUCUGGGCGUUGUUGUUAAAACAUGCUUGUUAAUUAAACUGCUAUUCUUUACUCUUCUACAUGCUGCAAGAUGCUUGGAGCUGCUUGAAGAUGCUAGUCUUUGUUUGGCUAGGCCUUCCCCUCUAUUCUGGCAUUCUGCAAUUCAGUCCACAGAUACAACCCUUCCAUUUGAUACCAAUGCAUACUUAGUAUAGAUCUGAUGCUUGCGAGUACUUUGGAUGUGUACUCGCGGUUGCUUUGCUACCCCUUUUCCCCCUUCUUUCUUCUUUCCGGUUGACGCAACCAUAUGGUGGAUCCUUGGAGCCAGAUGCCACCGCCGAUGGAUGCUAGUACGUGAAGAUCGCCGACGACCAGGAGUAGUUAGGAGGUCCUAGGCAGGAGGCCUUGCCUCUUCGAUCGUUGUUGCUUUUGUGCUAGCCUUCUUAAGGCAUCCUUAUUUAACUUAUGUCUGUACUCAGCUAUUGUUGCUUCCGCUAACUCUUGUGUAUCGAGCUAUGUAUUCGAGCUCUCGAGGCCCCUGGCUUGUAAUAUAAAGCUUGUAUUAUUUUGAUUUGUGUCUAGAGUUGUGUUGUGAUAUCUUCCCGUGAGUCCCUGAUCUUGAUCGUACAUAUUGGCGUGCAUGAUUAGUGUACGAUUGAAUCAGGGGCGUCACACAAGCGGUACUACUGCCCCACCCAGUUUCAGCAUUUCGAGUUUCACCGUUUUGCCCAUAACUUCCACAUCCGGAGUCCGAUUUUUGCAUUUUUUAGCUCGUUGAGUAGCUAUUGACAUCCCCCAUCCAUCUAUAUAGGUUCCAACACCAUUUGACUCCAUCAAAUUUUCCAAAAUUUGGAAAGUUUGCCUAGGCCGUCCACCAUAUCAUCUGCAUAGCCACCACCGACCACCGCAACCUAACCCAUUUUGUUCCCCUUAGCAUUUGAGGUUGUUUGAGUUGUGGCUUGUGUCUCCUAAGGUGUUUCGGCUACUUAGGGAUGGUAACUUCAACUCCAACACGUGUAUAGCCCAUCAUUCCACUUCCGCAUUGCCGAGUGCAAACCACCACCUCUUUCCACUACCACCAUUUGACAUUUACCUUUGUAGAUUUUGAGUUUGCGAUUUUUCCGUUUCCUAGGGUGUUUUGGCUAACUAGGAAUGGGUCGACAUCAGCAACAUCGCCUCUCAUCAUCGCCAAGGACGGUAACCUCGAUGACACCAUUGUAUAUUCCCUUGCCAUUGCAUUGAUAACCCCUAGCCCAUUUUGCGUCACUUGCCUAUCGAGACUAGCCGUUUGAGUAUUGCCGGCAACGUGACUUGUGCACAUUAGUGAUCAUACUUCCCAUAGCAUCAUACCAUAUCAUCGUGGUGCAUAUAUUGGUAGCAUAUCUUGCGUCACAAGUUUGUUGCCGCAUAUACACAAUUGCUAUCUUGGUUUGUGCAUUAUGCAGAAGUGGCCAUACAAAAAAGAGAAAUAAAGCUUUUAAGCAAAAGAAAGAGAGAAAAGAAGCUUGUAAGCAAGUGCCAUAGCAUCAUACCAUAUUGCACAUAAGAUUGUCAUAUCCGAUCAUCUUGGAUCAUCUUGAGAGAACAUCGGGAACCAUACAUACAUAGCAUACUUGGGAUAGAAAGUAUAUCCAUUUGGCAUCUUGUAGGUUGUGCACAAGUGUCCUAUCCGCCUAUUGAGCAAUCGUGCUAGCGUCUCUCUUGAGUUGUGCAACACGAGCGUUUUCUGUGGAUUCCACAUUUUGUGCUCAUUGCUUGGUUGCACGACCCCAUUUAUCUAUCCGUGUGUGUGUUUCCGUGUGUCAUUCUUUGCUAUUGGUCUACUUGUUUCACUUGCAAAUUUGUGAAUCUCUUUCAACAUUAUUGACUCUUGCUAACAUUUUGCAUCAAAUUUUUGUGCCACUAUCCUCACCGAGCUCCACCAUAAGCUUUACUUGAUAGGUGUGAGUGAACAAGUCCGGUACCAAUUCCACUAUUCUUUCAUUUCACAUUGAGUUAAACGGGAUACAUCCUCAACUUUGGGAAAGGUAACUUCCUAUUGUUUAUCUCAUUUCCUACUGGCAUUUCACCUUCGGUCUACAACAACAACGACGAGUUCGAUGCCACGAACAACUCCAACGACGCCAAGAUGCAAGCUCAAAUGGAGGAGAUCAAAGCCCUCAUCAAGUCCUACAAGCAAUCUUCCUCAUCUUCGAGAAGACACUCACGUGCACAUGUUUCCGAGCUACCAUCUCCGGUAAGAUCACAUCAGCAUCGACACCAUCACCAACAAGAACGUGAAGGUCAAGAGCUCAACACCAACUACCGCUCAACGACUUCACCAUCUCCCUUGGCAUCUUCGCCAAGCGACUUCAAGGCAUCUUUGAGUACGGAUAUACGGCAUCUUCGCCAACAAGAACCUCAAGGCUACGCUCAAGAGAAGCUCCCCAAGCUCAAGUCCACGACUUCCAUGAGCUACUACGACCUCGACACCGACCACAAGAUUCCUUUCUAUGGAACUCAAGAACCCGAGGAGUACCUCGAGUGGGAGCGUUUGAUGGACGACUACCUCAAGCUACAUCAAGUCCCUUCCGAAGAUCAAGUGAAGUGCGCCACAAGAAACUUCCACGACUACGCCUCGACAUGGUGGCUUCACACACCUUCGGAGAGCUACGAGAUGAGUUAGCCCAAGACGAAGAGAGCUUUGCAGCGAGAGCUCGUGCCUCCAACCUACAUGGAACAACUUCGACGCCAAUUGGAGAACACCAUCCAAGGAUCCAAGUCCAUCGACGCGUACUUCAAGGAGAUGAAGAAUGCCUUGCGACGAGACGGCGUGGAUGACCCCAUUUCGAUGAAGUUCCACUUCAUGAUGCGAUUGAACAACGACAUCUCCAAGACUAUCUUCCUCGAGAACUACAAGUCCCUGGACAACUACUACAUUGGUGCUCUCAAGGCGGAACAAGAACUCAUGAAAGCCAAGGCUUCUCCACCCCAAGCACACUUCGCGGCGACCAAGCUGUACGACAAGCAUGAGGCUAGUACCACCAUGAUGUCCAAGCCCGACGAGCUCCAAGACAAUGCUCCCAAGUUCGACUUCACCGCCAUCCCUCUUUGUGGCAUUGAUGACGCCGAGUCUACCUUGACUCUUUUUCAAGACGGUGCGGCGACGAGUACGACUACGGAGACCUUCAAGGACCAAGCUUUGGAGGCGAGCGACAAGGUGGCGAGCAAGGAUGGUGUUUCCAUCUUUGGAGGCGAGAGUGAUGAUGUGCCAUCUUCGUCCUUCAUCCACGGCGACGAUGACGAGAUGAUCGAGCAUGGGAUUUUCCCUUCGGUCAUGGAGGAGAGUGAUGAUGUGCCAUCUUCGGCCUUCAUCCACGGAGACGACGACGAGAUGGUUGAGCAUGGGAUUCUCCCUUCGACCACGGUGACGUAUGAUGACUUGAGUGACUUUUGCCACCAUAUUGAGAGUGAGAGUGACUUCACCACUAGCCCCAUAUAUGACGAGUUGCCCCAAUUCCUAUGUGAGGAGAGCCACAACCCCCACCACUUGAGUGAGAUGAGUGACUCCACCAUAUGCGACUUUGAGUGCACCUAUUUUGAGGGAGUGAGUGAACCACCACAUAGAGAGAGUGUGAUAGUUGAUAGGUCUCGUGAGGCCAUUUGCAUUUCUAACAACUUGACCUCUACCUCUAUUGUGUCUUCUCAUUUGGUGCUAGGUCCCAUUUAUGAUGACGCGCCGAUCCUCGACGACUUCGUCCUCCCUUUGGACAAGACGAUGGCCAUGGUGGAAUAUGAUGCACCCCCCACAUGGUUCCAUCAAGAUGAAGAUGACCACCAUUUGGUCUUUCCCACCUCACCUACACCACUUGAGUGGAAUGAAAAAGGUAACAUAGGUGAAGGUGAUGCUCUAGUCCCACUAGUGGACAUUCUUGACAUUGAUUGCUUGCAUGAUGUUGAUCCACCUAGUACCAUGCUUCAUGCUAGUAUGAUUUCCCCAUGUGAUGAUUUGGCCAUUUAUGAUGAGUAUGAUGAUUCUCAUGUGGAGUCUCUUAGUUGUGAUGUCAUGUUACAUAGGAUUUCUUGUGACAAUUCUUUAGGUCACAUCAUGUUUGAUAAUCCGCUUGACUUGUCGUAUGCUAUGCAUGACAUUCACCAUAUGUCAUAUUUGCAAUCUCAUUGUAGUGACUAUGCAUAUGCCAUUCAAAUUAACCCAAUUUGCACUUAUGGCAUAGAUGACAAGCCCAUGGUUAUUGGGAUUUGUUUUUCUUGUGAUGAUAUUGAUAUGGUCCCUUUGCAUCAUUUAUCUCAUAUGCCAUGUCAUGCCCACCUAGCUUCGGAUAUGCAUUGUUUUGGAUGUUGUCCAUUUUCUCCAUAUGAUGUUUCCAAUCUUGCUCAUGAGGAGACCCCCAUAGUUCCCUCAUACAUGUUAGGAGAUUUUGAUCCAUCCCAUCCAUUGCAUGAUCCCAACAAUUGUGUGCACCAUAUGCUCCCCAUGAAUAAACAUGCUAUUGAUGUGCCAUAUACUUGCAUUCUCAAUUUGUGUCCCCAUCGUGUCAUACAUAAUAACUAUUCUUUCAUGAUGGAUGACAUGUUCUUAUACCAUGCAUCAAAUUUCGUUGAGCGAUGCUUAUCUUGUGCUAACUCACACGUGCACAUACACAUCAUGAUGGAUGAUGUGUACAUUUACCACACACACAAUUUAUUUGGUUUGUGUCUCUUUUGUGUAGGUACCCAGGAAUACUUGUCAACCUCGCAAUCCCACGAGUUGACAAAACGAGCUCUAGAGAGCAACGAUGAUUUGGGAUCCCAUGGAUUGUCUUUCCCACCGCUCUCUUCGCGCAAAGACUUAGCGCAUUUCUUCUACAUGGCCCUCACUUGGCUAUGGGUUGUUUUCCAUUACAUAUUAUAUGCCCAUCUUGCCAUGUUCACUUUGCAUGAUAUGCCCAUUCCCAUGCAUUUGUGACCCAUACUUUGCUUUACACAUGAUGAUUGACUCUCAUACUUUUAUGUGUAUUUGCAAGCUUGGUGGAGAUAUUGCUUGUUGUUUCCCUAUUCCAUUUUUGACCCACCCCUAUGAUGAUACUAUGAUCUUGCUUUGUGUUCGUGCUUGUGAUAUGUCAUGUGCAUUGUCUAUCCCUAUUAUUUGCUCACAUGACAUGAUUGCCAUGAUUUACUCUGGUGUGUUGCAUCUUCGCUCCACUAGUUUGCACCACAUGAUUGAUAUGCUUGCUUGUAUUGCAUCCCCCAUGAUUCAUACUUGCUCAUUUCAUGCGAUUGAUGACAACCAUUUCCAUACUUUGCACGUGAUUGCUAUAGCUUCUUGUCACAUAUCUACAUAUGUUGCCUCUCUCAUGCUAGAUCACUUGCCAUGUAUUUAGUGCAACAAUGCUCUUAUUCUUGCUCAUGAGAUUGCCCCCAUAGCAUUCUCACAUAUGAUUGGAGUUGACAUAAUUCUUGUGAAGCAUGCUUGCCUUCCUUCUUUGCACCAUAUGCCUAGUGCCAUGAAUAUUGCCAUUGUUGCAUCAUAUUGUUCAUGCACUUGUGCUACUAAAGGUUAUGUGCAAGAGAUGAGAACCAUCAUGAUGGAUGAUGUGUUUCUCUACCAUGCGCAUAUACUCUUUGUUUUGUUGUGUGCAUGUGUAGGAUACUUGGACUUCGUCUCGACUUCCACUUCAUGUGAGUUGACCAUUCAAGCUCUUAAGAGCGAGCCUCACACAUUCUACCACUACUCGCUUCUACACCGCAUUUGCUUGCGCUUCGGCAUUGUGAAGAAUGCACAAGGACAUGCCUUCAAGGUGACAUCUUUCUUGAGCAUGGAUAUUGCGGAUCAUACUACUUGUGUAGCUUGCACUGUGAGACUUAUUGGUCAUCUUGGACCACUUGAUUGCGCACUUGCUAGAGAUCUUGCUUUGACUUGCCAUUUUCACAUUCCCAUGCAUCAUGAUAUAUAUGCCUUGUGUGUUGCAUCCAAUUCUUGGAUUACUAUCACAACCUAGCUAGUCCAUGCAUUAGAGUGUUGCAUCAUGUCUACCUUUUAUCAGAAACUUGAAUUGGGGAAGACAGAACCCCCCAGAACCCCUCUGAAUUCAACUAGUGCUUACUAAAAAUAUUUUCAAUGAACCUGAAAUGCCCUUCUAAAAAGUUCACCCUCUUUGUCUUGGGUUAGAACCUCUGGCAAAAUUGGUGCACAAUUUUCUAGGUCAACAAAAGGCCAUUGAAUUAAAUCAUAUCUACUUUGAGUUUGGGCAUUUAAACUAUAUAAAAUAUUUCAAAUGCUCAAAUAACUCCAAACUAAAAUGUUCCAUACUGGAUAUAUUCCAACUAGGGACCAUGUGCAGUUUGGUGAUUUUUGGAGUUGCCUAAGUAUUUUUAGAAAUGCAACAAACUUACAGAAACAAUUAAAAACAGAAACAAAUGGGAAAAACCCUUACCUGGCCGAACCAAGCCCCAGCCCAGCUGGCCGGCCCAGCACUGUGCUGGCCCAUGCCAGCCAGCUGCUUCGCCGUCGCCACGCAGGCACAGAGCUGACGCCGGCAAGCGUGAGCUCGCAACGGCGCCAGCUGCUUGCCGCCCGCGCCCCCGAGCACCUGGGUGAGCUCCACGUCGCCGCCCCGACCCCGUGGACACCUCAUUCGCCCCCUGCCUCUCUCCCUCGCUCUCCCGCACCAUGGCCGACGCACCCGCCGCCGCACCCCCGACGUAGUCGCGCCCUCCGUCGUCCUCGUGCUGCACCACCGUGUCCCUUCGCUCCGCCGUCAUCGACUACAUCGAGUAGGCCGAGCCCCGAGCGCUCGCUGGCCCUGUUUCAUCUUCUUCGAGCUCGUCUUCACCGAGCACCGCCACAGAUCCCCUUCGCCGUCGCCGCCGUACCAGCUCGUCCCCGACCUUGCCGACCACUCCGUUGUGACCGCCGUGAGCUCAGCCACCUCCCCAUCCUCCCCGUUUGCCUUCUCGUGCACCGUAGCAACCGCAUGGAGCUUCAUCGCACGCACCACCGACGAGCUCGUCGCCGACGUGCCUCCGGCCAUCCACCGUCCACACCACGGUGUCUAACAUGCUCACCGCAUCGUGUAGAGUCUAACGCCCCACUCCACGCGCCUCGCCGUGCCCCGUAGCCAUGGGUCCAUUUUCAUCCGACUCCGGCGACCGCCGUGGUCGUCGCCGGCGACGUUCCUGGCCACCUCGACCUCAACCACCACCACCAAACGCCGCGACUUGUUCCCGGCUACACGUAGAUGGUCUCCGUCGUCCAUUUGGUCGCCAGAACAUGCUAACCCACUUCCUCCGCCGCGUCUGGCCUCGCCGGCGGCUAGACACCGGCAUGUUUGACCCGUUGACAUUCACUGGGUGGGCCAGGUUGACUCCCCUGAGUCUAUGACAAGUGCCCCCCCCUCUGCUAAUUAACCUAGUUUAGCUCUUACUAAAAUCAGUUAGUUUAAAUAAGUGCUGACAUGCGGGACCCACUGGUCAGUUUGACCUGAACGACCCCUUUGACCACUGACGUCACCCUGAUGCACUGCUGACGCAAUAACCAAUUUCUGGAUUUAUUGUUAUAUAGGAAAUUCCAGAAAUUGUUGCAAACUUCAAAAAUUCAUAGAAAUUAAUCUGUAACUCCAAAUGCAAAGAUUUAUAUAUGAAUUUUGAUCAGAAAAAUUCAAUCUAUCCAUUGGUAAUGGUUUCAUGCAUGUCAGAACAAGUUAACCUUGCUGUUUAAUCAAAACAAGUUAAUGCACUAAUAUGACUAUGUUAAAUGAACUACCAUUUGCAUCUUUGAUUCAAAUGAGUUCAUACCUUUCUGUUCUAGCUUGCAUUAGGCCAGGACACAUUCAUGUUGCCAUGUCAUAGCAUGCAUCAUAUUGUUGUAUAUCGUCAUGUGUUGUUCAUGUUCGGUGUGUUUUCGUGAUAGGUUCUGCCUCCGAGGAUAACCCCGAAUAUCCGUCUGAAGGGCUGUAUCCUACUACCACUACAUCAGGCAAGCAACCCAUUGAUCAUUCCGAUACAAACCCAUGUUCUUGCCUCUGCUCUUGUUUACUGCAUUAAGACAAUGCGAUUCAAACUUUUGUGUGUUGUGGUAGUUGAACCCACUUCCUUUGCAUGACCUGUCAUUGCCACAGUAACUAGAUGAAACUCAGUAGCAUGUGUAGGAGUUGAUUGAGCCAUAUCUGUGUUACCUACCAUGCUAUGCUUGCUAUGCUUAGAGUUGUGUCAGGUCUGGCUCAUUGGGAUGAUGAACUAGAGUGAAAGGUUGUGUCGGUAAUGAAGUGUUGAACACGAUUUGGUAAAGGUAUCGAUGAGAGGCCAUGUAGGAGUACAUGGUGGGUUGUUUCAUUGAGGCCGUCCUUAAGCACUGAGAUCUGUGUGUGUGAUUUAAGAUUCAGCUACUACCACGCAUUGGGCCCGAAACCAAUGGACCCUCUCGACUUAUUAACCACUCUUGUCCUCUGUCCGGGAGUUGCAAGUAGUUUUUGGUGUUUGUAGCAUGAUGGGGGCCGCACGCAGUGCUGACCUUAGGGGUGGGUUGGGUUGCGGUAGGCAUGUGGCACGGUGUAUCGAUUCGCCCGUUUGGUGUCUCGGGAACCAUGUUCACAUCAUUCGGGGCCGUUAGUGGAAACCUCGGCCGGACUCCCUGCGGAUGGAACCCGAAUAGGCGAUAAACCUGGACUAGGGACUCGUGUGUUUAGUCAGGCCGUGGCCGACACCCUCGCUGGGCUUCCGCUUGAGGCUUGCCGAGUACACGUCAUGUAGCGGUGAUAAGUGGUGAGAGCGUGUGUGAAGAAGUACACCCCUGCAGGGUAUAAAACUAUUCGAAUAGCCGCGUCCGCGGUAAAGGACUACUUGGUCACCUAUGCAGUUCAUAGACAAGUAAAUGGAUACUUCUAAAAGCCUCAAGUUAAGUGUGAGUACCGAGGAUGGCCCUCUCGUAGGUUGACAAGAGAGGAUCCUCGGUGGAGUAUUGUGUUGGUGAGUAGUGGACUCGUGUGCGACAAAUGUUUUGCAAGUUGUGUCUAUCGUAGAAUAGCUUAGCCAAGAGUCAAAGCUGGCUUGCUGCAAUAACUCCACUACCUUCUUGAGAAUGUGCAUGUAUGAUAGGAUUCUGUUGUAAGACUUGCUGAGUACCUCUGUACUCAUGUUUGCUUAAAUGUUUUCAGACGACAACACCAACCCCUCCGAUGGGUUCUACGUAGACCUCGACGUUGACGAGUGACUAACCACCCAAGUGGUGAUCCGAGACUUGUGAAGGGCCGAUGUAGAUAGAAAGGCUUCGUCAAGCCCUCUUUCUUUCUAGUGUCUGUACUCAGACUAGUUGCUUCCGCAUGUGCUUGUAUGCUUGUAUGACUUGAGUCUCAGGUCAUGUGACCCCUAUCUGUAUGAACAUGUUAUGUAUGGCUCCUUGGAGCCACUUAAAUAAAGUACUUUGAGUUGUAGAGUUUUGUUGUGAUGCCAUGUUGUAUGUACUCAUAUCGGGCAUAUUGUGUGUAUGUUUGAAAUGCUUGGUAUGAGUGGGAUCCGACAAUCUAGUUGUUUAUCCUUGGCAGCCUCUCAUAUGGGGAAAUGUAGUCUAGUGCUUCCUGAGCGAUAGUAGUCCGCUACAGCCCGGUUCACCGGAGUCCUGCUAGCCCAGUACUACAGCUCUGGACACUUGACUGGACAGCAUGUGUUUCACUUCGUUCCUGUGUCUGUCCCUUUGCGGAAAUGUCACGCGGUGGCAUUCGGAGUCCUGCCUAGCCUGCUACAGCCCGGGUUACUGUUGGGAAACGUAGUAAUUUCAAAAUUUUCCUACGCACACACAAGAUCAUGGUGAUGGCAUAGCAACGAGAGGGGAGAGUGUUCGUCCACGUACCCUCGUAGACCGUAAGCGGAAGCGUUAGCACAACGCGGUUGAUGUAGUCGUACGUCUUCACGAUCCGACUAAUCCAAGCACUGAACGUACGUGGCCUCCGAGUUCAGCACACGUUCAGCUCGAUGAUGAUCUCCGGCCUCCAAUCCAGCGAAGCUCCGGAGAUGAGUUCCGUCAGCACGACAGCAUGGUGACGAUGAUGAUGUUCUACCUGCGCAGGGCUUCGCCUAAAAUCCGCGACGAUAUGACUGAGGUGGAAUAUGGUGGAGGGGGGCACCGCACACGGCUAAGGAACGAUCCAUAGAUCAACUUGUGUGUCUAUGGGGUGCCCCCCCCCCCCCGCCCCUGUAUAUAAAGGAGAAAGGGGGAGGCCGGCCGGCCCCUUGGGCGCGCCAAGGGAGGAGGAAUNNNNNNNNNNNNNNNNNNNNNNNNNNNNNNNNNNNNNNNNNNNNNNNNNNNNNNNNNNNNNNNNNNNNNNNNNNNNNNNNNNNNNNNNNNNNNNNNNNNNNNNNNNNNNNNNNNNNNNNNNNNNNNNNNNNNNNNNNNNNNNNNNNNNNNNNNNNNNNNNNNNNNNNNNNNNNNNNNNNNNNNNNNNNNNNNNNNNNNNNNNNNNNNNNNNNNNNNNNNNNNNNNNNNNNNNNNNNNNNNNNNNNNNNNNNNNNNNNNNNNNNNNNNNNNNNNNNNNNNNNNNNNNNNNNNNNNNNNNNNNNNNNNNNNNNNNNNNNNNNNNNNNNNNNNNNNNNNNNNNNNNNNNNNNNNNNNNNNNUCCGGUUUUCUCCGAAAUCACCCGGAACAAUUUCGGUGUCCGAAUAUAGUCGUCCAAUAUAUCAAUCUUUAUGACUCGACCAUUUCGAGAUUCCUCGUCAUGUCCGUGAUGACAUCCGGGACUCCGAACAAACUUCGGUACAUCAAAACUUAUAAACUCAUAAUAAAACUGUCAUCGUAACGUUAAGCGUGCGGACCCUACGGGUUCGAGAACUAUGUAGACAUGACCUAGAACCAUUCUUGGUCAAUAACCAAUAGCGGGACCUAGAUGCCCAUAUUGGUUCCUACAUAUUCUACGAAGAUCUUUAUCGGUCAAACCGCAUAACAACAUACGUUGUUCCCUUUGUCAUCGAUAUGUUACUUGCCCGAGAUUUGAUCGUCGGUAUCCAAUACCUAGUGCAAUCUCGUUACUGGCAAGUCUCUUUACUCGUUCCGUAAUACAUCAUCUCAUAACUAACUUAUUAGUUACAAUGCUUGCAAGGCUUAGGUGAUGAGUAUUACCAAGAGGACCCAGAGAUACCUCUCCGACAAUCGGAGUGACAAAACCUAAUCCCGAAUUAUGCCAACUCAACAUGUACCUUCGGAAACACCUAUAGAGCACCUUUAUAAUCACCCAGUUACGUUGUGACGUUUGGUAGCACACAAAGUGUUCUUCCGGUAAACGGGAGUUGCACAAUCUCAUAGUUGCAGGAACUUGUAUAAGUCAUGAAGAAAGCAAUAGCAGUAUACUAAACGAUCAAGUGCUAGGCUAACGGAAUGGGUCAUGUCAAUCACAUCAUUCUCCUAAUGAUGUGAUCCCGUCAAUCAAAUGACAACUCUUUUGUCCAUGGUUAGGAAACAUAACCAUCUUUGAUAAACGAGCUAGUCAAGUAGAGGCAUACUAGUGACACUAUGUUUGUCUAUGUAUUCACACAUGUAUCAUGUUUCCGGUUAAUAUAAUUCUAGCAUGAAUAAUAAACAUUUAUCAUGAUAUGAGGAAAUAAAUAAUAACUUUAUUAUUGCCUCUAUGGCAUAUUUCCUUCAGUCUCCCACUUGCACUAGAGUCAAUAAUCUAGAUUACAUGGUAAUGAUUUUGACACCCAUGGAGUCUUGGUGCUGAUCAUGUUUUGCUCGUGAGAGAGGCUUAGUCAACGGGUCUGCAACAUUCAGAUCCGUAUGUAUCUUGCAAAUCUCUAUGUCUCCCACUUGGACUUGGUCCCGAAUGGAAUUGAAGCGUCUCUUGAUGUGUUUGGUCCUCUUGUGAAAUUUGGAUUCCUUUGCCAAGGCAAUUGCACCAGUAUUGUCACAGAAGAUGUUCAUUGGUCCCGAUGCACUAGGUAUGACACCUAGAUCGGAAAUGAGAUCCUUCAUCCAGACUCCUUCAUUUGCUGCUUCUGAAGCAGCUAUGUACUCCGCUUCACAUGUAGAUCCCGCCACGAUGCUUUGUUUAGAACUGCACCAACUUACAGCUCCACCGUUUAAUAAAAACACGUAUCUGGUUUGCGAUUUAGAAUCGUCCGGAUCAGUGUCAAAGCUUGCAUCGACGUAACCGUUUACGACUAGCUCUUUGUCACCUCCAUAUAUGAGAAACAUAUCCUUAGUCCUUUUCAGGUAUUUCAGGAUGUUCUUGACCGCUGUCCAGUGAUCCACUCCUGGAUUACUUUGGUACCUUCCUGCCAAGCUUAUUGCUAAGCAUACGUCAGGCCUGGUACACAGCAUUGCAUACAUGAUAGAGCCUAUGGCUGAAGCAUAGGGAACAUUUUUCAUUUUCUCUCUAUCUUCUGCUGUGGUCGGGCAUUGAGUUUGACUCAACUUCACACCUUGUAGCACAGGUAAGAAUCCUUUCUUUGCCUGAUCCAUUUUGAACUUUUUCAAAAAAAAUUCAAGGUAUGUGCUUUGUGAAAGUCCUAUUAAGCGUCUUGAUCUAUCUCUAUAGAUCUUGAUGAGUAAUAUGUAAGCAGCUUCACCGAGGUCUUUCAUUGAAAAACUUUUAUUCAAGUAUCCCUUUAUGCUAUGCAGAAAUUCUAUAUCAUUUCCAAUUAAUAAUAUGGCAUCUACAUAUAAAAUUAGAAAUGCUACAGAGCUCCCACUCACUUUCUUGUAAAUACAGGCUUCUCCAAAUGUCUGUAUAAAACCAUAUGCUUUGAUCACACUAUCAAAGCGUUUAUUCCAACUCCGAAAUGCUUGCACCAGUCCAUAAAUGGAACGCUGGAGCUUGCAUACUUUGUCAGCACCUUUUGGAUCAACAAAACCUUCCGGCUGCAUCAUAUACAACUCUUCUUCUAGAAAUCCAUUCAAGAAUGCAGUCUUGACAUCCAUAUGCCAAAUUUCAUAAUCAUGAAAUGCAGCAAUAGCUAACAUGAUUCGGACAGACUUAAGCAUCGCUACGGGUGAGAAAGUCUCAUCGUAGUCAACCCCUUGAACUUGUCGAAAACCUUUUGCAACAAGUCGAGCUUUAUAGACAGUUACAUUACCAUCAGCGUCAGUCUUCUUCUUAAAGAUCCAUUUAUUCUCAAUGGCUUGCCAAUCAUCGGGCAAGUCAACCAAAGUCCAUACUUUGUUUUCAUACAUGGAUCCCAUCUCAGAUUUCAUGGCUUCUAGCCAUUUUGCGGAAUCUGGGCUCAUCAUCGCUUCCUCAUAGUUCGUAGGUUCACCAUGGUCAAGUAACAUGACUUCCAGAAUAGGAUUACCAUACAACUCUAGUGCGGAUCUUACUCUGGUAGACCUACGAGGUUCAGUAGAAACUUGAACUCCUCACUAAUUGGUGUAGUUGUCACAGGAACCGGUUCUCGUGAUGAACUACUUUCCAAUAAGGGAGUAGAUACAGUUAUCUCAUCAAGUUCUACUUUCCUCCCACUCACUUCUUUCGAGAGAAACUCCUUCUCUAGAAAGGAUCCAUUCUUAGCAACGAAUGUCUUGCCUUCAGAUCUGUGAUAGAAGGUGUACCCAACAGUCUCUUUUGGGUAUCCUAUGAAAACACAUUUCUCCGAUUUGGGUUCGAGCUUAUCUGGUUGAAGUUUCUUCACAUAAGCAUCGCAGCCCCAAACUUUAAGAAACGACAACUUUGGUUUCUUGCCAAACCACAGUUCAUAAGGCGUCGUCUCAACGGAUUUUGAUGGUGCCCUAUUUAACGUGAAUGCGGCCGUCUCUAAAGCAUAACCCCAAAACGAUAGCAGUAAAUCAGUAAGAGACAUCAUAGAUCGCACCAUAUCAAGUAAAGUACGAUUAUGACGUUCGGACACACCAUUUCGUUGUGGUGUUCCGGGUGGCGUGAGUUGCGAAACUAUUCCACAUUGUUUCAAGUGUAGGCCAAACUCGUAACUCAAAUAUUCUCCUCCACGAUCAGAUCGUAGAAACUUUAUUUUCUUGUUACGAUGAUUUUCCACUUCACUCUGAAAUUCUUUGAACUUUUCAAAUGUUUCAGACUUGUGUUUCAUCAAGUAGAUAUACCCAUAUCUGCUCAAAUCAUCUGUGAAGGUGAGAAAAUAACGAUACCCGCCGCGAGCCUCAACAUUCAUUGGGCCACAAACAUCAGUAUGUAUGAUUUCCAACAAAUUAGUUGCUCGCUCCAUAGUUCCGGAGAAUGGCGUUUUAGUCAUCUUGCCCAUAAGGCACAGUUCGCAAGUACCAAGUGAUUCAUAAUCAAGUGAUUCCAAAAGUCCAUCAGUAUGGAGUUUCUUCAUGCGUUUUACACCGAUAUGACCCAAAAGGCAGUGCCACAAGUAAGUUGCACUAUCGUUAUCAACUCUGCAUCUUUUGGUUUCAACACUAUGAACAUGUGUAUCACUACUAUCGAGAUUUAAUAAAAAUAAACCACUCUUCAAGGGUGCAUGACCAUAAAAGAUAUUACUCAUAUAAAUAGAACAACCAUUAUUCUUUGAUUUAAAUGAAUAACCGUCUCGCAUCAAACAAGAUCCAGAUAUAAUGUUCAUGCUUAACGCUGGCACCAAAUAACAAUUAUUCAGGUCUAAAACUAAUCCCGAAGGUAGAUGUAGAGGUAGCGUGCCGACCGCGAUCACAUCGACUUUGGAACCGUUUCCCACGCGCAUCGUCACCUCGUCCUUGGCCAGUGCUCGCUUAUUCCGUAGUCCCUAUUUCGAGUUGCAAAUAUUAGCAACAGAACCAGUAUCAAAUUCCCAGGUGCUACUACGAGCUCUAGUUAGGUACACAUCAAUAACAUGUAUAUCACAUGUAGCUUUGUUUACUUUGCCAUCCUUCUUAUCCGCCAAAUACUUGGGGCAGUUCCGCUUCCAGUGACCAGUCUGCUUGCAGUAGAAGCACUCAGUUUCAGGCUUAGGUCCAGACUUGGGUUUCUUCUCUUGAGCAGCAACUUGCUUGCUGUUCUUCUUGAAGUUCCCCUUCUUCUUCCCUUUGCCCUUUUUCUUGAAACUAGUGGUCUUGUUGACCAUCAACACUUGAUGCUCCUUCUUGAUUUCUACCUCCGCAGCUUUUAGCAUUGCGAAGAGCUCGGGAAUAGUCUUGUUCAUCCCUUGCAUAUUAUAGUUCAUCACAAAGCUCUUGUAUCUUGGUGGCAGUGAUUGGAGAACUCUGUCAAUGACGCUAUCAUCCGGAAGAUUAACUCCCAGUUGAAUCAAGUGAUUAUUAUACCCAGACAUUUUGAGUAUAUGCUCACUGACAGAACUAUUCUCCUCCAUCUUGCAGCUGUAGAACUUAUUGGAGACUUCAUAUCUCUCAAUCCGGGCAUUUGCUUGAAAUAUUAACUUCAACUCCUGGAACAUCUCAUAUGCUCCAUGACGUUCAAAACGUCGUUGAAGGCCCGGUUCUAAGCCGUAAAGCAUGGCACACUGAACUAUAGAGUAGUCAUCAGCUUUGCUCUGCCAGACGUUCUUAACGUCGUCAGUUGCAUCAGCAGCAAGCCUGGCACCCAGCGGUGCUUCCAGGACGUAACUUUUCUGUGCAGCAAUGAGGAUAAUCCUCAGGUUACGGACCCAGUCCGUGUAAUUGCUACCAUCAUCUUUCAACUUUUCUUUCUCAAGGAACGCAUUAAAAUUCAACGGAACAACAGCACGAGCCAUCUAUCUACAAACAAACAUAGACAAGCAAAAUACUAUCAGGUACUAAGUUCAUGAUAAAUUUUAAGUUCAAUUAAUCAUAUUACUUAAGAACUCCCACUUAGACAGACAUCUCUCUAGUCAUCUAAGUGAUUACGUGAUCCAAAUCAACUAAACCAUAACCGAUCAUCAUGUGAGAUGGAGUAGUUUUCACUGGUGAACAUCACUAUGUUGAUCAUAUCUACUAUAUGAUUCAUGCUCGACCUUUCGGUCUCCGUGUUCCGAGGCCAUAUCUGCAUAUGCUAGGCUCGUCAAGUUUAACCUGAGUAUUCUGCGUGUGCAAAACUGGCUUGUACCCGUUGUAGAUGGACGUAGAGCUUAUCACACCCUAUCAUCACGUGGUGUCUGGGCACGACAAACUUUGGCAAUGGUGCAUACUCAGGGAGAACACUUCUUGAUAAUUUUUGUGAGAGAUCAUCUUAAAAUGCUACCGUCAAUCAAAGCAAGAUAAGAUGCAUAAAGGAUAAACAUCACAUGCAAUCAAUAUAAGUGAUAUGAUAUGGCCCUCAUCAUCUUGUGCUUGUGAUCUCCAUCUUUGAAGCACCAUCGUGAUCACCAUCGUCACCGGCGCGACACCUUGAUCUCCAUCGUAGCAUCGUUGUCGUUACGCCAUCUAUUGCUUCUACGACUAUCUAUACCGCUUAGUGAUAAAGUAAAGCAAUUACAGGGUGUUUGCAUUUCAUACAAUAAAGCGACAACCAUAUGGCUCCUGCCAGUUGCCGAUAACUUCGGUUACAAAACAUGAUCAUCUCAUACAAUAAAAUAUAUCAUCACGUCUUGACCAUAUCACAUCACAACAUGCCCUGAAAAACAAGUUAGACGUCCUCUACUUUGUUGUUGCAAGUUUUACGUGGCUGCUAUGGGCUUAGCAAGAACUGUUCUUACCUACGCAUCAAAACCACAACGAUAGUUCGUCAAGUUGGUGCUGUUUUAACCUUCGCAAGGACCGGGCGUAGCCACACUCGAUUCAGCUAAAGUGAGAGAGACAGACACCCGCCAGCCACCUUUAAGCACGAGUGCUCGUAACGGUGAAACCAGUCUCACGUAAGCGUACGCGUAAUGUCGGUCCGGGCCGCUUCAUCUCACAAUACCGCCGAACCAAAGUAUGAAAUGCUGGUAAGCAGUAUGACUUGUAUCGCCCACAACUCACUUGUGUUCUACUCGUGCAUAUAACAUCAACGCAUAAAACCUAGGCUCGGAUGCCACUGUUGGGAAACGUAGUAAUUUCAAAAUUUUCCUACGCACACGCAAGAUCAUGGUGAUGGCAUAGCAACGAGAGAGGAGAGUGUUCGUCCAUGUACCCUCGUAGACCGUAAGCGGAAGCGUUAGCACAACGCGGUUGAUGUAGUUGUACGUCUUCACGAUCCGACCGAUCCAAGCACCGAACGUACGGGGCCUCCGAGUUCAGCACACGUUCAGCUCGAUGACGAUCUCCGGCCUCCGAUCCAGUGAAGCUCCGGAGAUGAGUUCCGUCAGCACGACGGCGUGGUGACGAUGAUGAUGUUCUACCGGCACAGGGCUUCGCCUAAACUCCGCGACAAUAUGACCGAGGUGGAAUAUGGUGGAGGGGGGGCACCGCACACGGCUAAGGAACGAUCCGUAGAUCAACUUGUGUGUCUAUGGGGUGCCCCCCGCCCCUGUAUAUAAAGGAGCAAGGGGGAGAGGCCGGCCGGCCCCUUGGGCGCGCCAAGGGAGGAGGAAUCCUCCUCCUAGUAGGAGUAGGACUCCUCCUUUCCUACUCCUACUAGGAGGGGGAAGGAAGGAGGAGAGGGGGAAGGAAAGGGGGGGCGCCGCCCCCCUCGUAGUCCAAUUCGGACCAGAGGGGGGGAGGGGGCGUGCGGCCCAUGCUGGCCGCCCCUCUCUCCUUUCCCCUAAGGCCCAUAAGGCCCAAUACUCUCCCGGGGGGUUCCGGUAACCCCCGGCACUCCGGUUUUCUCCGAAAUCACCCGGAACAAUUCCGGUGUCCGAAUAUAGUCGUCCAAUAUAUCAAUCUUUAUGUCUCGACCAUUUCGAGAUUCCUCGUCAUGUCCGUGAUGACAUCCGGGACUCCGAACAAACUUCGGUACAUCAAAAGAUAUAAACUCAUAAUAAAACUGUCAUCGUAACGUUAAGCGUGCGGACCCUACAGGUUCGAGAACUAUGUAGACAUGACCUAGAACCAUUCUCGGUCAAUAACCAAUAGCGGGACCUGGAUGCCCAUAUUGGUUCCUACAUAUUCUACGAAGAUCUUUAUCGGUCAAACCGCAUAACAACAUACGUUGUUCCCUUUGUCAUGGGUACGUUACUUGCCCGAGAUUUGAUCGUCGGUAUCCAAUACCUAGUUCAAUCUCGUUACUGGCAAGUCUCUUUACUCGUUCCGUAAUAUAUCAUCUCAUAACUAACUUAUUAGUUACAAUGCUUGCAAGGCUUAGGUGAUGAGUAUUACCGAGAGGGCCCAGAGAUACCUCUCCGACAAUCGGAGUGACAAAACCUAAUCUCGAAUUAUGCCAACUCAACAUGUACCUUCGGAAACACCUGUAGAGCACCUUUAUAAUCACCCAGUUACGUUGUGACGUUUGGUAGCACACAAAGUGUUCUUCCGGUAAACGGGAGUUGCACAAUCUCAUAGUUGCAGGAACUUGUAUAAGUCAUGAAGAAAGCAAUAGCAGUAUACUAAACGAUCAAGUGCUAGGCUAACGGAAUGGGUCAUGUCAAUCACAUCAUUCUCCUAAUGAUGUGAUCCCGUCAAUCAAAUGACAACUCUUUUGUCCAUGGUUAGGAAACAUAACCAUCUUUGAUAAACGAGCUAGUCAAGUAGAGGCAUACUACUGACACUAUGUUUGUCUAUGUAUUCACACAUGUAUCAUGUUUCCGGUUAAUAUAAUUCUAGCAUGAAUAAUAAACAUUUAUCAUGAUAUGAGGAAAUAAAUAAUAACUUUAUUAUUGCCUCUAGGGCAUAUUUCCUUCAGUUACCGGAGUCCUGUUAGCCCAGUGUUACAGCCCGGAUGUAUACGUUGAUGACCGACAUGCUCGAUGUGACUCAUGUAUGCCUGUCCCCAUAGGUUAGCGCCGCUUUGGGUUCAUGACUAGCCAUGUCAGCCCGGGUUCUCUGUCAUAUGGAUGCUAGCGACACUAUCAUAUACGUGAGCCAAAAGGCGCAAACAGUCCCGGCCAUGGUAAGGCGACACCCGUGGGAUUACCGUGCGUGAGGCCGCAAAGUGAUAUGAGGUGUUACCGGCUAGAUCAAUGUGACUUGGAAUCAUGGUCCAGACAGCAUUGGCAUCAGAGCCGGACUGCCUGUAGGUUCCUAAGCCAAACUGGUCGAUGUCGAGUCUAGAAAUGCUUUAGUUAUAUGUAGGGGAAUUUAUUGUGGGAGGAAACGUAAGGCUCUUUUUACCCCUUUACCUUAUGCCCUCUGAUCUGUGUCAUCCUCUUCUCAUUCUACGUGGGUUAAGGACUAGGCUCUCUUCUCUCUAUCAGGUUCACGUGUUACUAAUCCGUAGUAACUUAUAGGAUUGUUGGUUACCAGUCUCAGUACAGUUCCUACUACUUUAGUAUGUUAUCAGUUGAACCUGAACCUUGAUAUGAUGUUGUUGAGUGGUUUUGCAAUCCGUUGUGAAUGUCUCAAAUCUGCUCCUGAGCAUUUACAGCUGUUAUGUUGUCCAAUUUUCCCUAGGAAUUCUAAUGUCUUUGCAUUGUGGUUGUGCUUUCAGAUGGCCACUCGCGCUCAGAACCAAGUGGUUCGCCUGACGCGGUGCCUCAAUGUGCCCGGUCAUACUGCUAUGUUAGUCCGGGUCAUGAUCGAGACAGGUUACCGUUGGUAUCCCGAAUACAUUGCCGAAGAGCAAUUCCAAGACUUUAAUCAAAGCCAAUACUUCUGCACUGUCAGGAUAUUUCCUUCAUAUCCUGGAUCCACCGAGCCCCUUCACUGCUCCUAUGGACUCGGGGUCACCAUUGAGAUGGCUGUACAGGAUGCGGCCUAUUCUAUGAUGACCAUCAUGCGAGUCAGGACUGGUCUGCUUCGGAACACCGACUUCCGUUAUAUGCCAGCAUCGCUCCCAGGAGCGCAAGGGUAUCUCCAGGCUAUCUAUGCUGAUUCCACCCAUGAGGACUCACUAACUCGCACCAUUGCGGAGAUGCUCGAGGAUAAGGACCGAGAGAAUCAGGCCUUGAGGUUGGAGCUUUUCAACACCUGCGCCGAUCAUUGGGCCACUUUGACUCGGUUUGCACCGGCUGUGCAAGCUGGAUGUAUGGAUAUGAGGGAUCUGUUUCCUGUGAGAUCUGCUCUGCCAGACAUGGUGGAUUGGCGUGAUGUGGGAGGCAUCAUCCCACCCCGUGGUCCCCGUAGGCCAUCGUUUGUUGGUCCAAGACCUCAUCCUAGCCCCUAUGGUCCACAGGCUCCUCAGGACCGUCUGUUCCCGGAUGAUCACGUUGAGCUUCCAAGCUAUGGAGGGGACUUCUAUGAGGACUACUACGGAGCUGUCUGAGUUAGUAGUAGUAUCUUUAGUAUUGUAAUAGUUGUAAUUCCAUCGUCCUGCGUGACCUGUGGAAUAUGACUUAGUGUGUAUCAGUUCCGGAGGUGUAGAAAAAUAAUGUAUCGGAGCUUGGAAUGCCUCCGAUGAGAUGUAACUUCUUCCACCGUAGUUGUACUAUAGUCGGGCUUGUACUAAACUAUGUAUGGUGUGUAUGACUGUUGGUGCAUAUAUGGCAGUUUCUGUAUUACCAUGUCAUACAGAUGAACAUCUCUGCAUUCCUUGUUAUCCAUUACAUUCUGCACUUCCUUGUCCAGAUUUGCCAUCCUUGUCUAAAGCGAUGUCUUGUUUUCCUAGGAUGGUCAACACCCGUAACAACCCUGCUACUCCGGAGCAGGGUGAAGCCAGUGCAGCUAGGAAUGAAAAUCUGCCUCAACCACCUUCUCUGGUCGAAGUUAUGCUGGAGGCAGAGCGAAAUAAGCGUGAGACCAAUCGCUUGCUGGAGCGGAUUGAGCAGAAUACCGCACGCCAGCCGAGGAACGACCUGGUGUCACUUAAUGACUUUGUCAAGCUGUAUCCACCGAAGUUUAAACAUUCCGUCGAGCCCCUUGAUGCGGAUGAAUGGCUUCGCAGCAUUACCCACAAGCUACGUUCUGUCAAUGUGGCCGAAGCUGAUAAGGUUAACUUUGCUACCUAUCACCUCGAAGGCCCUGCUAGCCUUUGGUGGGAAAACUUUGAGGCUAUGCGCCCGGUCGGCCAAAUUACUACUUGGGCUGAAUUCAGUAUGGAGCAUCACAUUCCGGAAGGUCUUAUGGAUCGCAAGCGUGAAGAGUUCUGCAACUUCACCCAGGGUAGACUGACUGUGGAUGCAUACAGUCGCGAGUUUGGAUAUCUAGCACGAUAUGCUCCUAAAGAGGUAUCCACCGACGCCAAGAAGCAGGCAAGGUUCCGCAAGGGACUUAGCCCCGAGCUUCGUCGUGAUCUUCGUCUGCACGAGUGCACCUCCUUCCAGAAGUUAGUCAACAAGGCCAUCAGUGCUGAGACAGGGCAGUCGGACUUUGAAGCUUCACGCAAGCACUCCCGUGACUUUGGACUUCAUCCGGCUGUGCAUCUCAGAAGCGCCGGGUCUGGAUUCCAAGCACUGCUCUGCCACCCAGGUUCACCCCGAGGCCAUCCUUUGACGCGCCUCGCCCCAACCAAUAGUAUACACCGCCCAAGGCCUAUGGUGGCCCCACUGCUAAUGCUACUCCAUGCCCCAAUGUGAUAACUUGUUUCAAGUGUGGGGAGACGGGUCACUACAUUCGUGAGUGUCCCCAAAACAACCCCAACCAGAUUGGAAAGUCUGUUGGCCGUGGCAAGCCAGCAGGAAAGGUGCUCUACGCCAAGCCAGCCACCACUGCCCGUGGCCAUGUCAACUAUGUCUCAGCAGAGGAGACUCAUGAGGAUCCCAACGUCGUUCUCGGUACGCUUCUUGUUAAUUGCCACCCGGCAACCAUUCUCUUUGAUACUGGAGCAUCUCAUUCAUUUAUAUCUGAAAGCUAUGCUCGAUUGCACAACACCACAUUUUGUGACAUGCCCACCUCCAUGGUAAUUCAAACCCCUGGUUCUAAGUGGCAAACCUCUAAAAUCAGCCAUGGAAAUGAAAUCCUUGUCGACAGAUUAGUCUUCCUUGCAUCACUAAUAGCUCUCAAGUCCUCGGACAUAAACAUCAUCUUGGGUAUGGACUGGAUGUCAGCCCAUUACGCUAAGAUCGAUUGCUCCACUAGAACUGUUCAACUCACCCACCCUUCGGGCAAGACAGCCAAUGUUUUGACCCGAGUGUCUAAGCGUCAGCUUUACUCUUUAAAUGCCAACCCCCUUCCAGACCUUGAAGAUAUUCCGGUAGUCCGUGACUUCCCGGAUGUCUUUCCAGAGGAACUGUCAGGUGUUCCACCUAACAGAGAUGUCAAGUUCGUGAUAGACCUUGUUCCAGGAACCAUGCCAACAUCUAGGAGACCUUAUAAGAUGGCACCCCUAGAACUAGCUGAGCUUAAGAAACAACUCGAUGAGUCCUUGCAAAAGGGUUUCAUCCAUCCUAGCUCUUCUCCAUGGGCUUGCCCCGUCCUUUUCGUCAAGAAGAAGGAUGGAACGGAUCGGAUGGUUGUAGAUUACCGGCCAGUCAACUUGGUCACUAUCAAGAACAAGUAUCCGCUCCCCAAGAUCAACGACCUGUAUGAUCAGCUCGCUGGAUCCUCAGUCUUUUCUAAAAUGGAUUUGAGGUUGGGCUACCAUCAAAUCAAAAUUAAGAACGGGGACAUUCCUAAAACGGCCUUUGUUACUCGAUAUGGCCAAUACGAGUACACCGUCAUGUCCUUCGGUCUAACCAAUGCCCCAGCCACCUUCUCUCGGUUAUUGAACUCGAUCUUCAUGGAGUAUUUUGAUAAAUUCGUCGUGGUUUACCUUGAUGAUAUACUCAUCUACUCCAAGAAUGAAGAAGAACAUGCCGAACAUCUAAGGCUAGUGUUGAUGAAACUUUGAGAGCAUUGUCUUUAUGCCAAAUUCUCUAGGUGUGAGUUUUGGUUGCCAGAAGUAACCUAUCUAGGACAUGUAAUCUCUGGUAAGGGCAUUGCUGUCAAUCCCAAGCGAGUUCAAGCCAUCCUUGACUGGACUCCACCUGAAACGGUCAAGCAAGUUCAGAGUUUUGUUGGUUUAGCGAGCUAUUGCCGCUGCUUCAUCGAGAAUUUCUCCAAGGUUGCUAAGCCUCUAACCGAACUCCUCAAGAAAGAUAAAAAGUUCGAAUGGACGCCAUAGUGCGAGUUCAGUUUUCAGGAACUGAAAAGACGCCUGACAUCUGCUCCUGUACUUGUUCCACCAGAUUUCUCUAAGGACUUCGUUAUCUACUGCGACGCCUCGCGACAAGGACUAGGUUGCAUACUCAUGCAAGAUCGUCAUGUGAUUGCCUACGCUUCUCGACAGCUGCGUCCACAUGAGGAUAACUAUCCCACACAUGAUCUACAGCUUGCAGCAGUGGUCCAUGCACUCAAAACCUGGCGACAUUACCUUCUCGGUAAUCGUUGCGAGAUUUACACCGAUCACCAAAGUCUGAAAUACAUCUUCACCAAACCGGAUUUGAAUCUCAGACAAAGACGUUGGGUCGAGUUGAUUACGGAUUACGAUCUAGGAAUAACCUACACCCCAGGAAAAGCCAAUGUCAUGGCUGAUGCAUUAAGCCGUAAAUCUUAUUGUAACAACCUGAUGUUACAACAAAGCCAACCAUUUCUCCACGAGGAAUUUCGUAAGCUUAACCUUCACAUCGUUCCUCGAGGUUUUCUUUCCACCCUGGUGGCGAAACCUACCCUUACGGAUCAGAUCAUCAAGGCACAGAAGGUAGAUCCGGGAAUAUCCCGUAUCAAGAGAAACAUCAAAAGGGAGUUGGACUGUUUCUCCAUAGAUGAUCAAGGUGUUGUGUUCUUUGGAGGCCAUCUAGUGGUUCCCAAGGUAUGCAACCUGAGGCGAUUGAUCCUUAAGGAAGCUCAUGAAUCCCCUCUCACUAUUCAUCCCAGUAGUACUAAAAUGUAUCAAGACCUACGCCAGAGGUUUUGGUGGACUAGGAUGAAGAGAGAAAUCGCUCAAUACAUUACCAAUUGCGACGUCUGUCGUCGAGUUAAAGAAGAGCAUCAACGACCUGCUGGCACCCUGCAACCUUUGGAAAUUCCCGAAUGGAAAUGGGAUAAAAUCGGUAUGGAUUUCAUUACCGGGUUUCCCAGGACCAAGAGGGGGAAUAAUGCUAUCUUCGUUGUUGUCGAUCGUCUUUCCAAAGUAGCCCACUUCCUACACGUUCGUGAGAGUUUAACCGCUAGCCAGCUAGCUGACUUAUACAUCUCCCGAAUAGUGUCUCUUCAUGGUGUUCCAUUGGAGACUAACUCAGACCGUGGAAGUCUCUUCACCUCUCGAUUUCGGGAAAGUUUCCAAAAUGCGAUGGGAACUCGUCUUUCUUUUAGCACCGCUUUCCAUCCUCAAUCAAGUGGUCAAGUAGAACGAGUCAAUCAAAUUCUAGAGGAUAUGCUUCGAGCUUCUGUCAUCUCUUUUGGUAUGAAUUGGGAGAAGUGCCUUCCAUUCGCUGAGUUCGCUUAUAACAAUAGUUAUCAAGCUAGCUUGGACAAAGCUCCUUUCAAAGUUCUCUAUGGAUGAAAAUGUCGAACACCUCUUAACUGGUCAGAAACCGGGUAAAGACAACUCUUUGGCCCGGAUAUGAUCCAGGAAGCAGAGGAGCAGGUUCACGUUAUUCGUGAGAAAUUGAAAACAGCCCAAUCUCAUCAAAAGAGCCAAUAUGACCGCAAACAUACACUAGUAGAAAAGGGGCCAAUGGUCCAGGCCGGUCCAGCCCAUUAGUCCCGGUUCAAUCCAGAACCGGGACCAAUGGGGGCAUUGGACCCGGUUCGUGAGCCCUGGGGGCCGGCCGGGCCACGUGGGCCAUUGGUCCCGGUUCGUCCUGACCUUUCGGUCCCGGUUGGUGGGACGAACCGGGACCAAUGGGCCUCGCUCCUGGCCCACCAACAUUGGUCCCGGUUGGUGGCUUGAACCGGGACCAAAGGCGUCCCUUUAGUCCCGGUUCAAGUCACCAACCGGGACCAAUUAGUUGCCUAUAUAUACCCCUCGCCUGCGAGCAGAGCACUCCCAGUGCUCUGUUUUUCGUGGCUGGCGAGGGGAGAGCUUUGUGGUGCUCUAGCUCACGUCCUAUGCACACAAGGUGUUCGAUGGAAUGCCCGAGCCACACUACUUAAGCUUUCUCCUCUCCAAGCUCGACCUCCAAGCUCCAUUUUCCUUCAUAUUUGUCUAGGUUUAGCGGUUCGUCACGUCCCGUCCCCAUCUUCACCACCGUUGAUCGCCCGCGCCGAUCUCGUCGCCGGCACCACCGUGGUGAGCCUCUUGUUCUUAUCUUCUUUCUGAAAGGAAAAAAAAUUCUUACUUGUAUGUUUAUAUAGAUACUUGUAUAAUUUUCUUACUUUUAUUAUUGCAUCUUAUAUAGUGCGAUGGUUUUGGUAUCCGCCCCCGUCGGCCCUCGUCCUGUCUAUGAUUCAGAUGUGGUAUAUAUAUAUUAUCUUUUCAUAACUAGUGGUUCAUUUAUUGUUUAUGACAAUUAUGCCGACCAACGUGACAUAGAUUUUAUUUAUCUAGGAGGUUGUUGAACCGGAAAUUCCAACCGACCCUAUUGUCGAGAGGUUAAAUUUAGUUGAAGAAAACAAUUUGUUGAAGGGAAAAAUUAGAAAAAUUGAGGAGGAGAAGAUGAUAUUGGAGUUGCAUGUUGCGGAUGUCAUCGAUGAUCACAAGAUCAAGAUGGAUGCAAUGCGCUUGAAGAUUAGAAAGAUUAGAAAAUAUGCCAUUCAUACCGAGGCUUGGUAUCAUUAUGUCGUUGGAUCAGUUGUUACAUUGGUUGCGAUUAUGAUCGUAUUUGUUUUCGCAUUGAAAUGUUUUACAUAGUUUCAGUGUAUGGUUUAAUUAAUUUAGAUGCCCUGCAGAGCUUUAUGUUGUUAGAUGAGAACUAUGUAUGUACUUUGGUUUUAAUGUGAUGAUGAACUUCUAUUAAUUUCGUCACUUAAUUAUCUAUUCAUGAUGUUCUGUAAUGAUUUUUGACACACUUAAUUAUAUAUAAUGCACGCAGAUGAACCGGCAAUGGAUGUACGGUUCAAGACACACCUCCGAGUACAUUAAGGGCGUGCAUGAUUUUCUCGAAGUGCCUGAGGCAACAAGAAGAAUGGUUUUAUGUGUUGUCCAUGCCCUAUAUGUGGGAAUACGAAGUCUUACUCUGACUGGAAAAUCCUCCACACCCACCUUCUUUACAAGGGUUUCAUGCCACACUAUAAUGUUUGGACGAGGCACGGAGAAAUAGGGGUUAUGAUGGAAGACGGCGAAGAAGAAGAGUACGAUGACAACUAUGUGCCCCCUGAAUACGGUGAUGCUACUGAAGAUCAAGAGGAACCAGACGAUGUGCCCGAUGAUGAUGAUCUCCGCCGGGUCAUUGUCGAUGCAAGGACGCAAUGCGAAAGUCAAAAGGAGAAGCUGAAGUUCGAUCGCAUGUUAGAGGACCACAAAAAAGGGUUGUACCCCAAUUGUGAAGAUGGCAACACAAAGCUCGGUACCGUACUGGAAUUGCUGCAGUGGAAGGCAGAGAAUGUUGUGCCUGACAAAGGAUUUGAGAAGCUACUGAAAAUAUUGAAGAAGAAGCUUCCAAAGGAUAACGAAUUGCCCGACAGUACAUACACAGCAAAGAAGUUCGUAUGCCCUCUAGGAUUGGAGGUGCAGAAGAUACAUGCAUGCCCUAAUGACUGCAUCCUCUACCGCGGUGCGUACAAGGAUCUGAACGCAUGCCCGGUAUGCGGUGCAUUACGGUAUAAGAUCAGACGAGAUGACCCUGGUGAUGUUGACGGCGAGCCCCCCAGGAAGAGGGUUCCUGCGAAGGUGAUGUGGUAUGCUCCCAUAAUACCACGGUUGAAACGUCUGUUCAGAAACGGAGAGCAUGCCAAGUUGAUGCGAUGGCACAGUGAGGACCGUAAGAAAGACGGGAAGUUGAGAGCACCCGCUGACGGGUCGCAGUGGAGAAAAAUCGAGGGAAAGUACUGGGAUGAGUUUGCAAGUGAGCCAAGGAACGUAUGGUUUGCUUUAAGCGCGGAUGGCAUUAAUCCUUUCGGGGAGCAGAGCAGCAAUCACAGCACCUGGCCCGUGACUCUAUGUAUGUAUAACCUUCCUCCUUUGAUGUGCAUGAAGCAGAAGUUCAUUAUGAUGCCAGUUCUCAUCCAAGGCCCUAAGCAACCCGGCGACGACAUUGAUGUGUACCUAAGGCCAUUAGUUGAAGAACUUUUAUAGCUGUGGAAUGGAAAUAGUGUACGUACGUGGGAUGAGCACAAACAGGAGGAAUUUAACCUAAAGGCGUUGCUGUUCGUGACCAUCAACAAUUGGCCCGCUCUCAGUAACCUUUCAGGACAGACAAACAAGGGAUACCACGCAUGCACGCACUGUUUACUUGACACCGAUAGUAUAUACCUAGCAAGUUGUAGGAAGAAUGUGUACCUGGGCCAUCAUCGAUUUCUUUCGACCAACCAUCAAUGUUGAAAGAAAGGCAAGCAUUUCAAAGGCGAGGCAGAUCACCGGAAGAAGCCCUCCAUGCGUACUGGUAUCACGUACUUGCUAUGGUAGUGAUUUACACGUAAUCUUUGGAAAGUGUCCCGGCGGACUAGCUGUUCCGAAUGACGCUGAGAAUCACGCACCCAUGUGGAAGAAGAAAUCUAUAUUUUGGGACCUACCCUACUAGAAAGACCUAGAGGUCCGCUCUUCGAUCGACGUGAUGCACGUGACGAAGAACCUUUGCGUGAACCUGCUAGGCUUCUUGGGCAUGUAUGGGAAGACAAAAGAUACAACUGAGGCACGGGAGGACCUGCAACGCUUGCACGAAAAAGUGGGCAUGCCUCCGAAGCAGUAUGAAGGUCCUGCCAGCUACGCUCUUACGAAAGAAGAGAAAUAAAUCUUCUUUGAAUGCCUGCUCAGUAUGAAGGUCCCGACUGGCUUCUCUUCGAAUAUAAAGGGAAUAAUAAAUAUGCCAGACAAAAAGUUCUAGAACCUAAAGUCUCAUGACUGCCACGUGAUUAUGACGCAACUGCUUCCGGUUGCAUUGAGGGGGCUUCUACCGGAAAACGUCCGAUUAGCCAUUGUGAACCUAUGUGCAUUCCUCAAUGCAAUCUCUCAGAAGGUGAUCGAUCCAGAAAUCAUACCAAGGCUAAGGACUGAUGUGGUGCAAUGUCUUGUCAGUUUCGAGCUGGUGUUCCCACCAUCCUUCUUCAAUAUCAUGACGCACGUCCUAGUUCAUCUAGUUGACGAGAUUGUCAUUCUGGGCCCCGUAUUUCUACACAAUAUGUACUUCUUUGAGAGGUUCAUGGGAGUCCUAAAGAAAUAUGUCUGUAACCGCGCUAGGCCAAAAGGAAGCAUCUCCAUGGGCUAUCAAACAGAGGAUGUCAUCGGGUUUUGUGUUGACUUCAUUCCUGGCCUUAAGAAUAUAGGUCUCCCUAAAUCGCGGUAUGAGGGGAGACUGACUGGAAAAGGCACGCUUGGAAGGGACUCAAUUAUAUGCAGGGACGGAUAUUCUUGGUCUCAAGCACACUACACAGUUCUACAGAACUCUACCUUGGUGACCCCGUAUGUCGAUGAACACAAGAACAGUCUGCGCUCCAAACACCCGGAGCAGUGCGACGACUAGAUUACAUGUGAACACAUCAGGACUUUCAGUAGUUGGUUGGAAGCACAUAUCAGAGGUGACAACACUGUUUGUGAUGAGUUGUACUUGUUGUCCAGGGGACCAUCUUUGACUGUAUUGAUUUGGAAAGGAUACGAGAUAAAUGGGAAUACAUUUUACACGAUUGACCAAGAUCAAAAGAGCACCAACCAAAACAGCGGUGUCCGCUUUGAUGAAACAACCGAGAGGGGAAAGGACACAUAUUGUGGUUACAUAGUGGACAUAUGGGAACUUGACUACGGACACGAUUUUAAGGUCCCUUUGUUUAAGUGCAAAUGGGUCAAUCUGUCAGGUGGCAGGGUACAGGUAGACCCACAGUACGGAAUGACAAUAGUGGAUCUGGAAAAUCUUGGAUACACUGACGAACUGUUCGUCCUAGCCAAUGAUGUGGCACAGGUUAUCUAUGUGAAGGACAUGUCUACCAGACCAAGAAAGAGAAAAGAUAAGGAAGCGAAUACAUCAUACGAUGAGCCAAAGUGCCACAUAGUUCUUUCAGGAAAAAGGGACAUCGUGGGAGUGGAGGACAAGACAGACAUGUCUGAAGAUUAUGAAAAGUUUCAUGAAAUUCCUCCCUUUAAUGUCAAGGCUGACCCCAGCAUCCUGAUAGACGAUGAAGAUUAUCCAUGGUUACGGCGCAAUAAGCAAAUGACACAAGCGAAGAAAAAGUGAAGACUUUCUCCCGCAACUAUUAUGAUGAUACCAUGCCAAAUUUGUAACUGACGAGUAUGAUACCAUUGUCCGUUUUGUACAUGCACAUGCUAUGUGGGUCAAUUUAUGAUACCAUGCCAACUUUCAACUUUUUCAGAGUUCAUUUGAAAUGCUUUAAUGUCUUAUGGUUCGGCCCUCGUAAUGAUUAAAAAUAGCAACAAUAAGUAUUUUGUUGUAAGUAGAAACAAAAUAAAAUAAAUAAAGCAAGAAAGAAAACAAAAAAAACAAAAAAAGUGUUUUCAAAUUUGAAAACUAAUGGUACUAACAGAAAGUUUAUAAUUUUCCUAAAACUAAAAGCAAAAAGAAUUGAAAAAUAAAGCAAAAAACAAAAGACAAUAAAUAAUGCAGAAAUCAAAACAAAAAACAACAAUAAGUAUUUUGUUGUAUGUAGAAACAAAACAAAAUAAAUAAAGCAAGAAAGAAAACAAAAAAACAAAAAAAGUGUUUUCAAAUUUGAAAACUAGGGCACUAACAGAAAGUUUAUAAUUUUCCUAAAACUAAAAGCAAAAAGAAUUAAAAAAUAAAGCAAAAAACAAAAGAAAAUAAAUAAUGCGGAAAACAAAACAAAAAAACUGGAAAAAAAAUAAAAUAGCAAAAAUAAGUAAAGAAAACAAAAAAAUGCCUCCUACUGGGCCCCCACGGCCUGAAUACGACUAGAAACCCUACUAUGGGCCAGGAUUCAGGCCCGCAGUAGGCCCAGAAGGCCCAUCAGGCAAAGCAAUAGCAAGUAGGCCCGAAAGCCUGCGGUGGAGAGGAGCUCGAGAGGGGUGCGGCAGUGGGGCUUAUAAACCACUGCACGCCCCUCUCAACUAGCGAGGUGGGACUAAACUUUGGCCCCGACGCGGGAAGCACAGGGGCCUUUGGUCCCGGUUGGUGGCACCAACCGGGACUAAAGGGGGGGGCAUUGGUACCGGUUCGUGGCACCAACCGGUACCAAAGGCCGCCGCUUCCCGCCCUUUGGGCUGCCGAAAAGGAGGCCUUUGGUCCUAGUUGGUGGCACUAACCGGGACUAAAGGGUGCAUUAGUCCCGGUUGAUUUCACGAACCGGGACCAAUGCCUUUGCUAUAUAAGCAAACACUUUGCAAAAUUUCAGAAUCCCAUCGCCAGUUGCCCCCGACGACGCCGACCCUCCUCGACGCUGCCAGGCUGCUCCACCUCGCCGUCGUCGCCGCCACCGCCAAGCCGUCGCCUCCCCGAGCCCGCGCCAUCCUCGUCGCCGGCCUCCCUGAGCCCGCGCCGUCCUCGUCGCCGGUCUCCUCGAGCCCGCUCCCCGUCCCGCCCCCGCGCGCCGCCGCCCCGAGCCCCUGCCCCGUCCUGCCCCCAUGCGCNNNNNNNNNNNNNNNNNNNNNNNNNNNNNNNNNNNNNNNNNNNNNNNNNNNNNNNNNNNNNNNNNNNNNNNNNNNNNNNNNNNNNNNNNNNNNNNNNNNNNNNNNNNNNNNNNNNNNNNNNNNNNNNNNNNNNNNNNNNNNNNNNNNNNNNNNNNNNNNNNNNNNNNNNNNNNNNNNNNNNNNNNNNNNNNNNNNNNNNNNNNNNNNNNNNNNNNNNNNNNNNNNNNNNNNNNNNNNNNNNNNNNNNNNNNNNNNNNNNNNNNNNNNNNNNNNNNNNNNNNNNNNNNNNNNNNNNNNNNNNNNNNNNNNNNNNNNNNNNNNNNNNNNNNNNNNNNNNNNNNNNNNNNNNNNNNNNNNNNNNNNNNNNNNNNNNNNNNNNNNNNNNNNNNNNNNNNNNNNNNNNNNNNNNNNNNNNNNNNNNNNNNNNNNNNNNNNNNNNNNNNNNNNNNNNNNNNNNNNNNNNNNNNNNNNNNNNNNNNNNNNNNNNNNNNNNNNNNNNNNNNNNNNNNNNNNNNNNNNNNNNNNNNNNNNNNNNNNNNNNNNNNNNNNNNNNNNNNNNNNNNNNNNNNNNNNNNNNNNNNNNNNNNNNNNNNNNNNNNNNNNNNNNNNNNNNNNNNNNNNNNNNNNNNNNNNNNNNNNNNNNNNNNNNNNNNNNNNNNNNNNNNNNNNNNNNNNNNNNNNNNNNNNNNNNNNNNNNNNNNNNNNNNNNNCGCUGCAUUGGCUCUGUUUUUUUUUCAUUUUUAUUAGUUUAAUUAUUUUUUUGUUCAUAUAUAUAUAUAUAUAUAUAAUGUAUAUGUGUAUGUAUGUGGCUAUAUAUGUGUAUGUAGAUGUUCAAAAAUUAUUCAGAGCACGUUUUUAUUCAUAUAUGUAUUUUUUGUUCAUAUGUGUAUUAAUGUUUUCAUAUAUGCAAAAGAUAGAUUUUUAGAAAAGUUAGGGUUUUUUUUUCUAUUCAUAGAUUUUUUUGGUGAUAUUAAUUAUUGUAGAAUAUGCAAAUGUUUGUAUAUUCAUAUGAACAAUGCAUUAGGCAAAACCUUUGUUUUUUUUGAAAUUUUUUAUUUGAACAUUUUUUAAAAACAAGCAAUACUAAAAGAAUGAGAGGAAAAAGGAAAAUAAGAAGAGGAAGAAAGGAGAAGAAGAGGAGAGGAAGAAGAGGAGAAAUAAAUAAGAAGAGGAAAAAAGAAGAGGGGAAGAAGAAAGGAAUAGAGGAGAAGAAGAAAAAUAGAAAUUUUCUAUUUUUCUUCUUCUCCUCUAUUCCUUUCUUCUUCUCCUCUUUAUUUUCUUCUUUUUUUUCUUCUUCCUUCUUCCUCUUUUCUUCCUUUUCCUUAUUUUCCUUUCUCGAGGGAGAAGAAGAAAAAGAAGAGUAAAAGAAGAAGAAAGGAAUAGAGGAGAAAGAAGAAACUUCAACACAAGGGGGGGUUACCGAUACCCCCUCCCCGAUAACAUUAUUUUCCCAUGUAUAUGUAUGUCGCGUCAUUGUCGAUAUAACCCCCUCGAGAUAACUUCGACAUGAGGGGCGGUCGAUAUAUAUACCCCCUCUCGACCGUGAUAACUUAUACAACGGCAGCACCCCCCUCGGCCCUCUCGCUCGACCAAAACUCUUGAGGACACCCAAACCCUAGAGAGAAAACGAUGUUGGUCUCCUACCCCCUCCCGCCGCGCCCCUACCCGACAUAUUAACUCUCUCGAGGCCACCCAAAUUUACCAAGUUAAAAGAGCGUUGUCGUCGAGGCCACCCCAAACCCUUGAAGCGUUGUGUCGAGGAGACCCCAAACCCUAGAGAAGCAGCGUCGAGGCCACUAACAUGGAUCGAUCCAUCUGUAAUAAUAAUUGACAUGGUGUAAAUAUUUGCAGAAACUAUGGAGCACUCCCGAGACGAAGAAACAGAAGCGAUGUUGGGGGACAUUAUCGCACAAGGAAGUGAUGAAGUUGCGUCAUUUCUCAACGACACCGAUGGUCAGGAACGACUGGGUGAAGAAGAGGGCUAUGUUCAUGAUGGCUUCGACCCAUUAAUGCCGGUACAAGAAGAGGACUAUGUUCAUGAUGGCUCUGGUGACACAAUGGAGGUACAAGAAGGAGACCGUGCUGACUGCUCCGGUGACCGAACCGAGUCCGGCCAGGUAUAUAUAUAUAUAUUAGUUAAGCCCGUGCUGACUAGUUAAUUGAUGCAUCCAUUGUUUUGGUAUAUGUACACAUAUUAAUUACUCUCGUCUUUCUUCCUUAUAAUUUCUAGCCCUCCGGAUCGAGCACAACUUCGGUAAGAAGACGAAGCCCGAAGAAAAAGUUGAGCUCGGAUGAAAAGUUUGAGAUCAUAGAAAUCGCGCCCGACGGCGAACCGAUUGAACCCAUCCGGACAAGGAAGGCAUUUUCUGCUCAGUGCGGGGUUCUUGUUAGGGACAAGAUCCCGAUCAGCAUCCAUCAAUGGUAUAAGCCUAAGGAGGAAGACCCCGAGGUGUCUUAUGUCAAUGAUAUGCAGAAAGAAGAUCUUUGGACUGAGCUAAAGGCAAAUUUCACCCUACCGCUAGAGGAGGAUCCGGAGAAGCCAGUUAUAGAGCAAUUAAUCAAUUCUUGUGCUCUUAAGAAGAUGGCAACCCUAAUGAGGAGGUGGAGGAAAGAGGUGAACCAGUUUGUCGAGAAAGAUAAGACACCAGAAUUCAUCGGCAAAUAUGAGAAGAUCAAAGAUCACUGGCCCGCAUUUGUGGCCCACAAGACAUCGGAAAAGAGUAAGAAGAUGUCGGCAACAAACAAGAAAAAUUCUGCAAAGAAGAAGCUUCACCAUCGCACGGGGUCAGGUGGCUACCUCAAAGCCCGGCCUAAGUGGUCCAAGGCUGAGCAUGAUCUGCUUGAAAAAGGGAUCGAACCAGAGACAAUGUACUGGCCAGACCGUUGUCGGACUUGGUUCUUCGGGGCUGGCGGAACCUUGGACCCUGUAACAGGGAAGUGCCAGUGGACGGAUGAGCAACUACAAAUACCAGUCAAGAAACUUCGACACUAUAUCGAUGCAGCGUAGCGAGGGACGCUCCUUCCAAACAGGGAGAAGGACGAGCUCACAAUGGCCCUUGGGAAUCCUGAGCACCCUGGAUGGACACGAGGCACGCCAGGCUCCAUUCCAUGGAAGGUUGGUCUUCCGCACACAGGGGGUUACAAAACCCACGAGAGGAGGAAGAAACUGGAGCAGGACCAAAUGCAGGCGCUGCACGAAAGGGUAAUGGGGCUAGAGGAACGAGAAGCAGCAGAUCGCAGCAAACGACAUGCCGAAGCUUCCCCCGAAGCUACCUCGCCAUCUCAGCGGAGAAGCAGCGUGGCUUCCACCGAGCUGCUUCAGCCGGAGCAUGUCUUGACGUCUCCUGCCAGCUAUCCCGUGGAUGGUAUCACGGAGUCUCAAAGUUGCCACAUUAUGACGCAAUGUAUGAAUUUGAAGGUCAAGGCGGCUGUUGGCCAAGUUUAUCCUAGUGGACCCGGCACAACUUAUCACUGCCAGCCGAUUCCAGAAGGAUUUGCUAAGGUGAUGGUGGAUGAAAUAACGGAGGGAUUUGAGGACCUCCUGCUUGAGCACCCUACCGGUGAAGGGGAGACUAGGCUGGGUUCUGCUCUGAAGACUCCAUGCCUAUGGCGGAAGGAGCUCAUCAACCUUCCGAACUGGACGCCUCCGCCUCCUCCUCCUCCUCCGGCGAGUCAGGGCACUCCGCCUCCUCCACCGCCUCCUCCUCCGGCGAGUGAUGAUCAGGGCACACGUGGCAGCACUCCGCCUCCUUCUCCGCCUGCGCCGGCGCGCCCGAGCAGCCAGCCUCCUCCUUCUCCGCCUCGUCAGCAAGGGCGAAAGAGACCCGCCGCUGCUCCGGCUGCUCCGGCGCGUCGUAAUCCUUCUCCUCCGCCUCACAAAAAGCAAGCAAAGAAGACAUCCACUCCGUCUGCUCUGUCGGUGUCUAGCAGUACAGCCAAAGGCGGGAAGAAAUACAGAUUUGGUCCUUCUCCGAAGACUCCAGAGAAGUUACCGUACGAGAGGACCGAGGAGGAAAACGCGGAGAUCACGCAGAACGAACUGGAUGGCUGGUUUGCAGGGUUGAAAGCAAAGAGACAUCCACCUCCGGAGGAGAAGGUAGAUCCGGUGAAAGUGAAGCGCACUCUGGCUGCCCUGAGGAAACCGGCAAAGUCUCCGCCGAGAACCAACUAUGAGCGCAUUACUGAACAGACAUAUCUCCAAGCGGAGCAGUCGGGAAGUACUGUCAGACAUCAAAGAGCAAAAGAACGAGCAGCUGCGAAAAAAGUUGACCAGCUCGGCGAACAACCAAACCAAUCGUGCCCCCCGCUCAAUGUGUCUAGCGGCAACAUCGUCGCUAAUGUUCCGGGGAUCAUGGACGGUUAUGGCAAUCCACAAUAUUACCUGCCUGACGAUGCACUUCCUGAAUUCAUGAUGGUGGAAGAACGCAGAUACGAGUACGGGAAGCCUCUCAUCAAAGAUGUAAAAUCUCUAACAACGAUGAUGCGAAGAUUCCAUACUUGGUACAUGAAAACCUGCAGAGAGUCUGGGGGGACGAAUAGUUUGUAUCUACACAUUAAAGAGGAGCACGACCUCGUUGGAACUGAUCUGUUGUGUGUUCCAUUUGAGGAGUUCUUCGCGUUCUUCAAUCAAAUAGCCCUCGAUAAAUUAACGGUCUUUUGCUACUGCCUGUAAGUACUAUUUCUGUCAUUAAGUCUCUAUAUAUAGCUUGGCUUUCAUUACAUGUAUUUAUAAUUAAUUAUCCUCAAUAUAUUAUGCAGAUUGAAGAUCGUCGAGUGCAAAAAAAUGAAAUCUAUGAUAUUGGGUUCAUUAACACAAAUAUCAUAGAUGUAUUUCUGGUUGAAAAGCACAUCGAAGAGGCCGAGGACAACUUGCUACGAUCAUUGAUCAAAAAUCAAAACAAAGAUACCAUACUCUUUCCUUACAACACCAAGUGAGUGUUACUGAUCAUUUGCAUAUUCGGUUUCCCUUAUUACUCGAGCGAGGUUAUAGUAAUGUAAUUGAUGAGUUAUGCAUGUGUGCGCAGGUACCACUAUAUUCUUCUGGAGAUUAAGCUUGAGCGUGGACUAGUAACCGUCUUAGACUCGAGACGGAAAGAUCCCAGCACCUAUGCGGACAUGACUGAAAUGCUCAGCAAGUAAGUUCAAUCGAUCAUUAUCGCACCAUAGCGGCAACUUUUUGUUCAUUUCCUGAUAUCUCAAGUAAUAAUAAUUAUUUUCUUUGUCUUGCAGGGUUUGGAAACAGUUCACCACAGUAGCUCGGGGACUGCCGAAGGAGCUGCGAUAUAUAUACCCGAAAGUAAGUACUACUGGCUAGCUAGUUGUGUGCAUCUCCUGUUGAUUCUAUAGCUAUACUUUCAUCACAUUUAUAAUGCUUCAUUAUCAGUUUGAUAGACCUCUAUUUCUCGUAAAGUGCUUGUGGUAGGAACAAGGGAAUGAUUUCUAUAGAUACUACGUGUGCGAGUUCAUCUACAACGCGACUUUGAAAAAUAAGCGGGGCUACUCUCAAAGACAAUAUGAAGUGCGUAAGCAAUUAAUAAUAUUCACAAUUUCUGUUGAGUUUCAUUCAUAUAUAUAUAUAUAUAUAUAUAUAUAUAUAUAUAUGUAUUAAUUAACCCCCUUCUUCAAAUUAGACGUGGCAGAUGCGGAAUGAACUCCUAGAACCAGAUCGCAUGAAAGGAAUUCAAGAGGAAUUGGCGGGAUUCUUUCUUGACCACGUCAUCAAUAAAGCCGGAGAAUACCAUGUGGAACUUGAUUUCAAAUGCUAGGGGACUGUAAUUGAGAGAUCUUAUAUAUUGUACAUGUUGUAUGUAGCCAGUAGCGUCGGACAUACAUGAUACAAAAACUUGUUGUUUGACCAAUCUCUCGGAGAAGGAGACGUCGAUCGAUCACUUCUCUCGGUAUGCAUGACGAACUUCUGUACUUAAUGGUUUCCUUCAUUUUCUUACUAGCUAGCGUGUCGAGAGCCUCUCUAUGUAUAGUACGUAGCGUCGACCAAGCACGGACAUAAGAGAGGACACUUCUCUCUAUUAAUUAGCUAGCUAACACAAUAUAUGAAACACCUAAAUUAACCCCCAAAACCNNNNNNNNNNNNNNNNNNNNNNNNNNNNNNNNNNNNNNNNNNNNNNNNNNNNNNNNNNNNNNNNNNNNNNNNNNNNNNNNNNNNNNNNNNNNNNNNNNNNNNNNNNNNNNNNNNNNNNNNNNNNNNNNNNNNNNNNNNNNNNNNNNNNNNNNNNNNNNNNNNNNNNNNNNNNNNNNNNNNNNNNNNNNNNNNNNNNNNNNNNNNNNNNNNNNNNNNNNNNNNNNNNNNNNNNNNNNNNNNNNNNNNNNNNNNNNNNNNNNNNNNNNNNNNNNNNNNNNNNNNNNNNNNNNNNNNNNNNNNNNNNNNNNNNNNNNNNNNNNNNNNNNNNNNNNNNNNNNNNNNNNNNNNNNNNNNNNNNNNNNNNNNNNNNNNNNNNNNNNNNNNNNNNNNNNNNNNNNNNNNNNCCCCCUGCCUGGGCUCGGCGCGUGGAUGCCUUUUGGUCCCGGUUGGUGCCACCAACCGGGACCAAAGGCCCCCCUGCCUGGGCUCGGCGCACAGGCCACGUGGAGGACCAUCUAUCCCGGUUCGUGUUACAACCGGGACUAAAGGGGGGAGGUAUUAGUAACGACCCAUUAGUCCCGGUUCAUGAACCGGGAGUAAAGGCCCUCACGAACCGGGACUAAUAGGUGUUUGUCUACUAGUGAUAAGCCUAUGACUUAUGAAGUUGGUGAGAAGGCUUACCUUCGGGUUACACCUUUAAAGGGAACCCAUCGAUUCGGUAUCAAGGGCAAGUUGGCCCCUUGUUACAUUGGACCCUUUUGCAUUCUUGCCAAACGAGGGGAAGUUGCCUACCAGUUGGAACUACCUCCACAUCUUUCUAGAGUUCAUGAUGUCUUCCACGUCUCUCAACUCAGGCAUUGCUUCUCGAAUCAUAUCCGCGAAGUAGACCAUGAAACGCGUGAUCUCCAAGAAAAUCUCACUUAUCGAGAAUAUCCAAUUCGCAUCCUUGAUCAAGCCGAGCGUACCACUCGACGCCAGAAUAUCAAGUUUCUCAAGGUUCAAUGGUCACACCACUCCGAUCAAGAAGCAACUUGGGAAAGGGAGGAUCAUCUACGACUUGAGUAUCCCACCUUCUUCCCGAUAGACCCUAAAUCUCGGGAUGAGAUUCUUUUGAGUGGGGGUGAGUUGUCACAACCUAGCUAGUCCAUGCAUUAGAGUGUUGCAUCAUGUCUACCUUUUAUCAGAAACUUGAAUUGGGGAAGACAGAACCCCCCCAGAACCCCUCUAAAUUCAACUAGUGCUUACUAAAAAUAUUUUCAAUGAACCUGAAAUGCCCUUCUAAAAAGUUCACCCUCUUUGUCUUGGGUUAGAACCUCUGGCAAAAUUGGUGCACAAUUUUCUAGGUCAACAGAAGGCCAUUGAAUUAAAUCAUAUCUACUUUGAGUUUGGGCAUUUAAACUAUAUAAAAUAUUUCAAAUGCUCAAAUAACUCCAAACUAAAAUGUUCCAUACUGGAUAUAUUCCAACUAGCGACCAUGUGCAGUUUGGUGAUUUUUGGAGUUGCCUAAGUAUUUUUAGAAAUGCAACAAACUUACAGAAACAAUUAAAAACAGAAACAAAUGGGGAAAAAACCCUUACCUGGCCGAACCAAGCCCCAGCCCAGCUGGCCGGCCCAGCACUGUGCUGGCCCAUGCCAGCCAGCUGCUUUGCCAUCGCCACGCAGGCACAGAGCUGACGCCAGCGAGUGUGAGCUCGCCACGGCGCCAACUGCUUGCCGCCCGCGCCACCGAGCACCUGGGUGAGCUCCACGUCGCCACCCCGACCCCGUGGACACCUCAUUCGCCCCCCUGCCUCUUCCCUCGCUCUCCCGCACCAUGGCCGACGCACCCGUCGCCGCACCGCCGACGUAGUCGCGCCCUCCAUCGUCCCCGUGCUGCACCACCGUGUCCCUUCGCUCCGUCGUCAUCAACUACAUCGAGCAGGCCGAGCCCCGAGCGCUCGUGGGCCUUGCUUCGUCUUCUUUGACCUCAUCUUCACCGAGCACCACCGCAGAUCCCCUUCGCCGUCGCCGCUGCACCAGCUCGUCCCCGACCUCGCCGACCACUCCGUUGUGACCGCCGUGAGCUCAGCCACCUCCCCAUCCUCCCCGUUUGCCUUCUCGUGCACCGUAGCAGCCGCAUGGAGCUUCAUCGCACGCACCACCGCCGAGCUCGUCGCCGACGUGCCUCCGGCCAUCCACCGUCCACACCACGGUAUCUAACAUGCUCAUUGCAUCGCGUAGAGUCUAACGCCCCACUCCACGCGCCUCGCCGUGCCCCGUAGCCACGGGUCAAUUUUCACCCGACUCCGGCGACCGUCGCGGUCGUCGCUGCCGACGUUCCUGGCCACCUCGACCUCAACCACCACCACCAAACGCCGCGGCUUGUUCCUGGCUACACGUAGAUGGUCUUCGCCGUCCAUUUGGUCGCCGGAACGUGCUAACCCACUUCCUCUGCCGCAUCUGGCCUCGCCAGCGGCUAGACGCCGGCGUGUUUGACCCGUUGACGUUGACUGGGUGGGCCAGGUUGACUCCCCUGAGUCUAUGACAAGUGGGCCCCCCCCUCUGCUAAUUAACCUAGUUUAGUUCUUACUAAAAUCAGUUAGUUUAAAUAAGUGCUGACAUGCGGGACCCACUGGUCAGUUUGACCUGAACGACCCCUUUGACCAUUGACGUCACCCUGAUGCACUGCUGACGCAAUAACCAAUUUCUGGAUUUAUUGUUAUAUAGGAAAUUCCAGAAAUUGUUGCAAACUUCAAAAAUUCAUAGAAAUUAAUCUGUAACUCCAAAUGCAAAGAUUUAUAUAUGAAUUUCGAUCAAAAAAAUUCAAUAUAUCCAUUGGUAAUGGUUUCAUGCAUGUCAGAACAAGUUAACCUUGUUGUUUAAUCAAAACAAGUUAAUGCACUAAUAUGACUAUGUUAAAUGAACUACCAUUUGCAUCUUUGAUUCAAAUGAGUUCAUACCUUUCUGUUCUAGCUUGCAUUAGGCCAGGACACAUUCAUGUUGCCAUGUCAUAGCAUGCAUCAUAUUGUUGCAUAUCGUCAUGUGUGGUUCAUGUUCGGUGUGUUUUCGUGAUAGGUUCUGCCUCCGAGGAUAACCCCGAAUAUCCGUCUGAAGGGCAGUAUCCUACUACCACUACAUCAGGCAAGCAACCCAUUGAUCAUUCUGAUACAAACCCAUGUUCUCGCCUCUGCUCUUGUUUACUGCAUUAAGAUAACGCGAUUCAAACUGUUGUGUGUUGUGGUAGUUGAACCCACUUCCUUUGCAUGACCUGUCAUUGCCACGGUAACUAGAUGAAACCCACUAGCAUGUGUAGGAGUUGAUUGAGCCAUAUCUGUGUUACCUACCAUGCUAUGCUUGCUAUGCUUAGAGUUGUGUCAGGUCUGGCUCAUCAGGAUGAUGAACUAGAGUGAAAGGUUGUGUCGGUAACGAGAGUGAAGUGUUGAACACGAUUUGGUAAAGGUAUCGAUGAGAGGCCAUGUAGGAGUACAUGGUGGGUUGUUUCAUUGAGGCCGUCCUUAAGCACUGAGAUCUGUGUGUGUGAUUUAAGAUUCAGCUACUACCACGCAUUGGGCCCAAAACCAAUGGACCCUCUCGACUUAUUAACCACUCUUGUCCUCAGUCCGGGAGUUGCAAGUAGUUUCUGGUGUUUGUAGCAUGCUGGGGGCCGCACGCAGCGCUGACCUUAGGGGUGGGUUGUGUUGCGGUAGGCACGUGGCACGGUGUAUCGAUUCGCCCGUUUGGUGUCUCGGGAACCCUGUUCACAUCGUUCGGGGCCGUUAGUGGAAACCUCGGCCGGACUCCCUGCGGAUGGAACCCAAAUAGGCGAUAAACCUGGACUAGGGACUCGUGUGUUUAGUCAGGCCAUGGCCGACACCCUUGCUGGGCUUCCGCUUGAAGGUUGCCGAGUACACGUCAUGUAGUGGCGAUAAGUGGUGAGAGCGUGUGUGAAGAAGUACACCCCUGCAGGGUACAAAACUAUUCGAAUAGCCGCGUCCACGGUAAAGGACUACUUGGUCACCUAUACAGUUCAUAGACAAGUAAAUGGAUACUUCUAAAAGCCUCAAGAUAAGUGUGAGUGCCGCGGAUGGCCCUGUCGUAGGUUGACGAGAGAGGAUCCACGGUGGAGUAUUGUGUUGGUGAGUAGUGGACUCGUGUGCGACAAAUGUUUUGCAAGUUGUGUCUAUCGUUGGAUAGCUUAGCCAAGAGUCAAAGCUGGCUUGCUGCAAUAACUCCACUACCUUCUUGAGAAUGUGCAUGUAUGAUAGGAUUCUGUUGUAAGACUUGCUGAGUACCUCUGUACUCAUGUUUGCUUAAUUAAUGUUUUCAGACGACAACACCAACCCCUCCGAUGGGUUCUACGUAGACCUCGACGUUGACGAGUGACUAGCCACCCAAGUGGUGAUCCAAGACUUGUGAAGGGCCGAUGUAGAUAGAAAGGCUUCAUCAAGCCCUCUUUCUUUCUAGUGUCUGUACUCAGACUAGUUGCUUCCGCAUGUGCUUGUAUGCUUGUAUGACUUGAGUGUCAGGUCAUGUGACCCCUAUCUGUAUGAACAUGUUAUGUAUGGCUCCUCGGAGCCACUUAAAUAAAGUACUUUGAGUUGUAGAGUUUUGUUGUGAUGCCAUGUUGUAUGUACUCAUAUCGGGCAUAUUGUGUGUAUGUUUGAAAUGCUUGGUAUGAGUGGGAUCCGACAAUCUAGUUGUUUAUCCUUGGCAGCCUCUCAUAUGGGGAAAUGUAGUCUAGUGCUUCUUGAGCGAUAGUAGUCCGCUACAGCCCGGUUCACCGGAGUCCUGCUAGCCCAGUACUACUGCUCUGGACACUUGACUGGCCGGCAUGUGUUUCACUUUGUUCCUGUGUCUGUCCCUUCGGGGAAAUGUCAAGCGGUGGCAUCCGGAGUCCUGCCUAGCCUGCUACAGCCCGGGUUACCGGAGUCCUGUUAGCCCAGCGUUACAUCCCGGAUGUAUACGUUGAUGACCAACAUGCUCGAUGUGAUUCAUGUAUGCAUGUCCCCAUAGGUUAGCGCCGCUUGGGUUCACGACUAGCCAUGUCGGCCCGGGUUCUCAGUCAUGUGGAUGCUAGCGACACUAUCAUAUACGUGAGCCAAAAGGCGCAAACGGUCUCGGGCCAUGGUAAGGCGCCACCCGUGGGAUUACCGUGCGUGAGGCCGCAAAGUGAUAUGAGGUGUUACCGGCUGGAUCAAUGUGACUUGGAAUCGGGGUCCUGACAAUUACUUGCUCCUAUCAUAUGUUUGGUUGCAACAAUGUCACUUCUUCACAUAUGCCAUGUCCCAUUGCUUGUCUCAUGCUUGACUUCAUUGCCUCACACAUGAUGAACAAUUGCUCUUUAUAUUGUGUUGAGUGUUACACUAUAUUCACUACAUCCUAUGCACGUUAUGUUUGGAUUGUCUUGCACUUGACCCAUGUGUUUAGACACUUCAUUUUAUUUGGUGUUGUGAAUCCUUCCUAUGCCUACCAUAGACCUUUCAUUGAGCAAUUUGUGAAUGCUUGCUAUGACCUCGAGGUAGAUGCUUAUGCUCUUGUCACACAUAUUUGCAUCUCUACCUCACAUUUACAUGCUUGUUCCCAUGAUAUUUUUGCUUGUGCUCGAUUGAUAUGCUUACAUGCCAUGUCACAAUCCUUUGUCACACCCUAUGCUAUGCUUGAUGACAACACUUGUUUGGUGAAUCACCUCUUGAAUGCUUGGUUUUGCACGAACGCAAACCACAUUUGUUUUUCCACGGGUUUGUUCUAUUUGCUCCUUUUGAAGGAAUCACAAGAUGGUGCGACACUGGAGAGUGCCCACUUCGAGCUACUAGACGAUGAGUGCUUGGUGAUCGACCACUUCGAUAUGGCACCGCCAUCUCUUUCCUAUGGUGAUUUGGUUUUCGAUCCGAGGUCGAAUCCUUCUCAAGGGGGAGGGGAUGAUGCGGAGCAUCCUAUGGACAUCACCAUGUCAAGAGUCCAUUCGGCAAGUGACACGUGCGACAUCUACUUCUCAUACAUAAAGGUGAAUCUUCUCCUUUACACGUGUUCACUUGACCCCUUCGAGGAUGGUAUACUACUUGACACUUCUCCCGUGUGCAUGCAUAGGUAUUGUCAGAGCUUUACGGAUGUCGAGGAGUGCAAGCGCCAAGGAACGACUACACCGUCCGCGAGGGAAGCAUGGAAGAGAAGGAGGAAGAGAACCUGGUGUUGGGGAACGUAGUAAUUUCAAAAUUUUCCUACGCACAUGCAAGAUCAUGGUGAUGAUAUAGCAACGAGGGGAGAGUGUUGUCUACGUACCCUCGUAGACCGAAGCGGAAGCGUUGACGCAGCGUAGAGGAAGUAGUCCUACGUCCUCCCGGUCCGACCGAUCCAAGCACCGUUACUCCGGCACCUCUGAGUUCUUGACACACGUACAGCUCGAUGACGCACCCUCGAUCUCCAAUCCAGUAGAGGCUCCAAGGGGGAGUUCCGUCAGCACGACGGCGUGGUGACUAUCUUGAUGUUCUCCUGUCGCAGGGCUUCGCCUAAGCACCGCUACAAUAUGACCGAGGUGUAAUAUCGUGGAGGGGGGCACCGCACACGGCUAAGGAACGAUCAAUGAUCAACUUGUGUGUUCUAGGGUGCCCCCUACCCCCGUAUAUAAAGGAGGGAGGGAGGAGGUGGCCGACCCAAGGAGGGGGCGCGCCAUGGGAGGAGGAAACCUACUCCAAGUAGGUUUCCCCUCUUUUUCCUUAUCUUAUUUGGAGGGGGAAGGAAGGAGUACUAGUAGUAGGAAGGAGUACUAGUAGUAGGAAAGGAAGAGGGGGAAGGAGAAAGGAAAGGGGGGGCCGGCCCCCCUCCCCAAUUCGGAUUGGGCUUGGGGGGGCGCGCCCCCCUCCCUUGCUCCUUCUCCCUUCCUCCUACAUGGGCCCAAUAAGGCCCAUAUACCUCCCGGGGGGGUUUCGGUAACCUCCCGGAGCUCCAAACUCUUCCGGAACCUUUCCGGUGUCCAAAUAUAUCCGUCCAAUAUAUCGAUCUUUAUGUAUCGACCAUUUCGAGACUCCUCGUCAUGUCCGUGAUCAUAUCCGGGACUCCGAACAAACUUCGGUACAUCAAAAUACAUAAACUCAUAAUAUAACUGUCAUCGAAACCUUAAGCGUGCGGACCCUACGGUUCGAGAACGAUGUAGACAUGACCGAGACAUGUCUCUGGUCAAUAACCAAUAGCGGGACCUGGAUGCCCAUAUUGGUUCCUACAUAUUCUACGAAGAUCUUUAUCGGUCAAACCGCAUAACAGCAUACGUUGUUCCCUUUGUCAUUGGUAUGUUACUUGUCCGAGAUUUGAUCGUCGGUAUCCAAUACCUAGUUCAAUCUCGUUACCGACAAGUCUCUUUACUCGUUCUGUAAUACUUCAUCUCAUAACUAACUCAUUAGUUAUAUGCUUGCAAGGCUUAUGUGAUGAGCAUUACCGAGAGGGCCCAGAGAUACCUCUCCGACAAUCGGAGUGACAAAACCUAAUCUCGAAUUAUGCUAACUCAACAUGUACCUUCGGAGACACCUGUAGUACUCCUUUAUAAUCACCCAGUUACGUUGUGACGUUUGGUAGUACCCAAAGUGUUCCUCCGAUAAACGGGAGUUACACAAUUCUCAUAGUUACAGGAACAUGUAUAAGUCAUGAAGGAAGCAAUAGCAGAAUACUAAACGAUCAAGUGCUAAGCUAACGGGAUGGGUCAUGUCAAUCACAUCAUUCUCCUAAUGAUGUGAUCCCAUUAAUCAAAUGACAACACAUGUCUAUGGUUAGGAAACAUAACCAUCUUUGACUAAUGAGCUAGUCAAGUAGAGGCAUACUAGUGACUAUAUGUUUGUCUAUGUAUUCACACAUGUAUCAUGUUUCCGGUUAAUACAAUUCUAGCAUGAAUAAUAAACAUUUAUCAUGAUAUGAGGAAAUAAAUAAUAACUUUAUUAUUGCCUCUAGGGCAUAUUUCCUUCAGUCUCCCACUUGCACUAGAGUCAAUAAUCUAGUUCACAUCGCCAUGUGAUUUAACACCAAUAUUCAUAUCUGUAUAUGAUUAACACCCAUAGUUCACAUCAUCAUGUGACCAACAUCCAAAGUGUUUACUAGAGUCAAUAAUCUAGUUCACAUCGCUAUGUGAUUAACACCCAAAGAGUACUAAGGUGUGAUCAUGUUUUGCUCGUGAGAGAAGCUCAGUCAACGGGUCUGUCACAUUCAGAGCCAUAUGUAUUUUGCAAAUAUUCUAUGUCUACAAUGCUCUGCACGGAGCUACUCUAGCUAAUCGCUCCCACUUUCAAUAUGUAUCCAGAUUGAGACUUAGAGUCAUCUGGAUCGGUGUGAAAACUUGCACCGAGAUAACUUUUACGACGGGCUCUUUUAUCACCUCCAUAAUCGAGAAAUAUUUCCUUAGUCCUCACUAAGGAUAUUCUUGACCAAUGUCCAGUGAUCUACUCCUAGAUCACUAUUGUACUCCCUUGUCAAAUACAGAGCAAGGUAUACAAUAGGUCUGGUACAUAGCAUGGCAUACUUUAUAGAACCUAUGACUGAGGCAUAGGGAAUGACUUUUCAUUCUCUUUCUAUUUUCUGCUGUGGUCGGGAUUUGAGUCUUACUCAAUUUCAUACCUUUGCAACACAGGCAAGAACUCUUUCUUUGACUGUUCCAUUUUGAACUACUUCAAAAUCUUGUCAAGGUAUGUACUCAUUGAAAAUCUUAUCAAGCGUCUUGAUCUAUCUCAAUAGAUCUUGAUGCUCAAUAUGUAUGUAGUUUUACUGAGGUCUUUCUUUGAAAAAACUCUUAUUCAAGUAUCCUUUAAUGCUUUGCAGAAUAAUUCUACAUUAUUUCCGAUCAGCAAUAUGUCAUUCACAUAUACUUAUCAGAAAUGCUGUAGUGCUCCCACUCACUUUCUUGUAAAUACAGGCUUCACCGCAAGUCUGUAUAAUACUAUAUGCUUUGAUCAACUUAUCAAAGCGUAUAUUCCAACUCUGAGAUGCUUGCACCAGUCCAUAGAUGGAUUGCUGGAGCUUGCACAUUUUGUUAGCACCUUUAGGAUUGACAAAACCUUCUGGUUGUAUCAUAUACAACUCUUCUUUAAUAAAUUCAUUAAGGAAUGUAGUUUUGACAUCCAUUUGCCAAAUUUCAUAAAAUGUGGCAAUUGCUAACAUGAUUCGGACAAACUUUUAAGCAUCGAUACGAGUAAGAAAAUCUCAUCGUAUUCAACACCUUGAACUUUGUCAAAAACCUUUUUUCGACAAGUCUAGCUUUGUAGAUAGUAACACUACUAUCAACGUCCGUCUUCCUCUUGAAGAUCCAUUUAUUCUUAAUGACUCACUGAUCAUCGGGCAAGUCAAUCAAAGUCUACACUUUGUUCUCAUACAUGGAUCAUAUCUCAGAUUUCAUGGCCCCAAGCCAUUUCGUGGAAUCUGGGCUCAUCAUCGCUUCCUCAUAGUUCGUAGGUUCAUCAUGGUCUAGUAACAUGACUUCCAGAACAUGAUUACCGUACCACUCUGGUGCGGAUCUUACUCUGGAAGACCUACGAGGUUUGGUAGCAACUUGAUCUGAAGUUUGAUGAUCAUCAUCAUUAACUUCCUCACUAAUUGGUGUAGGAAUCACUGGAACUGAUUUCUGUGAUGAACUACUUUCCAAUAAGGGAGAAGGUACAAUUACCUCAUCAAGUUUUACUCUCCUCCCACUCACUUCUUUCGAGAGAAACUCCUUCUCUGGAAAGGAUCCAUUUUAGCAACGAAUGUCUUGCCUUCGGAUCUGUGAUAGAAGGUGUACCCAACAAUUUCCUUUGGGUAUUCUAUGAAGACGCACUUCUCCGAUUUGGGUUCGAGCUUAUCAGGAUGAAACUUUUUCACAUAAGCAUCGCAGCCCCAAACUUUAAGAAACAACAGCUUAGGUUUACUGCUAAACCAUAGUUCAUACGGUGUCGUCUCAACGGAUUUAAAUGGUGCCCUAUUUUAAAACGUGAAUGCAGCUGUCUCUAAUGCAUAACCCCAAAACGAUAGUGGUAAAGAGACAUCAUAGAUCGCACCAUAUCAAAUAAAGUGCGGUUACGACGUUCGGACACACCAUAACGAUGUGGUGUUCCAGGUGGUGUGAGCUGUGAAACUAUUCCACAUUGUUUUAAUUGAAGACCAAACUCGUAACUCAAAUAUUUGUCUCCGCUAUCAGAUCGCAGAAACUUUAUUUUCUUGUUACGAUGAUUUUUCCACUUCACUCUGAAAUUCUUUGAACCUUUCAACUAUUUCAGACUUAUGUUUCAUCAAGUAGAUAUACCCAUAUCUGCUCAAAUCAUCUUGUGAAGGUCAGAAAAUAACGAUACUUGCCACGAGCCUCAACACUCAUUGGAUCGCAUACAUCGGUAUGUAUUAUUUCCAAUAAGUCAGUAGCUUGUUCCAUUAUUCCGGAGAACGGAGUUUUAGUCAUCUUGCCCAAAAGGCACGGUCCGCAAGCAUCAAAUGAUUCAUAACCAAGUGAUUCCGAAAAUCCAUCUUUAUGGAGUUUCUUCAUGCGCUUUACACCGAUAUGACCCAAACGGCAGUGCCACAAAUAAGUUGCACUAUCAUUAUUAACUUUGCAUCUUUUGGCUUCAAUAUUAUGAAUGUGUGUAUCACACGAUCGAGAUCCAACAAACCAUUUUCAUUGGGUGUAUAACCAUAGAAAGUUUUAUUCAUGAAAACAGAACAACAAUUAUUCUCUAACUUACAUGAAUAACCGUAUUGCAAUAAACAUGAUCAAAUCAUAUUCAUUCUCAACGCAAACACCAAAUAACACUUAUUUAGGUUUAACACUAAUCCCGGAAGUAUAGGGAGUGUGCGAUGAUGAUCAUAUCAAUCUUGGAACUAUUUCCAACACACAUCGUCACUACACUCUUAACUAGUCUCUGUUUAUUCUGCAACUCCCGUUUCGAGUUACUAAUCUUAGCAACCGAACAAGUAUCAAAUACUUAGGGGCUACUAUAAACACUAGUAUGGAACACAUCAAUAAUCUGUAUAUCAAAUAUACCCUUGUUCACUUUGCCAUCCUUCUUAUCAACCAAAUAUUCAGGGCAUUUCCGCUUCCAGUGACCAUUUCCUUUGCAGUGUAAACACUCAGUUUCAGGCUAUGGUCCAGCUUUGGGCUUGUCUUUCCACUUGAAGUUCCCUUUCUUUCCCUUUGCCCUUCUCUUGAAACUAGUGGUCUUGUCAAUCAUCAACACUUGAUGCUCUUUCUUGAUUUCUACCUUCGUCGAUUUCAACAUCACGAAGAGCUCGGGAAUCAUUUUUUCGUCAUCCCUUGCAUACUAUAGUUCAUCACGAAGUUCUAGUAACUUAGUGAUGGUGACUAGAGAAUUCUGUCAAUCACUAUCUUAUCUGGAAGAUUAACUCCCACUUGAUUCAAGCGAUUGAAGUACCCAGACAAUCUGAGCACAUGCUCACUAGUUGAGCGAUUCUCCUCCAUCUUUUAGCUAUAGAACUUGUUGGAGACUUCAUAUCUCUCAACUCGGGUAUUUGCUUGAAAUAUUAACUUCAAUUCCUGGAACAUCUCAUAUGGUCCAUGAUGUUCAAAACAUCUUUGAAGUCCCGAUUCUAAGCCGUUAAGCAUGGUGCACAAAACUAUCAAGUAGUCAUCAUAUUGAGCUAGCCAAACGUUCAUAACGUCUACAUUUGCUCCUGCAUUAGGUCUUUCACCUAGCGGUGCAUUAAGGACAUAAUUCUUCUGUGCAGCAAUGAGGAUAAACCUCAGAUCACGGAUCCAAUCCGCAUCAUUGCUACUAACAUCUUUCAACACAGUUUUCUCUAGGAACAUAUCAAAAUAAACAUAUGAAAGCAACAACGCGAGCUAUUGAUCUAUAACACAAUUUGCAAAAUACUACCAGGACUAAGUUCAUGAUAAAUUAAAGUUCAAUUAAUCAUAUUACUAAAGAACUCCCACUUAGACAGACAUCUCUCUAGUCAUCUAAGUGAUCACGUGAUCCAAAUCAACUAAACCAUGUCCGAUCAUCACGUGAGAUGGAGUAGUUUCAAUGGUGAACAUCGCUAUGUUGAUCAUAUCUACUAUAUGAUUCACGCUCGACCUUUCGGUCUCCGUGUUCCGAGGCCAUAUCUGUAUAUGCUAGGCUCGUCAAGUAUAACCUGAGUAUUCCGCAUGUGCAACUGUUUUGCACCCGUUGUAUUUGAACGUAGAGCCUAUCACACCCGAUCAUCACGUGGUGUCUCAGCACGAAGAACUUUCGCAACGGUGCAUACUCAGGGAGAACACUUCUUGAUAAUUAGUGAUAGAUCAUCUUAAAAUGCUACCGUCAAUCAAAGCAAGAUAAGAUGCAUAAAGGAUAAACAUCACAUGCAAUCAAUAUAAGUGAUAUGAUAUGGCCAUCAUCAUCUUGUGCUUGUGAUCUCCAUCUCCGAAGCACCGUCGUGAUCACCAUCGUCACCGGCGCGACACCUUGAUCUCCAUCGUAGCAUCGUUGUCGAUUACGCCAUCUAUUGCUUCUACGACUAUCGCUACCGCUUAGUGAUAAAGUAAAGCAAUUACAGGGCGUUUCCAUUUCAUACAAUAAAGUGACAACCAUAUGGCUCCUGCCAGUUGCCGAUAACUUCGGUUACAAAACAUGAUCAUCUCAUACAAUAAAAUAUAGCAUCACGUCUUGGCCAUAUCACAUCACAACAUGCCCUGCAAAAACAAGUUAGACGUCCUCUACUUUGUUGUUGCAAAUUUUACGUGGCUGCUACGGGCUUAGCAAGAACCGUUCUUACCUACGCAUCAAAACCACAACGAUAGUUUGUCAAAUAGACUCCGUUUUAACCUUCACAAGGACCGGGCGUAGCCACACUCGGUUCAACUAAAGUUGGAGAAACAGACACCCGCCAGUCACCUGUGUGCAAAGCAUGGCGGUAAAACCAGUCUCGCGUAAGCGUACGCGUAAUGUCGGUCCGGGCCGCUUCAUCCAACAAUACCGCUGAACCAAAGUAUAACAUGCUGGUAGGCAGUAUGACUUAUAUCGUCCACAACUCACUUGUGGUCUACUCGUGCAUAUAACAUCAACGAAUAAAACCUAGGCUCUGAUGCCACUGUUGGGGAACGUAGUAAUUUCAAAAUUUUCCUACGCACAUGCAAGAUCAUGGUGAUGAUAUAGCAACGAGGGGAGAGUGUUGUCUACGUACCCUCGUAGACCGAAGCGGAAGCGUUGACGCAACGUAGAGGAAGUAGUCGUACGUCCUCCCGGUUCGACCGAUCCAAGCACCGUUACUCCGGCACCUCCGAGUUCUUGACACACGUACAGCUCGAUGACGCACCCUCGAUCUCCAAUCCAGUAGAGGCUCCGAGGGGGAGUUCCGUCAGCACAACAGCGUGGUGACUAUAUUGAUGUUCUCCUGUCGCAGGGCUUCGCCUAAGCACCGCUACAAUAUGACCGAGGUGUAAUAUCGUGGAGGGGGGCACCGCACACGGCUAAGGAACGAUCAAUGAUCAACUUGUGUGUUCUAGGGUGCCCCCCUACCCCCGUAUAUAAAGGAGGGAGGGAGGAGGUGGCCGGCCCAAGGAGGGGGCGCGCCAUGGGAGGAGGAAACCUACUCCAAGUAGGUUUCCCCUCUUUUUCCUUAUCUUAUUUGGAGGGGGAAGGAAGGAGUACUAGUAGUAGGAAGGAGUACUAGUAGUAGGAAAGGAAGAGGGGGAAGGAGAAAGGAAAGGGGGGGCCGGCCCCCUCCCCAAUUCGGAUUGGGCUUGGGGGGGCGCGCCCCCCUCCCUUGCUCCUUCUCCCUUCCUCCUACAUGGGCCCAAUAAGGCCCAUAUACCUCCCGGGGGGUUCCGGUAACCUCCCGAAGCUCCAAACUCUUCCGGAACCUUUCCGGUGUCCAAAUAUAUCCGUCCAAUAUAUCAAUCUUUAUGUCUCGACCAUUUCGAGACUCCUCGUCAUGUCCGUGAUCACAUCCGGGACUCCGAACAAACUUUGGUACAUCAAAAUACAUAAACUCAUAAUAUAACUAUCAUCGAAAACUUAAGCGUGCGGACCCUACGGUUCGAGAACGAUGUAGACAUGACCGAGACAUGUCUCUGGUCAAUAACCAAUAGUGGGACCUGGAUGCCCAUAUUGGUUCCUACAUAUUCUACGAAGAUCUUUAUCGGUCAAACCGCAUAACAGCAUACGUUGUUCCCUUUGUCAUCGGUAUGUUACUUGUCCGAGAUUUGAUCGUCGGUAUCCAAUACCUAGUUCAAUCUCGUUACCGACAAGUCUCUUUACUCAUUCUGUAAUACUUCAUCUCAUAACUAACUCAUUAGUUAUAUGCUUGCAAGGCUUAUGUGAUGAGCAUUACCGAGAGGGCCCAGAGAUACCCCUCCGACAAUCGGAGUGACAAAACCUAAUCUCGAAUUAUGCUAACUCAACAUGUACCUUCGGAGACACCUGUAGUACUCCUUGAUAAUCACCCAGUUACGUUGUGACGUUUGGUAGUACCCAAAGUGUUCCUCCGGUAAACGGGAGUUACACAAUUCUCAUAGUUACAGGAACAUGUAUAAGUCAUGAAGGAAGCAAUAGCAGAAUACUAAACGAUCAAGUGCUAAGCUAACGGGAUGGGUCAUGUCAAUCACAUCAUUCUCCUAAUGAUGUGAUCCCAUUAAUCAAAUGACAACACAUGUCUAUGGUUAGGAAACAUAAUCAUCUUUGACUAAUGAGCUAGUCAAGUAGAGGCAUACUAGUGACUAUAUGUUUGUCUAUGUAUUCACACAUGUAUCAUGUUUCCGGUUAAUACAAUUCUAGCAUGAAUAAUAAACAUUUAUCAUGAUAUGAGGAAAUAAAUAAUAACUUUAUUAUUGCCUCUAGGGCAUAUUUCCUUCACCUGGCCGCUCCAGAACGAGCGGUACUACCGCCCACUCCAAGCGGUACUACCGCUGAGGCCACCCAAGAGGCACUACCGCCCAGCAUCCGCCCUACUACCGCUCAACCCGACAAACUCCAGUGAUCGAGCGGUAUAAGCCCGGUACUACCGCCCCUCCAAGCGGUACUACCGCUCAAGCGGUACUACCACCCAUGAGUCCGGUACUACCGCCCUGCUUGUGAGCAGCCGCGGGCCUUUGGCCUUGUAUCCCUCUCCCACUUACCCCUUCGUGGCUUAGACUAUAAAUAGACCACCUCCACCUCCUUUCUAGGGUUAGAACAGAUUGAGCUUAUUUUGAGAUAGAGCUUUACUCAUCCAUACGGAUCUACUCCUCGUGAGAGACUGCGGCCUCUUCGGAGAAGAUCGAUCUUGGAUUCAAGACCCCUCGUGGGAAGAUCCGUCUAGGAUCAUCAAGACCUCCUCUUGGAGAUGAACCUUACCUUGUAUCUUUCCCUUUGUUGUUCAUGUACCCUUGUGGAUCUUGUGUGUUUGAUUGUCUAGUGGAUGUGUGAUUGGACUUGUUCUUGAGUGUUUCCCCUUGUGAUUUCUCUCCGUUCUUCCCUGUGUUCUUCGUGUUCUUCGUGGGGAUCCACUCCAAACGUGAAAAAUCGGCCUCUAGGGUUCUACCCUACAUCAUCAUCCUUCAAAAAUAUGGAGGGCCAUUAUUGACGGAAGGGAUAUUAUAUGGCGCAAGGUAUAAUCAGACGCAUCGGGGAUGGAGCGACUACACACAUAUGGGAUCACAACUGGAUUAUGAUGGAAAGCUAUAAGAGGCCAAUAACUAAGUUAGUGCAGAACCCCCCUCAGAAACAUUUUAUGUAUACACGUUAACAUUUCCCAGAUAUAUGAUUAAUAUUUUUGGAAAACUUCUAUUUUUUAUGUGUACUUUUUUAUACAUUUUGUAAUAUCAGAAAUAGUUUUUAUAGAAGGUUUAACAUUUUUCAAAUACAUGAUUACCUUUUUGUAAACUUAUAUUGUUUGACGUUUACUUUUUUUCAUAGACAUAGUGAGGGGUUAUAUCUAAGGAAUAGGCCCAAGUACAUGUAUGGCACAACCAAAUGCCCAUGUUAAUCAAGGAUGUUCCACAAGACAAAUGGGGAAACACACCAAGGCCAAUGGAGCUACAAGGCCAAGGCAUCGGAUACAAGGGGAGAGUCAACUAUGUACAGUCGGAUUACACAGCCCUUAACAGACAAGACUCAUCAGUUGGUCCACUAUUGGAAUCAGGUCAUUUGCCGUCAGCCCAGAAUAGACGCGAAGACUUUGCCGUGAGCAAGUUGACGACAAACACAAUCAGCAAAGACUAUAUCGGCAGAGAGCUAAUUUGACGUCAACUUUUCAUCGCGCUGAUGACAAAGACUUUGCCGUCAAUUAAACUAUGUGUUUGUAGUCUGUAGAGAAAACACAAACGGCAAAGAAAUUAAAAAAAUGGUCAUUUUAAAAUAAUUUUUAGAAAUCUAUAUACUGUUUUUUAAAAUGUUUAAUAUGUACCAAGAAUUAUUUCGUAAGUAUACAAAAGAUGUAUAACGUGUAUGAAAAUUACGUAGACAUCAGAACAUAUUAUAGAAAUGUUAAUCUUGUAUUUAAAAAUUUUAAAUACACAUGCAUAAAAAUGUUUUUGAUGUACAUAAAAAAAUUGUACAUAGUGUGUGAACAAAGUAUGCAUUGAAAAAACAAAAAUCUUGUUGGAAAAAAAUCUCGUGUUGUAUACGAAAAUGUAAAAGGUGUAUGAAAAUAAUUAGAUAUAUGUUUAAUGAAAAAAGGAAAGAAGGCGCAAAAAAUCCGAUUAACACCAAGAUAGGAACAAGAAAACCUGAAGAAGACCAUUGAAAAAAAGAAAUGAAUACAAGAAAGAGGAAGAAAAACAAAAAAAAUGAAGAAGCUGAUGCAGAACAGGGAACUUAGUGAAAACGAAUAAAAAUUGAUGAAAACCGAGAAGAAAAACAAGAAAACUGAAGCAAAAAUUAAGAAAAAUAUGUAAAAAAAAUGAUGAAACAUUGCGAAACAGUGAAAUACUAUGAAAACCAAAGGAAAAAAAGACUCAAAAAUAAGAACGUACAGCAAGCGAAUGAACAACAACUGAGUGAACGAGCGAACAUGCGAGAAUACGUUAAUUGUCUGGCCCAUACUUGUGGAUUCCAGAGGCGAGCCAGAAUAGGCGAGAUAUAGCUAUGACGAUUUGAUACCCUUCAUAGCUUCACGAAUGCUAUAUCUCGCUCACAGCGAAAGUAUUUUUUGUCUGGCCUGAAGGUGAAAGAAUAGCAUCAGGUCGCUGUAAGUUUUGUGAUCCUACAAUCAGAGCUCGAUAAGAUUAAAAUUCAUGUUUCUGACAACCAGUCAUUCGCUCACUCAAUUCCACGUACUAGUUUGGUUAGGUUUUUUUUUCAUUUUUUUCUGUUUUUUAUUUCUUCACUGGCUUUCUUUGGUUUUUUUAUCGGUUUUCUUUGUUUCCUUCACGUUUUACUCUUUCUUUUCCUUUUUACUGGUUUAUCUAUUCCUUUUUUCUUUGUUUCUUUCUUGGUUUUCUUUGUUUUUUCUUUCUUUUGAUGUCAACCUUUUUACAUACACAUUCAACAAUUUUCGUAUACAUCAGAAACAUUUUAUGUAUACACGUUAACAAUUCCCAGGUACAUGAUUAAUAUUUUUGGAAAACUUCUAUUUUUUAUGUGUACUUUUUGAUACAUUUUGUAUAUAUCAGAAAUAUUUUUUAUAGAAGGUUUAACAUUUUUUAAAUACAUGAUUACCUUUUUGUAAACUUAUAUUGUUUGACGUUUACUUUUUUUCAUAGACAUAGUGAGGGGUUAUAUCUAAGGAAUAGGCCCAAGUACAUAUAUGGCCCAAGUACAUUUAAUCAAGGAUGUAGUCCACAAGACAAAUGGGGAAACAGACGGGGGCCAAUGGAGCUACAAGGCCAAAGCAUCGGAUACAAGGGGAGAAUCUACAGUCGGAUUACACAACCCUUGACAGACAAGACUCAUUAGUUGGUCCGCUAUAGGAAUCGGGUAAUUUGCCGUCAGCCGAGAACAUACUCAAAGACUUUGCCGUCAGCAAGUUGAUGACAACUUUUCAUCACGUUGAUGACAAAGACUUUGCCGUCAAUUAAACUAUGUGUUUAUCGUCUAUAGAAAAAACACAAACGGCAAAGGAAAGCACCUUUGCCAUCAGCGGCUAAUCUGCAUGUGUCUUCAACAAGACUCGUCUUGUCACUAGCCUCAAACAUCACAGAUGGAAAAGAAAUUUUUUAUUUUAAAAAAUCUGCGUCGACCACCCUACUUCGCACAUGUAGCCACCGCCUGGCCGCGCUCGCUGAUCACCCACAAGUGUAGGGGAUCUAUCGUAGUCCUUUCGAUAAGUAAGAGUGUCGAACCGAACGAGGAGUAGAAGGAAAUGACAAGCGGUUUUUAGUAAGGUAUUCUCUGCAAGCACUGAAAUUAUCGGUAACAGAUAGUUUUGUGAUAAGGUAAUUCGUAACGGGUAACAAGUAACAACAGUAAAUAAAGUGCAGCAAGGUGGCACAAUCCUUUUUGUAGCAAACGACAAGCCUGGACAAAUUCUUAUAUGAAGGAAAACGCUCCCGAGGACACAUGGGAAUUAUCGUCAAGCUAGUUUUCAUCACGCUCAUAUGAUUCACGUUCAUUACUUUGAUAAUUUAAUAUGUGGAUGGACCGGUGCUUGGAUACUGCUCUUUCUUGGAUAAGCAUCCCACUUAUGAUUAACCCCUAUUGCAAGCAUCCGCAACUCAAAAGAAAUAUUAAGGUAAACCUAAUCAUAGCAUGAAACAUUGACACGGCACAUUAUAAAGAGUUCAACCCAAAUUUUGUAGUAACACUAUUAUAUUUAAAUAGUGAUUAUUCCAACACAUGGAUAAUUAAUUAAGGCACCAGGUUGCGCUUGUGACCAGGAAAGACAAACUUAUGAACUUGCAAGCAUGACAAUCAGAUCGACAUCCACACAAUGUCAAUAUGAACAUUGUCUUGAUACAACUUUAUUUGUAUUUUAUUUCAGAAUUUAAACAACUAGUUUGGGCGGGUCACACACGACGUUGUGUGACACUUUAUUUGUCACCGCUGCAUCGACAUAUCCAUCGACUAAACAACGGUGAUCCAACUAUAUAUUACUAGAGACCUUUCCUUAUCAGUAGGCACCAACUCCAGUGCCAACGCCAAAUGGCACACUAGUGGUGGUCCUAUACAACGGCACAUUGACACGGCACAUCAUUGGCAGGGUACGGAGCGCAAUGGAAGUCAUCACCUCAAGCUGAGCUAUCUGGUGUGGCUGCAAAAAGGUACCCUGUGCCAAUUGUUGUUGUUGAGGUUGUUGCCCGAGUUGCUGCUGUGACUGCUGUUGGGGUUGGGAAACGCAUUGGCCCAACUGUUGCGGUUGCUGCUGCUGAGUUUGGAUGGAACCCCGAACCUGUUGUUGUUCUUGCAGGACGAUGGAGUAGAUGAUAGCACGGAUUGCCUCAUAGCGGGAUUGCUGGGGGAUUUGCGGCAACUGCUGGCAACAUUGUUGUUGCAUCACAUGGCAACUACUCUGCUGCAACAUUUGCGACCUAGCAAGACUUUGUGGCAUUGCCACAGGGCUGCAUUGCUGCUGGAGGAAUACCUUGCAUGGGUUCAGCUGCUGCAAG